rnacentral:lncRNA from 1 species
ACCUUCUCUCUGUUUAAAGCAUUUGCUUUAGGGUUUGGGUUUUGAGAUUUUGACUGCUCGAAAGUCGAAGCCUUUGAGUUGAGGAGAGGAGGAAAUGAUUUUAUUUAUGGGCUUCUUCUUUUUCUUGGGCCAAACCUCAAACACCAUAUGGACUUGGGCCAAUAUUGAAAUUUGUUGGGCCCAGAUUGAUUUGUUUGAAAAUCCAACCUUCCAGUUGACCAAGGUCAAUGGAGGUAAAAAAAACACUCCCAAAUAUGUUUUUAACUGAAAUAACGGAAUUUUCAACUGAAAUUAGCUUCAUAACAAACUAGUGCCACCGGUGGCUUUGGUAGCACAACUCCGCAACGCCCUCCACGCCCACCAAAUCUUCUCCUCCCAACCGUGGAAAUGGGGUAUAUAUACCCAUUUCCCACCCAGCACCAUUCACCACCAUCGCCGAUUUCCAUAAGCCUGCAGUGUUUCUCAAACCCAGCAGAGAAAGAGAACCAACUGCUCGCACGCGUGUUAAAUUACCAGUUUACCUUUUUUUACGUAAACAUGGCACGCCAAAUUGUUGUUGUUGCUCUUGUUCUGAUGGCCACCGUGGGUUUGGCUUUUGGCGCCGACGCCCCCAGCCCCAGCGCCGGUGCCGCCGCCACCACAACCCCCAAACCCGGUCUCCCAACGUUUAGUGGUGUGCCUGUUUCCGGACCCGUAGCCGCAGCCGACAAUAACCAAGUGGGAACCAUGGGCGGUGACAGCGGUGAGGGCGCUGCCGCUCCUUCUCCCAGUGGCAGUGCUUCUAGCGAUGGUGUCACCGCGGGCUCUGUUGGUGGACCUGUCUCCGAGUCAACUUUUGGCUCCAUUGAUGGUGGCAAUGCCGAGAGUCCUAAGGCUAGCGCUGCCACCGCCGAACAGCUCUCCGCUGGAGCAGUUGUUGCCGCUGGCGUGGCCGCCUCCUUGUUCUUCUAAGCUCAAGCAGCUCGGUGUAUGCACGUAUGCAUAAUACAUAUCAAUAAUGCUAGGCUCACUACAUUUGUUCGAGAAAAGAGAAAUGAUAUGUUUGUAUUGAUGUAUCAUUAAAGUGUGCCUAGAGUUGAAUAAAUGAAGCAUUGCUACAUCACCAUCCGGCGUAUAAAAAAUUUUCGACAAAUAUGGUGAGUGAAGAAGUGCUCAUAAACCGUUGAGACGGGGCACUUGAAAAAUUCUUUAGAAGUGUUGUGUAAUUGUAAUUUUUCUUUGGGAUUUUGAAUUGACUUAAAAAGAAGGCAUUAUACAUAGAAAAGAAAAGAAAAGAAUUAUGGUUUGUACUUUGUAGAAUGAAUCUAAAUGCAAUUAACUAAAAUCCGAAACGUUUUGAACAAUUGCAAACAAGAAGAACCUUUCGUAAUCCUUCCUAUCCUAUCCUAGGCAACGGCAACCCAGUUCUACUUCUACUACCCAGUCAAGUCAAAUUGAAGCAGAAAAGAAAAUUAUUCAGAAUGGAAUAUCAGAAAACAAACAACAAUAAUUCUCGGGGGAGUGGAGGGAGGGGAGCUGUAAUAAAAGAGAAACAAAAUAUGCAGCCAAAGCUACUAGUCUAUCGACGUGACAUGUGUACACAGAGACUCUAGUUCACAACUCCAAUCCAAUCCCCCAUUAAUUACAAACCACAAGCAGAAAAGAAAACCAGGUCAAACAGAAGGAAGAGGGACUCAUAGUUUCAAAUAUACACAACAAAGCAAUUUGCCAGCGAUAUGCAGCAGGUUAACAACUACAGUGAAUGAAACCAGGUCUCAACUUGAAUACUGUACUGAGAACCAAAGCUUAGAGCCACCUAUUGCUCAAAAGACUAAAUCAUAUACAUGUGGCGGCUAUUUACAGUCGAAAGACUACUAAUUUGAAAUGAAAUGCGCCUUUACGCUUUCAUUGCAAAGUUAUUCCAUCAACUGUAAAUUCACAUCUAGAGUUUUACAACUUCAAAUUGAAUAACCAUGAAAUUUACAACAAAAAUUAUAAUGGCACAGCUCAAACAACAGCAGGACUAGAUCUACUAACUAAUAGAGAAAUUGAAUACAACAACAAAACAGAAAGAAGAAAAGAAUUCAAAUACAGCAAAGACAAUAUGAUGGUCAUUCCAGCAGAGCAUAAUCCUUCAAGGCAUCAUCAAGCAAGUAGUGCCAUCUGGAAGACAUGUAAAUCAAGUGGCUUCCAUUGGGUGCCUCCUUCAAGAAUGAUGCAGCUUCUCAUACACUAAACAACAUGACUAAACACCAAAUCUCCAAUAUACAUUGUCGAGAAACAAUACAAUUUGACUCAAAAUUAAAUAAAAGAAGAAGAAACAGACAAUUUGAUAUCCAUGAAGAAAUGUACAAGUGAAAAUUGUACAUCAGCAGCACACCAUAGACCUCCAUGAAGAGAGAAACAAACCCUAAACAAUUGUUUCAGUCCCAGCUAAUUUACAGUGCAGCAUUCAUUUACAACUCACAACCCCUAAACCCAAGUACACCUUGCGGUUACAUUAUACCCAAAAGAAAAAAAAGAAAAAAAAAAAGGUAAGAUUCUUUACAGGAAGUUGCUUCAACAGAAACUGUGUUGUAUAAAUCUAUGACUAAUUACAAUUUAGCACAGUGGCUUCCUGUUACAAUGUCUUAAUGGAUCAAUCCCAACUCCCUAGUGCAUAGAGCAGACAAUGGAAGUUACAACACACUGAAUAUCUACAACCAAGCACAUCCAAUUCCAUACAAGACUAUUACAACAGAAAAGGGCAUUACAUGUGGACCUAAUACAAAAGGCCUACAAUUACACAAGGACAUUCAGUUCUUUACAUGCACACUGACAAGUCUGCACUUAAUAUUUCACUAGUUGGAGAACACUCUUUCUAGAUAUUUUGUUGCAGGAGCACUAAUACAUAUUUUUAAGUGGUGCUUCAAGAAAAUAAGGUGAAAGUCAAAAUAGUCAAAAGCUUCUUUUGCACACUUGGAAACGCAUCCAUGUAACACAUCUUCCAUCAUGUGACCAGCACAGGCUGAUUCAAUUAUGAAAAGGAGUUGCCCACUCUACUCCCUGGAUAUGAUGAUUAAAAGAAAACCCGCAUGUCAAUAGACAUCAAAUAAAAUAACUUUCCAAGACACCACCUCAUAAUCUAUUGCUGCCACUUAAAUAGAACAAUAAGAAGAGCAAGAGAAAAAAUGAAACAUAGCAAACCAACGUUGACAGUCUCCAAGCCAUGGUGUAACUAAGUUCCCUAUACGUAUGAGACACAUCACAAAACAAUGACAUCAAGCCCCUCCCCAAAUAUUUUGCAGUUUUCAGUCAAAGCUAUUCAUGCCAACAUAACAAUCAAAACUUCCAAGAGACAGACAAUCAAAGUCCAAACUAUAUAAACAUUAUCAUUCAUUCCAACAUACGUAUAAAUACCAGCAUCAGUUAAAUGUCAAGGGAAAGGAACAGAAACAAUCACUUCUCCUUUUUCUUUUUGGGUGCUGCCCCACAUCUUUCUUAACCUUUCAGCUAAGAUCAAGGAUAGGCUCCACUCAAAGAUAAAAUAAAUCAAGAAAAAAAAAACUUCCACAAUCACAUAGAACACAAGGAGUUUUCAAACUAUAUCACAAACCCAAUAAAACAAUUGUCUUGAAGAAAGAUUGGGUAGCAUAGUUAUUAAACCUGUAAGAUAACAGCUGCAGGAAAUGAGUAGCCGAAUCCCCACAGCUAUAUCUUUGUUGGUAUGCUACUAAAAGUUACUAAUUGUUUUUAAGCACACAAAUAUUAAUUGUCACAGCUAAAUGUUUUGUAGAAAGCAGUAUAAAAGCAAGGGGGAAAUGAUCGUUCCCUCCUAUGCUCACUGGUAGAACUUACUUCUCCCUCAAGAAGCCACGUUUGCAGGAAGAAUACAGAUUCACCGUAGGUACCCAAGGCUAGAUAUACUAAUGGUCAGAACUUAUAUUCUGCAGUCUCAAAGACAUGCUAGAGAAGGUCAAUAGUCUAAUUGUGUCACUCAGAUGGCAACCGUCUCCUCUUCCCGUAAUCAACAUCCCUUGAUCGAGACCGAUGAUCAUCUUCCGGCAUUGCUUUGGACCGGCUCCGAGGUCUUGAAGAAGACUGACCUCUGUCCCAGUCAUCCUCAUAACCCACAUCACGCUCUCUCUGUCGAUGGUCUCGGUAACUAUCUUUUUCUUCUUUGUACCGAUGCUCCCUGUGCUCCCCUCUUUCAGACCUGUCCCAGUCUUGUUCCCUCUCAUCACGAUGCCUCCUCUCAGAGUUUCCUGACCAGUCACGCUCAGAUCCCCGUUCUCUUUCCCUCGAGGGAGCAUUUGACCUUCCUCCUUUUUCAUGAUUUGCCUCUCCAUACCCAUACUCAGAAGCACCAUCAUCACCACCAUAACUUGACUCCCUAGUUCUUCGACCAUGUUCGUCUCCUCCCCACCCACCCAUGCUUGGGUCAUUCCACAUCCCUGCAUGAUGCCCAUCCAUUCCAGAAGAACCCAUCAUUCCCAUUCCAUUAGUUGCCAUUCCCCUGCCAAAGAAAGCUGGGUUUACAUGAGGAGCCACCCCAGCAAGUCCCAUUGUAUUAACAGCAGGAAAUGAAGAAAGCAUUCCAGGAAAAGCAGGACCUGGAAAUCCUCCAUAACCGCCUCCUCGGCCCAUAUAUGUUGGAUCAAAUCCAGCACCCAUCAUACCCUGUGGAUUCAUCAUACCUCCUACAGGACCUCCAAACCCAGGACCUGCAAGGCCCUGUCCAUAGCCUCCAUUAGCACCAGUUCCAACACCAGCAGGGUUCCCAGCCAUGUUCUUUGCGCCCAUGGCCCCUCCUCUUCCUCUCAUUGGUCCUCCACCUCCAGGACCUCUGUUGGCUACUCCCUGUCCACCUCGUCCCCAUCCACCCCUUCCAAAAUUCCUCCCUCCAGUGUCUCCAGUUUGAUAGUUCACACCUCCUCCCCUUCCAACACCCUCGUUCAUGGGCCUUCUUCCUGGUUGCUGAGACUGAGUCUGGCCUUGGGAUUUGCUUAAAUAAGAAGCUCCCAUCUGCUUCAAAGUCUGUGGAGAAGCAAAAGCCACAACACAAGCUCUCCCAUUGAAAAGAUAACCAUCCAUUCCCUCUUUGCAUGCAGUGGCAGCAGCUGGAUCAUGAAACUCAACCUGACAAUAUCCUUUGGAUUUACCACUGGCUCUCUCAUCAAAAAACUUAAUUUCCUUGACCCUCCCAUACUGAGAUAAAACACUUUCAAGCUCAGCAUCAGUUGUCCACCAAUGUAGUUCUCCCACAAACAGCAUGGUUGAACCAUUUUCAACUGGUGGCCGGAUUUGGUUUUCAUUAAACAUUGGACGAUUAGCAUUUACCUUGAUACUGAUUUGAUUAGUCGGCAUCUGUGUAACUCCUGUAGGACCAGCAGUGCCAGAAUUCAUAGACGGAACAGACUCGAGAGCAGUUUUCCCAGUAAUGUCAGAAGAAUCACCACCGACAUUUGGGGGCAUAGUUGUCGACCCCUGAAACCCCAUAUGUCUGACUUGAGUAUCAUGACUCAUCUCCAUAGCCCUCCCCUUUUGAGAUCCAGAAGCUCCACCCACAUAACCUGUGGAUCCCAGUUCUGGCUCCUUAGCCACUGGUGGCUGACCCUGUUGUUCUGGAAACUGGGCCACAGCACUAGAAUACUUCCCUUGAACUGAAACCCCAGGAAUUUUCGAUUCCUGAGAGACACCAGCUUGAACUCUUGUUUCAGUAACAUCAGUUUUCUGUGCUUGGAGACCUCCAUUGCCAACACCACCAGGUGGGAGUGGUGCCUCAGACCGGUGCAUCUGCAAGAAACCCUCUCUAACAUUAACAUCAUUAUAGAGAUCAUCAUACUCAUCAUCUUCUACCAUGGGUUCUUCAUCUGCAAGCGCAGAGAUGGCUCCACUUCCCUGAUACUGAAGCUUCUGAGCCCCUCCAUAUUCCUCAUCUUCAUAAUCUAUUUGCUCUUCAGCCAUUGGAUCCAUUUAGAACAACCAAUCUAUAUCCGAAUGAAGUUGGACAAUCGCUAUCUCUAUCUCUACCUACAUGAUUACAGAAGCAAGAAACAGAACUGUUCUUAGACCCAGUACAGAUUUGAAUACAUACAUAACUUAUGCACAGAGAAUAAGAAACAGAACCGUUCUUAGACCCAAUACAGAUUUGACUACAUACAUAACUUAAGCACAGAGAGUAAGAAAGAGGACCCCAAGAUCCAAAUAGUUGUAUCACAGACAUACAGCCUGAAAAGGAGGUAUGAAGUAUGAAACUAUGAGGAUACUAGAAAGAGAAGUAGAAAGCUGUGAUGCUUGCUGAAAAGGGAAUUAAAAAGAGAUGUUUUAGCAACCAAUCAAUCAAAUACAAAACAGUAUAGUUUCUACCAUCAACCAUGAGAAAUCAAUAACAUCAUCAAAAGAAAACAACAGCAGCAACAAAAUGUCCACCAUCCACCCAGCACAGUUGUAGAAAUCAUAACGAAUAAAUUACCCUUUUCAUAAAAUUGCUAAGAAAAUAUAAAUCAAAUUCAAAACCCACUUUGGAAAUCAUAGAUUCCAUAACCGAACUUGGUAAAUUAGACAUCCCAAUCAUAAAUAACAAUCAGAGAAAAUAAAAACAAACCCCACUUGAUAAAAUCGCAGGAAGGAAAUGAAAUUCCAGAUAACCAAGCCCCACAAUAAGGAAAAACAGGUAAGUAGACAACACCCACUUGGCAAAUCUCACAGAAGAAAGAGAAAACUCAAACACCCGCCCGAGAUUUUAACCUUAAAGCAACACAGAAAAAAAGAAGUACCAAAUCUGUAGCUUAAACGUUUAAUAAAGUAAUCGAGAGACAAUGCUCAGAAGAAAAAAUAUAUGAAAAGAAUCAUGGGAUGAGAUUCGAACAUAGAUUGCAGAGGUUGUCUUACUAUCGUCUCUUAGCUACCACAGCGUCCCCUUUCUCAUCAAUAUUAAGUAUCAACUACGGCUAUUCUUUUCCUUCUUCCUCCCUUUGUUUUUGGAUUUUUCUUUUUCAAUUAUUUUCUACGCGAUUUCUACAGUGAAAACAAAACACCCAUUGGGAUCAAGUCUAAGCUCUCUCUCUCUCUCUCCCCCCUCUUGGUGGUCUGUAAAUACGCGAUAAUCUUCUUAUUAUUUCUUUAUAACAGUAAAAGGGUAAGAUUUGGGAUGCUCUUAAACAAAAUUGAUUGACCCUUCUUCUUUUUUAAUAGUCAAACUUCGUUCUUUUUGAAAUGUUAAAACGAUGUGCUCUGCUCUGCUCCGCUCUCCACCACACAAAUCGUGUUAUCAAAAACCGAGUGCUACUCUCAUGACUGAUGCCUUAAAAUAUAACAAAUAAAUAAAUAAGAGUGCUGUUAUUUCAAUUCGAUCUACUUUAUUUUUAAAAUUUUAAAAUCAAAUUAAUCUUUUUAUAAAAUAACUUCUAAGUACUUUUAAAAUUCAGAUAUUAUCCAUAAGGGAUUUACACAACCACCAACAAAUGAUUCAAGAAUCAAACACGUUUUUGGGAUCGCAAAGUUAAUCCAGCUCUCGAGCGAUAUGAGCCUUUGCCUCCUAUUGUUGUCAUUGAGAGCUCCUUUGUUGCUAACUUGCUACAAUACCCCAUUAAUUUCACCAGAUGCAUGUGUCUUGUCCUCCCAUGUGGCUCCUGGGGGUUUUCAUUUUUAUUAUAAAUAUUUUUCUUAUUUUUAAUUAGUUUUUAAAAUGUUUUAUUAAUAUUUAUUAAUAUCAUAAUCAAUUUAAGUUUAAGAACGUGGGUCUCACGUAUACCAUGUCAUCAUUUAAUAUUGAAUUAUAAUUAAAGAGUAUUUUAGGAAUAAUGAUGAGUGAAAAUAUAAGAUUGUGUUUUUUUAAAUUUAUAUAGUGGGUAGAAAAAUAAGGCAGUGAAUAGAAAUGUAAGUUAUGCUAAUUUGAAUAAGGUAGUGUGCUUGGCUCCCUGCAUCUGAAUUCGAUUUCCCUUUUUGUGUACAUUAGAGCACUUCCAGCAGCGGAGGCUGGACUCGAGCUGUGGGGGGUGGGGGGGAACGUUAAAAAAUUUCAAACGCGCGCUACAAUCCCCCAACGACUAGCAGCCAUGUGUCGUCGUCUGAGCUCUUUGAUCGAAUUUUUUCCUCCAAUCCAAUGGCAACGAAUUUUUGUGCAAUAAAAUAAUGAAAAAUUUUUGAAUUUUUUUUUUAAAAAACCCAAUAAUUAAUGAAUUUUUUUUAUAAAUACCAACCAAUACUCUUCACUUUUAACACCAAAUCCUCAUAUGUUUUCUUCUCCUUCAACUAUUAUUCACUUUCUACUCAAUAUUUGUUUUCACUUUCAACUUUUAUUUUUCUCUAUCAUAUUAUGGCUUCUUCUAUCGAAACCGGAGGGACAUGGAGCAUCAUGGAAGAUGUUUUGUUGUGUGAGUAUUAGGUCCAAAUUAGUCAUUGUCCCGUCUUGGGCAAUAAUAUGAAAUUUUGUCAUAUGUGAAAAAAAAUUUAUACCGAAUUUUGUGAAAAAUCGGGUUCGACCCGUACGGAAAUGACAACCGUAGAAAAAGUAAUGGACAACCGUAAAAGCGGGGAAAAUCUUAGCAAUGAGGUAAAUUAUUUGUAAUUUUUGUUUUAUUAAUUUAAAUGUCAUAUUAAUUUUUAUUUAAAUGUUUCUUGCAAUUUCUAUAUUUUGUUAAUAUUUCUUGCGUUUCCAAUAAAUUGUUAAAAUUUCUUGAAUUUCCAUUAUUUUGUUUAUAUUUGUUGCAUUGCCAAUAUUUUUUUUUAAAGUUUCUUGCAUUUCCAAUAGUUUUUUUUAUUAUAUAGAUUAUGCAAGCGCAAAUGUGGUAUGGUGCUACUAGGCAAGGCAAAAAAACUUUCAACCAUACCCAAUGUUGGGAGGUGGUGAAGAAUUGUAAGAGAUUCUGAAUUAUUCCAACGGGUCCGACGGUGGUGUUGAACGAGACGCCACUCCAUGAUUCACCGGCAUCGGAUUCGCCGAUGGAUUCCCAGAUGAGUCAAGACUCACCCAUCCAAAGGGAGCCUAGACCUAUUGGGAGUAAGGUGGCGAAGGUUAAAAGAGGGAGUAAUUCUACCAAUAAUGCAUCUAAAUUUUUGGAGGAAAUUGCAAGGCAAAGCACCAUGAGAAUUGAAAUAGACAUGAAAAUCCAAGAAGAUGAUAGGGCAAUUCAACUAGAAUAUGCAAAAGAAAGGGAGUCUGUACGCCAAGAAAAUAUUGAGAGGAAGGAUCUGGAACCAUGAUCAUGGAUACAAGCCAUAUGUCCCCUGAAACAGAACAAUUUUGGAAGCUAGAACGAAGGGAUGUUAUGAGACGAAACUUUUCGUGACGAUGGACCUAGUAACACGGAUUGGUUAAAUGAUCAAAGCCAUUAAGUUAGUUUGCUUGCCUUUCAUUUCAUUGUAUUUUAAUGUUUUGUUUUAAAAAUUAGUUGUAAUUCAUGUAUUUUAUUUUAUUAGUUGUAUUGAUUUUCUUUAAGUGAAUAAAGAAAGCAUUCAAUAAAUACAUUUUUAUUCAAAACAUUCCAUACAUAAAAAAUAAACCAUAGCCAAAGCAUUCAAAAAAAAAAAAAACCACAACCAAAGCAUAACUAAAAAUACAACAUAAACAUAGUAAAUUAAAAAAACAUCUUCACUUCACUUCAUUCACGGUCAUUGCCUUUCACCGCCCAUAAAUGCUCCAUCAAGUCAACUUGACGUCGUUCAUGAAUAAAAGACGAUUGUAUCUCUGUAUAUCAAUCAAUCAUACGGGUCAUGAAAUGUGUGUCCCUAACUAACAGUUCAUGCUGCACUGGUUCUCCAUUUGGCCCCAUAGGUUUUUCAUAAAUUUUUGUUAAGGGCGUGUUCAUGGGAUCUGGUUCAUACACGUCUGCAGCAUCGUAAUCAUACUCAUCCUCCACAAUCAUGUUAUGGAGGAUGAUGCAUGUCAUCAUUAUGCUCCUUAGCACCUCCUCAUCAAACAGACGCACCGUACCCCUUAUAAUAGCCCACCGGGCUUGGAGGAUACUAAAGCACCUCUCCACAUCUUUUCUGUAACCUUUUUUAUUGGCAACAAAUAAUUUUUGCUUCUGGGAUCGGGGAUGCAAAAUUGAUUUCACAAAUGUGGUCUAUCUCGGGUAGAUGUCGUCAGCUAGAUAAUACCCAUUCUGGUAUACGGUAUUGUUGAUUUCAUGGCUGAUAUUCGGGGCUUCACCUCUUAAAACAUCGUUGAACACCAGGGAUUGACCCAGGACGUUCAAGUCGUUUUGAGAUCUGGUAACUCUGAAGAAGGCGUGCUAAACCCAUGUAUCGAAUCUAGCAACGGCUUCAAGGAUGAUACUUUUUUGCCCUUUCCUAUUUCCAUAAUCUCCUUGCCAAGCAGUUGAGCAAUUCUUCCAUUGCCAGUGCAUGCAGUCGAUGCUACCAAUCAUUCUUGGAAAUCCUCAAGCUUCGGUUUUUUGUAGAACCCGUUGCAGGUCCCUGGGCAUAGGUCUGCGCAGGUAGUCCCUGGUGUACAGAGUUUCGAUUGCAUCACAAAAUCUCACCAAGCUCUCCAAAUCAGUGGACUUCCCCAUGGGCAAUCUCAUCCACCUGAUCAGCAGAUAACUCAUACGCCAACAUUCGUAUAACAACUGUGAACUUUUGCUCGGGAAGAAUUCCAAAUUUCCAACAGCAUUUUUCUUUUGAACAAAGUAUUCAUCAUAAUUGCAAAUAUCAUGCAUGAAUUUAUUGAACAAAUUGAGUUGCAUUCUAUAUCGCGCUUGAAAAUGAACAUCAGAGUACAGAGAAGUUGGGAUAAAAUAAUCUUCCAGAAGAUUCUUACCCCGAGAAUGUCUAUGUCUAUCCAUAUUCGGGCCAUGACCUUCUUGUGAACCACGACGGCUCUGGUUUUCUUCAUCAAGCAAAGCCAUUGCUAUGACAAUUUGCUGAUCUAGUUCUCUCUGCGCCCUUUUGCCUGCAGCUCGUAUACGCCUUCUUUCUCUAUUUUCUCGUUAUUGCCUCGAUAAGACCUCAUUCAUGCCUGCCAUUGAGAAUGGAGUAUGAAUUCUAAAAUCUGAGAAAUGAAAAUAUAGAAAAGAUCUAGUAUGUGAGGUAUGAGCUGAGCAUCUGGUUUUAUAGAAAAAUUUAGGCAGAUAGAGAUGACACGUGGCGCAAUUUUAGAGGGUGAAAAUCUUAUCUGAAAUUUGAAACCGAAAAUCUUAGCCGAAAAUUUUAUCCGAUUAUGAGAUAUGAAUACUAUUGACAUGUAGGAACCCAAAAAUCUUAUCCGAAAAUAUUAUCCAAAAUAAUUGUUUAGGUAAAAAAAUUUAUGAAAAAAAAAGAAGAAAGAAUAGUAUUUGCCAUUUGCCAUGGCAACUGCUAGAAACACACAUUGCUUUUUGUAAGGGCAGCCACUAUUCUCGUGAAUAGUAGUUGCCCUAGCCCCCCUUGCCAUGGCAAAUGGCAAACUGCUGGAAGUGCUCUUAAGAGCAUUUCCAGCAGUUAGCCCCUUGCCAUGGCAAGGGGAGCCCUAGGACAGCUACUAUUCACGUGAAUAGUAGUUGCCUUAGCCCCCCAACAAAGUGUGUUUCCAGCAAUUUAGGCUUGCCAUGGCAAAUACUACUCAUUUUUUUUUUCACAACUUUGUUUACUUAAACAAUUAAUUUGUAUAAUAUUUUCGGAUAAGAUUUUUGGGUUCCUACGUGUCGGAUAAGAUUUUCGGUUUCAAAUUUCAGAUACAUUUCAGAUACAUUUCAAAAUUCAAAUUUCAGAUAAAUUUAAAAUGUCAAAUUUCAGAUAAGAUUUUCACCAUCUAAGAUUGCGCCACGUGUCAUAUCUAUAUGCCUAAAUUUUUCUAUAAAACCAGAGGCUCAGCUCAUACCUCCCACACCAGAUCUUCUCUACAUUUCCAUUUCUCAUAUUUUAGAUUUCAUUCUCCAUUCUCAAUGGCAGACAUGCAAGAGGUUUUGGAGAGGCAAGAGCGAGAAACUAGAGAAAGAAUGCGUAGACGAGCUGCAAGCAAAAGGGCGCAGAGAGAACUAGAUGAGCAACUUAGCAUAGCAGUUGCUUUGCUGGAGGAAGAAAACCAGAGCCGCCGUGGUUCACGAGAAGGCUGUGGCUCGAAUGUGGACAGACAUAGACAUUCUCAAGGUAAGAAUCUUCUGGAAGAUUAUUUUAUCCCACAUUCUCUAUACUCUAAUGUUCAUUUUUGAGCGAGAUAUAGAAUGCAACCCCAUUUGUUCAAUAAAGUCAUGCAUGAUAUUUGUAAUUAUGAUGAAUACUUUGUUCAAAUGACAAAUUGUGCUGGAAAUUUGGGACUUCUUCCCUAGCAAAAGUUCACAGCUGUGAUACGAAUGUUGGCAUAUGGGUCAUCUGCUGAUCAGGUGGAUGAGGUUGUCCGGAUGGGGAAGUCCACUAUUUUGGAGAGUUUUGUGAGAUUUUGUGAUGCAGUGGAAACUCUGUACACCAGGGACUACCUGCGCAGACCUACGCCCAGGGACCUGCAAAGGCUUCUACAAAAAGCUAAGUCUCGUGGAUUUCCUAGAAUGAUUGGUAGCAUUGACUGCAUGCACUGGCAGUGGAAACAUUGUCCAACUGCUUGGCAAGGGGAUUAUGGAAAUAGAAAAGGGCAUAAAAGUAUCAUCCUGGAAGCAGUUGCUGGUUUUGAUACAUGGGCUUGGCACGCCUUCUUCCGAGUUGUCGGAUCUCAAAACGAUUUGAACAUCCUGGGUCAAUCCCUAGUGUUCAAUGAUGUUUUGAGAGGUGAAGCCUCAAAUAUCACAUAUGAAAUCAACAGCACCGUAUACCAUAACGGGUAUUAUCUAGUUGAUGACAUCUACCCGAGGUGGACAACAUUUGUGAAAACAAUUCCACAUCCCUGAUCCCAUAAGCAAAAAUUUUUUGCUGGCUAUCAAGAGGGGUACAUAAAAGAUGUUGAGAGGUGCUUUGGUAUCCUUCAAGCCCGGUGGGCUAUUAUCAGGAACGCGGUGCGUCUAUUUGACGAGGAGGUGCUUAGGAGUAUAAUGAUGACUUGUAUCAUCCUUCACAACAUGAUUGUGGAAGAUGAGCAUGAUUACGAUGCUGAUGAAGUGUAUGAACCAAAUCUCAUGGACACGGCCCUAACACGAAUUUAUGAAAAACCCAUGGGGCCAAAUGGAGAACCAGUGCAGCAUGAACCGUUGGUUAGAGACAGUAGUUUCAUGUCCCGUAUGAUUGAUCGCUACACGGGGAUGCAAUCAUCAUAUAUUCAUGAACGCCGUCAAGUUGAUUUGAUGAAGCAUUUAUGGGCGGUGAAAGGCAAUGAAGUGAAUGAAGUGAAGUGAAGAUGUUUUUUUAAUUUAUUAUGUUUAUGUUGUAUUUUUAGUUAUGCUUUAUUUUUUUUAUGCUUUAGUUGUGGGUUGUUUAUUUUUUAUGCUUUGGUUAUAGUUUGCUUUUUAUGUAUGGAAUGUUUUGAAUAAAAAGGAAUUUUGUUGAAUAUUUUCUUUAUUCACUAAAAGAAAAUAAAUACAAUUAAUAAAAUAAAAUACAUGAAUUAAACAAAACAAAAAAUACAAUGAAAUGAAAGGCAAGUAAACUAAGACAUAAAAGGCAAGUAAACUAUUUUAAUGGUUUUCAUCAUUUAACCAAUCCGUGUUGCUAGGUCCAUCGUCACGAAAAAGUCUUCGUCUCAUAACAUUCCUUCGUUCUAGCUUCCAAAAUUGUUUUGUUUCAGGGGACAUAUGGCUUGUAUCCAUGGGCCAUGGUUUCCCGAUCUUUUUUUUCAGUGUUUUGUUCGCGUACAUACUCCCUUUCUUUGCGUACAUACUCCCUUUCUUUUGCAUAUUCUAGUUGAAUUGUCAUAUCAUGCUCUUGUUGUUUCAAGUCCAUUUCAAUUCUCAUGGCUUGGUGCUUUGGAAGUUCCUCCAAAAAUUUAGAUGCAUUCUUGCUAGAAUUACUCCCUCUCUUCGCCUUUGCCUCCUUCCUCCCAAUAGGCCUUGGCUCCUUUUCAAUGGGUGAGUCUUGACUCAUCGGGGAAUCCAUAGGGGAAUCCAUAGGUGAAUCCGAUGCCGGUGUCUCAUGGAGUGACGUCUCAUUCAACACUACCGUCGGACCCGUUAGAAUAAUUUGGAAUCUCUUACAAUUCUUCAUCACCUCCCAACAAUGGGUAUGGUUGAAACUUUUUUUACCUUGCCCAGUAGCACCAAACCACAUUUGUGCUUGCAUAAUCUAUAAAAAAAAAUUAAAUGAAAAUGCAAGAAACUUUAAAAAAUAUUGGCAAUGCAACAUGUAAAAAAAAAAAAAAAAAAAAAAAAAAAAACUAAUGCAAAUGCAAUAAAUUUUUAUAAAAAAUGCAACAUGUAUAAAAAAAAUACAAUAAAUAUUAACAAAAUAUAUAAAUUACAAGAAACAUUUAAAUAAAAAUUAAUAUGAUAUAGAAAUUAAUAGAACGAAAAUUACAAAUAAUUUACCUCACUACUAAGGUUUUCCCCGCUUCUAUGGUUGUCCAUCGCUUUUACCAAGGCAUUUCUCCAUUUUGCCAACUCUUUAUUAAGAAUUUUCCACCCACUAGAUAAUGUCAUUUCUGUACGUGUCGAACUAAUUGCCCUUUCACAAAAUGCCUGAUGAAUUUUUUUCCACAUAUGACAAAAUUUAAUCUCAUUGCCUGUUACGGGACAAUGACUAACUUGGACCCAAGCCUCACACAAGCUAACAUCUUCCAUCAUGCUCCAUGCCCCUCCAUUUUCACUAGAAGAACCCAUAAUAUGAUAGAGAAAAAUACAACUUGAAAGUGAAAAAAAAUAUUGAGUAGAAAGUGAAUAAUAGUAGAAGGAGAAGAAAAUGUUAGAGGAUUUGGUGUUAAAAGUGAAGAGUAUUGGUUGGUAUUUAUACAAAAAAAAUGCAGUAUUUUUUGUGUAUUUUUUAAAAAAAAUUCAAUUUUUUUUCAUUUUUUUAUUGCAAAAAAAUUGGCUGCCGUUGGAUUGAAGAAAAAAAUCGAAUUGGAGAGCCAAUACACCGACACGUGUAAGGUAGCCGUUGGCAGCUACUGUAGCAAGACGUUUGAAUUUUUUUUUAACGUUUAGCGAAAAAAUUUGAAAGCUAAAGGGCUGACGCCAGCUUGGCGUUAGCUAUGACGUCGCAGCCCUCGGGCUCUUGCUCGGGCCAGCCCAGUCUCGUGGCCCCCACCUCUUGCCCGGGCUGCCUUUUGUUGCUGGAAACUCGUUUUUCUCCCAAACACNNNNNNNNNNNNNNNNNNNNNNNNNNNNNNNNNNNNNNNNNNNNNNNNNNNNNNNNNNNNNNNNNNNNNNNNNNNNNNNNNNNNNNNNNNNNNNNNNNNNCCCCACUUUAGAGAUCGAGGUGUAAAUUUGGGUCUGGCCUUGUGAAUCUGUAAUCGAUCCAAGCAAUCCAUUUCUUUACGAGUAGAUCGUCUACGUAUGGAUAAUGUUUUUUCCAAGAUAGGAUACCCCCCCCCCCCCCCCCCCCCCCCAAAGCCCGAGUCCAGCCUUAGUUGUUGGACUUGCUCUAAGGUAAGAGUAAUUAGGCCUAGUAAGAGAAAACAUCUUUUGCUGGGUUGAGCCAGUUUGAAGGCCCCAAGAACAGCCUGAUGACAAAUUCAUGGGAACAGUCCAAUACAAACAAAAGGUACAAAUGUGUUAUUUUUGCUCUCUUAAAUUCAACCAAUGUCCACUUGUAUGAAUACAAAAUUGAUGGGGCGUAAUUAUACGUUUGCGGUAUUAAGGAUUUUGAUGCGCCCUAUUCUUUUAUUUUUUUCUUGUUGGAUUGUGGACAAAGAUGUUCAGAUAAUUUCAAGACAAUGUAAUUGACAUUUUAUCUGUAAUAGCAGAUUAGCGAUUUAAACUAAUAAUCGUAUUAAACAAAAUGAAUUUAUACACACAAUUUGUGACAAAUUUCUUGAAAUUAAAAAAAGUCAAAUUAGAAAUUAUUGUACUACAACAAUCCAAUUCAAAAGAAUAGGCCUACCUGAAGUGUACUACGGUGUAAUUAUCAGUCGAGGGAAAAAAAAAAUGAAAGGCUAAUAAUAAUCUUGAGCAAACUCUAUUCUAAGCUGAACACCAAAACUGCAAUUCAGCCAGGUUCAUGUCUUCUUGCCCAAAUCACGAUUCUCAUCUCAUCUCAUCUGAUCCUUCAGGGCCACUUGCCACUUGCCACUUGGACAUGCAACACCGCAGAGGCUAUUUCCUAUUGGUUUCUAAGAGACCUAUUGCCCCCUAAAUGAAAUUAUCAUUACAAAAAAAACCCCACAUCCCUUACAAAAUUAAGAUUAACUGAGUAAUUAUAUUACAAACCGCCUCUAGCAGCACAUACAUACAGAUGAAACCAGGAAAAUAUCAGGAAAUGCAUUACUGAGCACGUAAGAGACAUAUUUUUUAUCAGGAAUUGCCGGCAAGUGAUCCAGCCAAAAUUGAUGUUUUCAUCAAUACAUACCCUUGAAAACAGGAUUUGUUCUGCAUAUGCUCGCACCAUAUUCCUCAUACUCUUCUUUUGUAUGGCAAGCCUGUACAGAAAGAAACUCCUCAAUCAACAGUAAAAAUUUGGAAAGAGAACAAUGAUAAAAACUUGGGGCAGUUUUAUAUUAGCAAAAAACAAGGUGAAAGCUCAGCAUCAAAUGCUGUGGCUGCAGAAAUAUCAAACACUCGCGUAUGCAUGGUUUCAGAGAGGAGAUGGUCUCCUCAUCCAUGAUCAAUUAAGUUCCCCUUGAUGCCAUUCAAUUGCUGAAUAAAAUGGCUCAAGUUAUCAUAACAAAAGGCACUAGAAGGGACAAAUGGGACAAACACCUUGACCUCACAGAGCCCCUAGUUCUGAAAUUAGUGUGGCUUUUUGGAACUCUUCCUGAAGCAACCACCAAAUAUAGCAUACCAUUUCCACACAAAAAUUAGACCAAUCUCUUUUCUGAUGUCAAGUGUCAAAUUAUAUGGACUUCCGCAUCGUGCAAAUAUAAUAAGAUAAUAAUUGUUUUUAUCUCCGUUUUAACUGGCAGAACUCAUUAUCGGUAGUGAGUGAACCAAUAAAAUUAUAUAUUCAAUUAGCAAGAUAUUGUCAAAAACCCAAUCUGUAAAACAAUGAUCUAAGGGUUUCAAGCCCCAUAGCAACAUGAAGAUUAUUUGAGGGUUUCAGGAUGCAGGGAGAAAGUUAUAGAGGAAUAAUGAGAUUGUCUGCCUAUGUUAACAGAAAUUCUUUAUUUUUGUUUUUCAUACCGCAUAGAAUUCAGGUGUGGAUGCAAGUACAGAGCCUCCAAACCAAACUGCAAAUCUCUGGAUGGGAUGACUAACAACAUUUACUUCCACUGGCUGUGACUGCAUGCCCAAACAAAAAUAAAAAUCAAACAUAUUAAUUGUUUUUUUUUAAAAAAAAAAAAAACACAUGCUGACAAGUUUAUUGAUAAAUUAUACAUUGCACAACAUCUGAAAUAAAAUUGCUUACUUUUAAUUCCCCACCAACUCGAGCUUCAGAUGCAAGAAGCCGGGCAUCGACAAUCUUCUUUAUAUCCCGUUGCAACCUCCUGUGGAAGUCCUUGAACAUGGUUGAACCUCCGGACAACACUAUAUUCUGAGAAUUACAGUAACAGUAACAAUAACAAGACUAAUCAAUAAGUUGUAUAAAGAAAUCUUAAAUGUAAGAACGAAGAUCACUAAAUGCAUCAGGUCAUAAUACCAUAAUCUUUGGCGAAAUUCACAUAAGAUUAUAAAAAUAAAAAAAAACUUGCAUGUGAUUGUCUGGACCUUAGAACUAAAAACAUUUCAAACACCAGAUUAUGAACAUAGGAAAUAAGAAAACAAAUCAGAAUCAAAUGAAGUUGCAGAAAACAAUAUUUAGAUAGAAGGACAUAACUGAAGUUAACAAAAUUCAACCCAUGUCCAAAGACCAUUCAGCAAUGGUUCAUGAACCCAUUACAAGGCUCAGUCACCACAUUUGAGCCACACACAAUAUUACUUCUUAUUGCUUCAAUUAAAUUAUCCCAUCUAUGAGCAAUUUCCAAAGCCUACUUCACCUUAUACAAAGACCUCCUAGUGUCAAUUGGCGCGGACUGAAUACACUUGUCAAUUACAGCUGGUAAGGGAGUGGUGAAGUCAUUGCUAUAAAUCUCAGGAUUAAAGAAAACCUGUUAUAAUAUAAAAAAUUCAAGACAAAUUAGCAGAGCAAAUGUUAGUAACAAGCAAUCAUUGAGAAGAAAUUCAGGAGCAAUUUCCCUUCUUAAUCUUGCCAAAAAAAAAAAAUAUCCUUGGGGGAGGAGGAAGAAAGCAAACCUCUGGACCAAGAAAUCGUUCAUAGCCAAUGUCACAAGAGUAAGGUGCGCCUGUCUUUGGUUUAAUGCCUCUCCAUUGCUUAAUAUACUUGGAUGGUUCUUUAUCGUGCUUAUUGAACUCCUGCAAUCAUUGGAAAAACAGAUUUUCUCAUCAAUCAAUUUCCAAAUUGAAAAAUAGAUUAACGAAAAUAGACGUGUAACAUAAGAAGUUGUGAAGUUGCAAUAUAAUCAGUCAAGCUCAUUACAGCAGGUAUAAAGAAAAACUACACCCAUUUGUAACAAGGUCUUGAAAAAAAAAAGGAUGAAAAAGUGACCUUGACAAUGUCAGAACUAGUAUAGCAAUACAUUUCCUUCACUUUGCGAGCUACGUCAAAGGAGUCUUCUGGUGGCACAUUCUCUCCUCUUUCCUGCACAUAAUGCAAUAAUCAUUACUACCCAAACACUUCAUUUGUAAAUCUUAGUUCAUAUUCCCCAUCUUGUAUGGUUUCCAACUAAUAACCAUAUCACUAUAAUGAUGUCAACAAAGGUAAUAAGAAUGCAACUGACAAUAAUGGGAUUCCGAAGGAAAAAAAAAAACAAUGAACAGUUAGUAGUAGUAAGAGUAGAAGACAGCAUACCCGCAUAAGCUGCUGGACAAAGAGAGUUACAUCUUUCCCGGCAAUAGGAACUGACUUGAUGCUGCUCCCAAUAACAUAACCUUCUGCAACAGGUACAACAUGAGUUGCUCCAUCUCCAACAUCUACCACAACCCCUGUCAUCUCACACUAAGAAAUUUGUAGGUCAAUCAAAGAGGAAACGAUCAAAAGAUACCAAAACAAUAAAAUAAUAAUAACAGACAUAAACUAGCACUUCACACAACAUACAGGCAACAGAUAAAGUAAUUUACAAUUUAAUGAAUAGCAUAGAACUCGAUGAACUUCCUAACACACUUUAACUUAUGAUAAACACACACGUAAUCUAUAACACAAAAAAAUUCAAUACCAACCUUAGACGUUGUGUAACCAGCUGCAAGAGCAAGUACCGAAUUCACGGCAAUGUAAAGGCCAGGAACAUUGAAAGUCUCAAACAUAAUUUCGCCAGUAUACUCACGACUCUCCGGGGCAGUAAGCGGACUCUCAGUUAAAAGAAAAUAGUGGUCUUCAGGAUCACAACGCAAAUAGUUGAAUAUGCAUUGCUGCCAAAACCGCUCCAUUGAAUCCCAAUUCUCGACCUGACCCUGGCGAACGGGAUAGCUUAGAUUGUAAGUUGUACUAGAUCGAGAUCUUUCCAGGGCCUCAUCCCCUAUAAAGAAAUCAAGAUCAGCCAUUACGCCAGCAUUGUGCUGCGCUAGCCAACCAGCCUUGGAGGAGGUUCUGGCCGGGUUCAGAAACGAUUCGUUUAAGGCAACUACAGUCGGAACAAUGUAACACGGCUCUACAUUACCCGCGAACCCCAUCUUAGUAUACCUACAAAAAUGGAUGGAAAUGCACAUACUGAAUAAAAUUCCUUUUUGGGUAAUUCUGACAAACAGGUGGUGCGUAAUGCGUGUAAAUCAAAAUUCAAUAGAAAAACACAAAGAAAGUCAAUUGGGGCAUUCCAUCGAACAGGUUGUGUGCGUAAAUACGUACCCACUGCCAUUGUCGAUAACUACAGCGGGGCGAGCAGCCGGGUCCAUGAGAAAAAGAUUGAAAACGGGCUUGGAUUUGAUUUGAAUGGCGGAGGUGGAUCUGCAGCUGAGAUCCAAUAGAGGGCGUAAGGGAAAUGAUCAUGGUCGUGAAGAGCGCUUUGUAGAGCGCAAGAACAGAUAACCCGAAGAGGAAGCUGGUGCUGUUGACGUUGUUGAUGGCGACACAGACUUGGAUCGGAAGCGAAAGCAGCGACUCAACGCACAGCUUGGUAGCUUGCAGCAGUUGGUGACUGUGAUUGAUGCUCCACCCAUUUCAACGACGACCAUGGAAACUGAAUUCAACGCCAGCUCUCAUCAACUGCAUCAUCAUUGCUCUGUUUCUCUGCGUUUUUCUCCGAUUCGAUGCUUUUAUUGGCAAUCAAACAACGGCGCACCGACUGUGACCCCCCUUGCUUUCUCUUUUAUCUAUCUUCCUUUUCUUUUUGGCUAGUUACCUUUUGUCGUUCGGGUUUCUUUUGAUAUGACGUCGGUUUCUUACCGUUAGAUUUGGACACCUGGCAACGGUCAGAUUUUGGCUCUGGCGGGAGUCAUUGUGGGACCCGCGGAAUGUAUAUAGCGAAAUGGUCCGUCGGUGGUUGUAACUUGUGCCCUUGUACUAAAAACUUUCUCGGUAUUGACGAUCUUGAUUCUUGGUCGAGUUCAAACUAAGUCAUGUAAAACACAAGUCACGGCAUAAUUCGAUAUAUUAAAUUAUUCUAAUGUAUGUGAAGGGAAAUUUAAUUUGAUAUCGCUAUUUCAAAUUACUAUAAGAGCAACUCCACCUCUUAGGGCAAAGUCUAAGGCAAGGGCAAGCAAGGGCUGACACUAUUCACGUGAAUAGUGUCAGCAUUGCCAUUUGUGGUUCCACCCACAAGAGCAAAGUCUAGGGCAAGUCUAAGGCAAUUACUAUUCAUUGUACUUUAUUUCCUAUUUUUUAUACUUUAAAUCAUUAAUUUUGAUAAUCUUUUGUAAUUAAAUUUUCGGAUAAGAUUUUCGGAUGUGAAUCUCGGUUACCACGUGUCUUAUUCCAGAUAAAAUUUUCGGAUAUUCAUUAAUAAAAAUUAUAAUCUCAGAUUUCCGAUAAAAUUUUCACCCUCUAAAAUUGUGCCACGUGUCCCAUGUCAGAUAAGAUUUUCAGAUAUUUUUAAAAAAUUAUAAUCUCAUAUUUCAGAUAAGAUUUUCACCCUCUAAAAUUGUGCCACGUGUCCCAUGUCUGAUAAGAUUUUCAGAUAUUUUUUUUACAAAUAGUGAUCUCAGAUUUCAGAUAAGAUUUUCACCCUCUAAAAUUGUGCCACGUGUCAUUUCUAUCUUCUGAAUCCCUCUAUAUAACUACACCAUCAACACCACUCCUCUCACACCAUCUCUGAUAUAUUCCUUCAUUUCUCAGAUUUUACAAUUUCCCAUUAUACUCUCAAUGUCAAACUUCAGGAGGGUGUUGGAGAGGCAACAGAAAGAAUGGGAAGAAAUCCGGCGUAGACGUGAGGAAGAAGAUCGGGACGCCGAUGAAGAAGAGGAAGAAAUGCUUGAAGUAGCAGCGGUGUGUAUGAUGAAUCAAUCAAGCCAACACCAUCGUCGUCGUGCCCCGAAUGUGGACAGACGCAGAGAGUCUCGGGGUAAGAAUCUCUUGGAGGAUUACUUUAUCCUAAAUUCGUUAUAUCCUGCUCAUAAGUUUCGAGAGAGAUAUAGAAUGCAGCCACAUUUGUUCCAAAAAAUCAUGCAUGAUAUUUGUAAUUACGACACAUACUUCAUUCAAAAGCAUGAUGCUGUUGGAGUUUUGGGUCUUAUCCCGGAGCAAAAACUUACAGCUACUUUGCGGAUACUUGCUUAUGGGGCAUCUGCAGAGCAGGUGGAUGAGAUUGCAAGGAUGGGAAAAUCUACUACCCUAGAGUGCUUGGUGAGAUUCUGUGAUGCAGUGGAAAAUUUGUACACGAGGGAGUACCUUCGCAAACCCACUCCAAGGGACCUGCAAAGGCUUCUACAAAAAGGCGAGGCUCGAGGUUUCCCAGGAAUGAUCGGAAGCAUCGAUUGCAUGCAUUGGCAGUGGAAGAAUUGUCCUACUGCGUGGCAAGGAGACUAUGGGAAUCGGAAGGGCCAAAAAAGUAUCAUUUUGGAGGCCGUAACUUCAUUCGGCAUGCCUUUUUUGGGGUUGGCGGAUCUCAGAAUGACCUCAAUGUCCUUGGUCAAUCCCCGGUGUUCGACGAGGUAUUGCGAGGCCAUUCCCAUCAGGUCACAUACCAAAUCAACAAUACCGUAUACUCUGGUGCGUACUACCUUGCCGACGGAAUUUAUCCUAGGUGGACGACAUUCGUGAAAACAAUUCCGAAUCCCCAAUCCGAGAAGGAAAGAAGCUUUGCUUCCUUUCAAGAAGGUUACAGGAAAGACGUGGAAAGGUGUUUCGGUAUCUUGCAAGCUCGUUGGGCAAUUAUCAGGGGUGCUGCUCGGAUGCUAGACGAGGAGGUGCUGAGGAGUAUUAUGAUGACUUGCAUCAUCCUCCACAACAUGAUUGUGGAGGAUGAGUAUGACUACGAUGCUCCAGAGGUGUUUGAACCCGAUCCUAUGAACACGGCGUUGACAAGAAUAUAUGAAAGGCCGAUAGGACCAAAUGGACUACCAUUGGAGCCCGAACCGUUACUUCACGAUGGUCGAUUCAACAACCCCAUGAUUGAUCGUUAUCAAGAAAUGCAAUCUUCAUAUGUUCACGAAAGACGUCAAGUUGACUUGAUCGAGCACUUGUGGCAGAUGAAAGGCAAUCACAAUGGAUGAAGGCUAGAUUCGUGCUUUGUUUGGAAUUAUGCUUUGUUUUUAAUUAUGCUUUGUUUUUGUGUGUUGUGUUUUGUGGAAUUAUUGCGAGGUCUUUUUUAUUAUUAUGCUUUUAUGUAUGGUUUGUUUUGUGUGUUGUUUGCAAUAAAUGAAGGGUUGUUUUUAAUUAAUCUUUGUGAGGAAUGCUCAAAUGUUUUUAAUAAGUAGUCCAAUUAUAGAAUGCAUUUUUGAUUGAAUAAAAAAGAAACAAUACAACAAUUUAAAGGAUAAUACAACAAUUUAAAAAAAAUACAACAAUUAUAAAAAAAUACAACAAUACAAUCUAAUGGUUUUCAUCAUUUAGCCAAUCCGUAUUGCUAGGACCGUCGUCAUGGAAAAGUUUUCUUCUCAUCACAUCCCUUCGUUUAUGCUUCCAAUAGGCCUUUGUUUCAGGAGACAUAUGGCUCGUAUCCAUGGCCAUGAUUGUCAUCUCUCUUUCAUCGUCGUCUUUUUCUUUUGCAUGUUGCUUUUCAAUUGCAAAGGCUUCCAAUCGUGCCUUGUCUGCUUCAUCUCUCCUCAAGUCUCUCUCCAAUCUUAGAGAGUUGUUCUUAGCUAUUUGCUCGAAUAUUUAAACACAAUCAAUGUUCGAAGUGGCCCCUCUCUUGGCCUUUGCCGCCUUUCUCCCAAUAGGUCUCUGCGGACGUGGGAGUGGUGACUCCGUUUCCAUUGGGGAGUUUAAUGGCGAAUCGGUUGAUGGCGAUUCGUGGAGCGGCGUCUCAUGCAACACAACCGGGGGUGCGGUAGGAAUAAUUUUGAAUCUGGAACAAUCUUUGACAAUUUUCCAACAUUGAAAAUGCACAAAACUUUUUUUCCCUUGCCCUGUGGCACCGAACCACAUUUGUGCUUGUAUGAUCUAUUCAAAAUAAAUAAUUGGAAGUGCAUUAAAAAAAUAUACAAUGCAAGAAAUUAUAAACUAUUGUGAAAUGCAAGAAUAAAAUUGAUUAUGUAAAUAAAUAAAGCCAAUUAGGAAAUGCAAAAAUAAAAUAAACAUUGUGCAACAAAAAAUAAAUAGAAUAUGCAAUAAUAAAAAAGUUACAUUAAAUUGAUUAAAAUGGCAAUUAAAAAUAUUUUACCUCAUCGGAAAGAUUCGCACCGCUCCGAAUGUUCUCAUUUGCUUUUGUCAAUGCAUUUCUCCAUUUUCCUAACUCUUUGUUUAGAAUUUUCCAUCUACUAGACAAAGCCAUUUCAGUCCGAAUGGAACCCGAUCUUUGACAAAAUUCUCCAUGAAUUUUGCUUCACAUAUGAUGGAACUUCAUCUCAUUGCCCGUGAUAGGGUCAUGACUAACGUUCACCCAAGACUCGCACAACGCAAUAUCUUCCUGGGUUGACCACGAGCCUCCGAUUUCAACAGAAGAUGCCAUUUGUUUAUUUUCUACAAAUGGAAAGUAGUACAAAAAUGUGAGUGGGAGGUAAAAAAUAUUGGAAGGAGAAGAGUUUAUAUGGAAUUGGUGUGGAAAGUGAAAAAUAUGAGUAGAGAGUAAAAAAUAUUGGAAGGAGAUGAGUUUGUAUGGAGAUUUGGUGUGGAAAAUGAAUUAUGUGAGUGGAGAGUAGAAAAUAUUGUAUGGAGAAGAAAUUGUAUGAAGAUUUGGUGUUGAAAGUAGAUAAAAUGGUUAGGUAUUUAUAGGGAAAAAAUACAUACAUUUUUGGUAUUUUUUUUAAAAAAAAUUUCAGAAUUUUUUCGAAUUUUUUCUGAUUUUUUAGGAUUUUUUUAAAUUACCGUAGGAUUUCUGAAAAAAAUUCAAUCGGAGCCACCCGGAGCCGACACGUGGCAUGUAACCGUUGGUGCUGACGUCACGAUGACGUCAGCGCACUUCGGUCAAAUUUUUUUACCGUUGGCGCGUGUAUUACACUCGCCAACGGUAAAAAAAUUUGAAUUUACGUCGCUGACGUCAGCAUCAACUCGGGCUCGAGCCCAGUCGAAUUUUGCCCUUGGGCCUGCCCGAGCUCGUGGGACCCGCAACUUGCCCGGGCUGGUUUCGUCGCGCUGGAGGUGGACUCGGGCUCAUUUCUGCCUUUUGCCUGGGCCAGCCCCUACCGCUGGACAUGGCCUAAUGCAUGGGGAUAAGAAAUUGAACUCGAGUGUAAAGAAACGAGCAUACUAUCUUAACUAAUUAACUUCACUUACAUUUGAUUUCGUAAACAUUUUUUGAACUUUGAGAAAGCAUCAAGUUUAAUUGUCCCUUUUUUCAACAUUGAUCAUCAUCACUUUUGUGCCCCAUACACCACUAUACUUUUACAUCUUGAGCUACUUGAGUAGCUACAAAAAUAAAAGAUGAUGCCUUGUUUGAUGGAAUUGAAUAUGGGGAUCUUAAUAUUGAUUGUUAUGGUGGCAAAGGGCGCAAUACAUCCACUGCUUUUCUUCAUCCUAGGUUUUUACCUCUCGCAUCAUUACAACUUAUAAGUAAUUUUGUGGACAAAAGCUGCUCGAAAGCGAGGACACAGUCCACUGCGACAUAACCAAUAAAUAAAUAAAAUAAAAAAUUGCAAAGGCCCAAACCAAACUCUCCAUCGCUACCGACGAAAUUCGGCCCCUUAUUUCUAACAACAAACAAACUGCAUGUUUGAGGUCCAAUCGUACCUAUGUCUCAGUGGGUCCCACCCAAAUAUUCAAUCAAAUCAAACCAAGUAUAUUUUCCGUUUACAUUUUAGUUAUUAUAAAAUAAAAAGGCAAUGCAAAUUGUGCUUAAUUUGAUCCACACUUACGUGUCUGUCUAUAAAUAAUUUUUUGGUUAUAAAUCUAUAGAAUGUGGAUGAUCACCAUAACAUUUAUUACCUCCACUCCUUAUUGCUUUGUAACUUAUGUCUUUAUUAUUGUAAUUAGUAACUAUAAAUUGUAGGUUAAAUACUUUUAUUGUAAGUCUAUAAAUAGGUGCUUAUCAAAGAUGAAUAAGAUAAGUUGAUACAAGUUCAUAAAACAAAUUUCUUGUCUUUCUCUUCCUCUUUGCUCUCUACAAUUCCCCAUAGUCUAUAACACGUUACCAGCACGACAUUGCUCUUGAUAUAUUUUCUUUGUCUGAUUUUUCAUUCUUCUUAUAUGAGUUAGAGUCAUCGCAUGGUAUAAAGUUUCUUUGUACUCACUAUCAGACUUCAUCAUGCUUGUUUAAGAAAAAAAAAAUCUUAUUCUUAUUACACAUGAAUAUAAUGCUAUAUUUUAUUUACUUAUUUAUUUAUUUAAUUUUAAGUAUUCGCUUAAUUAAUUACAAUUUUGUUAUGAUGAGUUUGUAUUAUACAAAAGAUCAGGGCUUGAAGUUCCUCAAUCCUCAUCAUAUAACUAGCUUAAGACAUGGAGUUUUUUUUUAUUGAAUCAGAACCUCAAGUUCUUUGAUUCCAAAUAAUUGAGCUCGUGAAGUUCCGCGAAUUUAAAAAGCACAUAAAGACAUGAAACUCCUUGAUUUUGUAUUAAUCAAAAUCAGAAUUUCAUGAGGCCCACCUAUGUCAAGAACCUGAACCAAAAUUUUCGAGUGCAUAUAUAUUAAUUUGAAUAUGAAGUUCAAUGCACAACUAUUAAAUCAAUUUAUUUAGAUCCACGUUUCGAACCUAAAGUUUCAAAUAUAUGUUGAUAUGAACCUGAAGUUCAUACUUUUUCAUGGAUCUUAAUAUUAUAUAUGAACCUGAAGUUCAUUACUUAUUUGUGGCUAUAUGAACCUGAAUUAGGUGGAAAUCUAAUUCUUAAACUUGUAGUUUUAUCUACAUAUUAAAUCCAUUAAUAUUGGAUUAUCUUGAAAUUUCAUAAUCUUUAAUUUAUUUAUUUUAUUCCUCGUUUAUACCACUUUACUCAUUUUAUUUUAUUUAUUUAUAUUGGGUUAUUAGUUAAUUUCGUUUUACAAUGGUAAUGUUCUGUAUUACUGCCCAAAUAUUGACAGCCAGAGGCGUCUAUUGCAGAAACUUCCUACUUUCUUAUGAGUAGGAAGUUUAUGAUGUCAUGAACCAGAAGUUCAUGAGGCCCUAAUAUUACACAACUAUUAAUGACAGGACCCCGUCCCGAAUUUCCUCGUAAUCCGAGACGAACCCCGUCUUAUUUCCAACAUCUUACUGAUGACGGGCCCAUUGAAGGAUAUAAAGUUAAGUAUGAAGGUUACGGAUUGGUGUUUGUAAAGUGAAAUAAGAUCACUAAUAUGACAUAAGAUUUUUUGAUAGAGACCUGGUUUUAGUCCCCCAUCAUAUCGUAGAUGCAUCCACAUUUCUAUAAAUACAGUGGUGAUUUUUAACGUGAAACUUAUAACAUGUGUUAAAUGCAUAUUUAUUGAGGAUUGUAUGAUACAUGGAAAUCCUUAAAACUCAUGAAAUAUUUGAGAUAUAUCACUUGAAGGGACCCAUUGAAGGAUAUAAAGUUUCACAAUAUUCUUAAUUAAGAUUUAAGACUAAGAGUCUAAGUAGGAAUUCAAAUUUAAUAUUGUUGUGACAUAUUCUAACUAUUAGAAAAUUUGUUGAUGCUCAUAAAGAGUUCAAUCAUUUGAAAAGUGAAAAGCUGGUUCAAUAGUGUGAUAAACGAUCAUGUAUGAAGACAAUGUUGCUUGUAUUGCUCAAAUCAAAAAAGGGUUCAUCAAGGGUGACAUAGCUUCAGAAAAAAGUCAAGAGAUUAGAGUUAAACAAAUUCGUUUACAGGAUAAUUUGGCAAAUCUUUUUACUAAAGCUUUUUCUGAAACCUAAAUUCCAGAAGUUAAUGAAAAUCAAGGAGUGAUAUUAACCAGGGGGAGAUAUCAAUUAGGGGGAGCAUCCCAAUUCUACUACAUAUGUAAUGACCCAAACCUAAGAUUCACAUGUAAUUAGUAAUUUAUUAUGCGGAAAGACAAUUUUGCCCUUUGACUAAAUUAUGAACUCAAAGUUGACUUUUUGACCGAAAAGGAAUUUGACAAUUCCACAUACACCGUUGCGUAGAGUACGACGACACGAGUUCAUAGGCACGAAGUGAGCUCGAAUCGGAGUUUUAACAAAGAAAAUACGGUUAAAAUAUCACGAGGGGCAAAAUGGUAAAUUGGAAAAUCAAAAUUUUUAUAUAACCUUCGCCUCCUCCCUUCCCGUCACCACACCAGCCACCACAGGGUACGCCGAUCUCCGGCGUUGGUACCAGCAGCUUCGUCUCGCCGCCGCCGUCACGCCACGACCUGCCUCCACCCCUGCACCGGCCGGAGCUCGCCGGAAACUGGAGGAGAACUGCCGGUUUUAGGCAAAACUUCAUCUCCUUCGUUCUCCUUCAAUUCUCUUCCAAAUUUGUCAAGUAAGGUAUGAUUUUCUAGCUAUUUUUCAUGCUCUAGCUGAUGGUUGGGUAGGUUUGCAUUGCUUUUGACCGUAGCUAGCUCAGUUUGCAAAUUGGAAUUCGGUCGACUUUCGGCCUCCGUGUUCGGCCACUUUCGGUCAGUUUUUGGGGUAGGUCCAAGAAUAAAAGUGACUCCAAAUGGGGUGUUUUACCUAGGAUAGGAGUUUGGAGUCUUGGUUCCGCGAUUUUUCGACCACCCGAAAUCGCUUAAGACACCCAAAUCUGCCCGCGCGUGCUGGGGAGCGUGGGCGAGGGUGGUGAGGUAAUUUUGUACAGUUUUGUGACCCUCGUGUCGUCACGAGCGCGUAGGAUUUCGCGGAUCUCGAUUCAGAGUUCUUUUGAGCCCCGAACGGAUUUUUCAUAUCGCGCGAUCCUUGGGUGCAGUGUCUUCAAAUCGUUGGAUCACACUGAAUUUUGGAUAUGUCGGUCUACAUGAUUUCAGGAUCGUGUAGGAGUCGACGGAUUGCGAAGGAGUCGACGGAUUGCGAAUCGGAGUCCCGGAUACUCCGAAAUCGCGAACCCUAGGUCUAGGGUUUAGAAACUAUGCGAUUACACGGUCGUGAUUAAUCUGACCGUCCGAUUGACACCAAUACCCUAGGGACAUGUGUCCUAAAUAUAUUGGACCUUCUAGCGGCAUCCGGAUCAUAUUGUACCCGUGGGGUUCCGGAUUGACUUUUUGGACUUUAGCACUUUUUGAGUCCCAAGAUACCGCUAAACGAUCCCAUGUGGAAGGAAAGCUGGUAUGGGCAUAGGAAUCACUUUAAAUUGACGCACAUACUUUUAGGAGCCGGGGGUAGGGUUUUUAAUUUAAUACUAUAUUGUAUUAAUAGAAUAUUUUGGUCAUUGACUCAGGCACCCGGGCACCAGUUGACCCGCAGGAGGGACCUUCAAGAGGUCCAGCGAGUUCGGACUAUCAGUGAGUGGACUCUUUGUUUUUAUAAAUGAAUUUAAGCAGUUCAGUUUCAGUUAUCAGCUGUUUUAUUCUGUUAACUAUUUUAUGUUGCAUGUUGCCGAGUGAAAUUUCCUUUAAAGCAUAUAGGAACAGAUAUUCUUGUUUAUUAUCAGAUAAAUGGCAGCAGAAUUUUAAAGGUUACAGAAAGUUAAUUAUUCAACAGAUUUCCUUCAGAAACUUUAUAUUUUCUUAAAUCACCUUGUACCCAGUUAUUAAAUGUUGCCUUCGGUUUAUAUUUGUUGCCUUCGGUUUAGUCAGCAUGCUUGACAGUUGCCCCACGAGUUCCUUGGUACUCGAACUCGUGUGGAGCGAGUAAUGCGGAUAAAGGUGGACUACGGUCCCCUGAAUCCUGCGAGUUGCGGCUCGGACUGACUUCGUGUCACCGAGACAUGCGAGUAUGUGUCACCCAUGGUGAUGCAAGGAAUUGACGGAUAUAAGGAUUUGACGGAAAUAGGGGUACACCUAGGUGAUAGUUUUCAAUUGUUUUCAAAUUUAGUUAUAUACAUGCAUUUCAGAAAUAAAGAAAAUACGCUAGUUUGUAUAACUGUUUUUACAGUGGGGUUAGUAUGUUCAUAUAGUCUUUUCUAAACUUUGUUUUUGGGUCCACUCACCCUUCUUGUUGUUUUGCGCCCCCAGGCAGUAGACGUGCACAUGAAUCCACCAUCGGGCCACUUCCCAUCUUCCGCGCUUUUCUUUGAUGUAGGAUUUGUAUUUUGUACAAAGAUUCACUCUUUUGUAAAUUCUUAGCAGUCGCUCUGAUGUUUUGCCCUAGACUGAGUUUUGAUCUCUUGGAAUGUAUAUAUACAUAUGCUGGCAGUUGGUUGUAUAUAUGUAUACUUGUUUGGCAGGUGUGAAUGUUUUGGUAUUGAGCCAGUUACAAGGAAAACUCUGCCGAUUUUUCGGUAGAAGUCAACCUUGUUAUUUUAUCGUGUUUGUAUAGAAUGGCAAAUAGGUCUUUUGUGCCCGACAUUUGCCAGGUGUCGGACACGCACAGGGUCUGACUCGGAUUCCAAAGCAGAAUUUGGAUCGGGUCUUGUCAACAUACAUGACAUAUAAGUGUUGUACUCUUUUUUCCUUCGAUUAGGUUUUUGUCCCACUAGGUUUUUCCUAGCAAGGUUUUAACGAGGCAACAUAAGCGUGUCCAACACCAUAUCAAUGAUUCAGAAGAAAGUUGUACUCUUUUUCCCUUCUUUUCGAUUUUGUCCCACUAGGUUUUCCAAGCAAGGUUUUUUUAUGAGGCAACAAUGUCAUUGUAUGGUAGACAUCCAAGGGGAGUAUUAUAAAUCUAUGGAAUGUGGAUGACCACCAUAACAUUCAUUACCUCCCUCCCCUUAUUGCUUUGUAACCUAUGCCCUUAUUAUUGUAAUUAGUAGCUAUAAAUUGUGGGUUAAAUACCUCUAUUGUAAGCCUAUAAAUAAACGCUUAUCAAAGAUGAAUAAGAUAAGUUGAUACAAGUUCAUAGAACAAAAGUCUUGUCUUUCUCUUCCUCUUUGCUCUCUACAAUUCCCCCUAGUCUUAUAACAUUUUUUUGUUUUUUCUCUAAUUUUAUUUUUUUGUUUGAUUAUAAACUCUAUUUUGUUUUUAAUUUUUUAAAUAUUUUAAUAGAUUAGUGUUCCACAUAUUUGUCCAUUUAAAAAUGAAAUUGUUGCAUUUAUUUUGAAAACUUCUAUUAAAUAUGGGCAAAUUUUGGUUAUUCAAAUAAUUUAACCAUAAAGAUUUUUGCUUUAUACAUAUGGAGGAAAUUUGCAUUCAAUUUACUAAAUAUAACAUUCCCAUGCAAAUCAGAAGAAGAAAUCAUUUUGAUGUCCACUAAUGCCAGCUUGAGAUUGCUUUUUUUAAAAAACAGCUUUUGUGGUGCUUUGAAAAUAAUCAUUUGUAAAAUAAAGCGGUAUCAUGUUUGGUAAACAAUAUUUUUAAAGUAUUGUUAGUAUAAAAAAUUGUGUCAAAAUCGUUUGGUAAAUUUUCAUAUAAAAUUAUUGUAACUAUAAAUAAUUACUAAAAUAGACAUAAUGUUGAAAGUGUUAUGUGUUAAUCAUGUGGUAGUGGUGGUGAUGAAGAUGGAGGUGGAGAUGGAGGAGUUGGUGGUGGUGGUGGUAGACAAUGUCAUAUUAAAAAAAUAAUGAUGGUAUUAUGAGAAUUGAAAUUUUUUAUUCAUAUUAAAAAAAAUAAUGAUGGUAUUAUGAGAAUUGAAAUUUUUUAUUAAAGGCUUAUCGCUUAUUCUUUUAAAAGUUGAUGUCAAAAGACCAUUGUUUUAAAAAUAAUCAUGAUAUUUUAUUUUUACCGAAUACCUUAAACUCAUCAACUUUAAAGUGAAACAGAUUUUUUAUUAUAAAAAAAAAUCCAAACGGGACCUUAAUCUACACAUAAAAAAUAUAAGUAAAUUUAGGUUUUACCCAUAAAAAAACUUUCACUUUUGGAAAAAGCCAAAGCUUUUUCAAAAAAGACAGAAAAACCUCUCAACUUUCAAACCAAAGACAUGCAAAUGUAAAGGAUUCCUUAGGAAAUCAAAAAAAAAAAUAAGGGCAAUUUUGUCUAUUUUGGCUUCUUUUAAAAAUUUUCUCUCUCCUUUGGGCUUUUCCAAAGUCUCCCAAAAAUAUAUAACAAAUAUAGUUUGUUGAAUAGCUAAGUGAUAGAUAUAAAAUUACAAUCAUAAUUUUUUUUUUAAUACAUUAGGAUUGAUGAUUUUUGGGUAUGCGACAACAACGAGGUUCUAUUCUAUCAGUCUAUUUCUUUUUUGAUAUAUACUUUUUAUAAUAAAAUAGGCCAAUGUUUUUCUAGAAACAUCGAUCACGGUCGGUCGAAAAUACACUUCAUCGUAAUUACUGUAGUCGUAACUUUCUAUGUUUCCCUCUGGAAAUAACGUAUGUAACAUUCAACCUUAAACAUGACGAGAUAACAUUUUGUCUCAUACUAAUCUAAAUCACCUGCGUACACGUAAUCAUUGUAAUUAUUGAAUCUCACAAACACCUUUGCACUUUUGGAAACCUCCGCCAGGUGGCACCUCACCGAGCUAAUCAUUUCCAAUAUACUGAUAACAAGUCAACAACAACCACUCGAUAAGCACAACCAGUGCCCAAGCGCCCCGAAGCUCCACCGUCCACAAUCCCUCUCGCACACACGCAAUCAAACCCUCCUUUUCCUCCCCUUCGUUCCUCCAGUUUCACCAAUCGCUUUCAAAUUAUCCCAAAACGCGGCCGUUCCGAACCCCGCAAUGGUCAUCAGCCCGCGUAACGAUUGCGCCAAACGGAGAAGGGCAGUAACGUCAUUUCAGACGGAGCUUCAUAGCUCCCACCGGACGAAUGGUUCCCCACCCAAUCACUACCUGUGCACAAAUGCGCACGUUAGCUGUCGCCUGUCUGCCUCCACUCCACCACAAUUAUGCCCCCAAAAACCCAAAAACCAACCUCCAAGCAUUUAUAAUUAAAUUGCAUCGCGCCUUUAAUUAUUAUUAAUUGACACAAAUGAAGCUUUUAAAGUGUGUUUAACCUACGCUCGCCAAAAAAAAAAAGUUUAAUUACUGAGCAGCAGCGCAGCAGAGGUGUCUUAAAUGGAUCUGUGUGCGCAGCAGAGCUCUUCAUAAGUCUCUCUCUGAGAUUUGUACGAGGCUACAAAGGCUACGAAGGCUACAAGCAGAGGCUCCGUUCGAGGACCAGCUUUAUGUCAUUUCCGAAACGUUUCGUUGGCGAUCGGGUUCUGCAUUUCCAUAAAUCGGAGCCGUUUGAUCAGCAUCGGUGGAUGGGAUUUGCAUUUAAGCGAUUUGUUUGAUUGAAUGGUCUGGUAGUGCUCACUAUGAACCCGCUGUGCUGCAUUGCGCCGGUGUCGAUCGAUCGGGACCGGGCCAGUCCGGUCGCGGCGAAGCAGUCAAGUCAGUGCCAGUUGGGGCCCGAGGCUCCGAUCCGAAACGUGAGUUACGGCUCGAAGCCGAGCUACUCGGCUCAGGUCUCGUCGGCCGGGACCGAAUCGGAUAGGGCUUCCGUUACUGCGGGACACGAGGUUGAAGAUACGAUCAGCGAAGCUAGGGAUUCGAAGGUGUUUGGUAUCAAUGGAGGCGUCAGUGGCAACGUGGCUGGGAUUUUGUACAAGUGGGUGAACUACGGGAAGGGAUGGAGGUCGAGGUGGUUUGUGCUCGAAGACGGUGUGCUUUCGUACUACAAGGUUCACGGACCGGACAAGAUUUUGAUGAGCCCGGUCCGGGAGAAAGGCUUGAGGGUGAUCGGAGAAGACUCGUUGAGGUAUAUGAAGAAGGCUAAUUGGAGUAAUAGUCGGCUUGGCGCGCCGGCGAGGCCGUGCAAGCCUUUCGGCGUAGUCCAUUUGAAGGUUUGGCUUUUGUUAAUCGAAAACUGUGAUGCUUGCUAGUAUUGCGUUUUAUUUGCAAAUUGGUGAUUUAUAUUAGUAAUGCUAUUAUUGGUACUGAUAUAUUUAGCAACUGAGAAAGCAUCGAGUUAACUUUGGCUUAUCUGCGUCGUUUGGUUGAGUUUGUGUACUUGUUGCUGCAAUGUGAAUGGUGGCUCUGGAAAGCUACAAAAAUUGUUUAAUAUUCCAGCACUUUUCAUGGGUAAGUUUAAAUAUAUACAAGAACCGGAAAUGAGUAAGAUUCAUAUAAGUAUAUUAGAUUCAUGGAAAAUGACCAGAUUGGUAUUAAAUUUUAUUUUGUGAUAACCCAAUGGAAAAUACCACAUAUUUGUGCGAGCACAAUAAUGUUAGCCUUCUGAUACCCAAUCCUCUCUCAAUAUUGAAUAACCCAAAAAGAACUCAAAUAUGUUUGCACGACGUUUUUUGAGUUGUGAGGUAAGUACUGUGCAUACUUGUGUUUUGCAUGAUGAUGUACACAAAUAUAUGCUCAUGAUCUAUACUUUUGAGUUAUUGGUUACUGAAUUUGAAGUGGUCUGGUCUACAGGUCUCUUCAAUUCGUGCCAGCAAGUCAGAUGAUAAAAGGCUUUCCAUAUUCACAGGAACUAAAACUCUUCACUUGCGUUGUGUAUCUAGAGAGGGCAGAGCUGCAUGGAUUGAGGCACUGCUGGGUGCUAAAGAUCUUUUCCCUAGAGUUUUGACAAGCCAUGAUUUAGUACCUUCAGAAGAUAUAGUUGUUUCAACAGAGAAGCUAAGAUUAAGAUUAGCACAGGAGGGUGUUGGUGAGCCGGUGAUCAAAGACUGCGAGUCAAUUAUGCUCUUAGAAGUCUCCGAGCUGCAAAAUCAGUUGAAGACUCUUCAGAGUAAACAUGUGAUGUUGUUAGACACUUUGAGACAAUUGGAGGUAUUUCUUCCAUCGUGUUAAUAAUUUGAAUAUACUCUAGCAGUCUUGCGUUCUACCAGAAUUCCAUGCAUCUGGUUACUCAGUUUCUGUUUUAUACAUGUGCUGCCAUAUGUGGUGGUGCUACGCUUCCUAGUUUGGAAAGUAAAACCCUAUCUAAAUUUUCUUUUGCAGACGGAGAAAAUAGAGCUGGAAACUACAGUAGUAGAUGAAACAAAGGAGCGUGAGUCCUACUGCGGACAGGGGAAUAGGAGAUUUAGUGGUUAGUCAUGUUUGGAAUUUCGAUUAUUUUAGUUUUAUUGCUACUCAAAAGGUUUCGCGCACCACACUCAGUUCCUGAUAUAUGUGCAAUGAUAUUUCAUGCCACAGAUUUCUACUCCGUCUUAUCAGAGGGAAGUGCAAGUGACUCUGACGCAGAUAAUGAAAGUCAAGAUGGAGCAGAUGUUGAAACAGAUGAAGAUGAAGGAACAUAUUUUGAUACGCAUGAUAUGUUGUCUUCAGAUGCUUUAAGGAGUGCUUCCUAUCGGAGUAGGGAAGGUAUAAGAAGUGAUUGUGUAAAUGAUGGAGAUUUUUAUUUUUUUAUUUUAAAGGAACAUAUUUUGAUACACAUGAUUUUUUGUCUUCAGAUACUCUAAGAAGUGCUUCCCAUCGGAGUAGGGAAGGUUUGGGCAAUGGUUGUUUAUAUGAUAGAGAUUCCUUCUUUUCUGAUCGAUUGCAUGGAGUUGAGGAGAUGCGGACAGUUAAAUAUCCAUAUGUGAAAAGGAGGGAUAAUUUUCCAGAACCAAAGGAGAAAGAGAAACCUGUUGGCUUGUGGUCAAUUAUCAAGGAUAAUAUUGGGAAGGACUUGUCUGGAGUCUGUCUUCCUGUUUAUUUUAAUGAACCCCUCUCUUCGUUACAAAAGUGCUUCGAAGAUCUGGAGUAUUCGAACUUGGUUGAUCGAGCAUUGGAAUGGGGAAAGCAGGUUAGUUCUUCACCAGUUCCUGUAUUGUUUUGAGGAGAGAUGAGAAUAACUGGAUCAACCAAGUUUCCAUCGUAAAAGUUCCAGAUUUUGAUGUAUCUAAACGUUGGACUUCAUGUGGUGCAGGGGAAUGAUUUAAUGAGAAUUCUAAACGUUGCAGCUUUUGCUGUUUCUGGCUAUGCAUCAACAGAAGGUCGGCAGUGCAAACCCUUUAAUCCUCUUCUUGGGGAGACCUAUGAAGCUGACUAUCCAGAUAAAGGACUUCGUUUUUUCUCUGAAAAGGUAAUGCAUGUUGACAAUUUUAGUGUUGAUGUCUAAUAGGUCCUUUCACUAGAUUUUUAUUCCUUAAGUAGGAAGAAUGAUAAAAGAUAAAAUCAGCCCCCUGUUGCUUCUUGUUUGGACUCAUCGAAUUGGAAGUAUCUCAGCAAAUUGUCAAAUGUUUAAUGAAUUACUGAUUGUUGUCUAACAAAGGUGAGAUUGCACUCAGGUGAGUCACCACCCAAUGGUUGUUGCUUGUCACUGUGAAGGCAGAGGUUGGAAAUUCUGGGCAGACUCCAAUCUCAAGGGCAAGUUUUGGGGGCGUUCUAUUCAGCUUGAUCCUGUGGGUGUCCUUUCCUUGCAGUUUGAGGACGGGGAGACUUUUCAGUGGAGCAAGGUCACUACUUCUAUAUACAAUAUCAUACUAGGAAAAAUUUAUUGUGACCACUAUGGCACCAUGCGCAUCAGUGGAAGUGGCAAUUACUCCUGCAAGCUAAAGUUCAAGGAGCAGUCUAUCAUAGACCGAAAUCCACAUCAGGUUAGUUUAGUGAUUGCAAAAGGAAGGAUAACUGGCACAAUAUAUUACAGCAAACAUUUCUUCAUUUUUCCUCCCAUUGGUGUGUUGUAUGAGACUAUUUUUCUUUCUGCUUUACAUGGGAAGAAGUAUAUGUUUGAAGUCUCAAGUCCUAAGAGUUUACUACUUCUGAAUGUCCAGGGGAGGUCACAGUAAUUUUUGAAUAAUACAGGGGGGAGGUAUUUGUAUUUUUACUAUAGUAAGACUGUUGGAUUACUCUAUGCUUAUGUUAUACUAUUGUUUAGGCCUGAUUUAUGCGCAAACAAAGAAAUUAUAAAUGGUGCUAAAUUUGCCUGUGUAAAACGGGUAUUACAUAUAUAUGACCUUGUUCAUAAAAUUCCAGGUUCAUGGAUUUGUUCAAGACAACAGAACUGGAGAGAAAGUAGCAAUGUUGGUGGGCAAGUGGGACGAGGCAAUGUACUAUGUGCUGGGAGAUCCAACUACAAAACAAAAGGGUUAUGAUCCAAUGACAGAGGCCGUGCUGCUGUGGGAAAGAGAUAACUAUGCAACCAAGACAAGAUACAAUCUCUCUCCUUUUGCAAUAUCUCUGAAUGAAUUAACACCUGGCUUAUUGGAGAAAUUACCUCCAACAGACUCAAGGCUAAGGCCAGAUCAAAGACAUUUGGAGAACGGUGAAUAUGAAUUGGCAAAUGCAGAGAAACUAAGACUAGAACAGCUACAAAGACAGGUAUCCCCCUCCUGUUUUAUGCAUCCUUGUAUCUAAUUCUGAGCCAAAAGUAAAAGUUAUAACCUUGAAACUCUGAGAUUUAGAACUCUGGUCAAAAUUCUUCCAUUUAUUACAUGAAGUAAUAAUGUAUUGAGCAACUGUUGAUAAUUUCGUGAUGCAGGCGAGGAAGUUGCAAGAGAGAGGUUGGCAGCCAAGAUGGUUUCGAAAAGACGAGGAUGGUUGUUAUAGUUAUGCAGGUGGGUAUUGGGAAACUAGGGAGAAGAAGAAUUGGGAAGGAAUUCCUGAUAUUUUUGGCCAGACUAGUGAUUUGCCCUCAUGUUCUGGGGAAGAGUAAGGCGUCUCUUGGCCAAGCUUGUUCUGUUAAAUCCUGGGUCCUAUGAUUUAUUCCCUUCUUCCCAUUUUUUUUUACUUUUCCCCUUUGGCCCCCCCUUGCCCUAAAUCUGAUUUGUAGGCCGUAUUAUAGAAAACAACUCCUUGAUGCCGUAAUGAUAGUUUUCUUAUGGUUUCUAUCGUCUCCACACAUUCACUUGGGACAUUACAUCGUCCAUGGAGCAGCUCCUAGGCAGUGUUUAAUUUUCAAUUAACUGAUUAUGAUAUUGAAAAUACAAAUUUGAAUACAUAUAUAACAAGAAUUUUUUUUAAAAAUCAAAAUUAUAGAUAGAAACAGAACUUACCAAAAAGCACGUUGGAAGUUGGGUCUGAAUCCGUAGGAAUUUUGUUUCCUACAAUACAUUAAAUAGAAGUUGAAGAAAAUUUAUCGCCGAACAUAUUCUUGCCUUGAAAGCGUCAUCAAAAUCUGUCACAAGUUUUUGAAUACAGAACCCUAUAAACGUCUCUUUUGAGAAUUGAGGCAGCCACAACUACAAACAGGCAUCCUCAUUAAGGAAAAACAAUGGCAUUUUGUUCAUAAUUAACAAACUCUUUCAAUUUACUUGUAAGUAAAAAGUAGGGGGAGAAAAGAAAAAGAUAAACUGAUGAGGUUCCUCAUUUCCAUGCUUUCUUCCCUCGGAAUUGUUUGCCAGCUCGCUGCUGCUUUUUCUUUUUAUCUAUACGAGAUUUAGCUACCUUUGCCCUCUUUGCAGCAAGAGGCAUGGGUUUCUUGUGUUCCUUCUGCCGAUUGCUCAUACCACCCGUCUGUUGGCAUUCAUGAAAAUACAUGUUAAAGAAGUUCAAUGUCGCAGCAUGACCUUAUCAGAACUUACUAUUCACUUAUUUUUUCUCUUUAUUUUUCUGAAGAUAUGAUCCCCUACUAGUUGUAUCAUAGAAGGAACCAGAAAGGUUUAAAAGCAAAAGUGAGAAUGGUGAGGAUCUAUGCUAUGCCAGAUACUGGAUUACUCAGCAAUUAAAGAGGCUUUAAGAACACUAAACAUGAUAAAUAAAAUUUGACAAAAAAAAAAAAAAAACAUGAUAAGUAAAAUGGAAAUAAAUAGACAUCUUCUGCCAGAUAUAGUCUUUUUUAGUCAGAGCUAGCGAUUUUUAGGAAAAAGGGAGAUGCCAUGGAUUCUAAGCAUUUGAUCUAACAACCAACGCAGAAGCAACGAUCUUUCGGUUAAACAUGGACAAGCACAAAUAUUCAAUUACUAAGGUGAACUGAGUACUAAAUACAUUAACAGUAUUCUGGCAAUUAGUGAGAUCCAAUUAACAUACCUUCUUCUGCUUUAUAGCAGCUCGAGCCUGGUACUUCCCUCUGUCCUCCCUCCCUGCUCUCACUAAUGCCAAUCUCUCCUCCUUGCUCAUCCUUUUCUUCACGUGGACCUACAUAGUAGACACUCAAUUGGGUCAAUGAAAAUAAAGAAAGGUACAACAUGGCGUUUUUUAAGCUUUAUAGUUUUCUUUUCCCUUGGAUUUAUAAGACGCCAAGGCCAGUAGAAUAACUACAGGGAUUUUUUAAGCAAAUAAUGCAGGUAUAGGACUUAUCAAGAAUUCCAACGUUUCUUAAAACUUUUUGUCAAUCUAUUUAUCUCUACUUAGGAUGCAUUAUUUCUUAUAUGCAGAGACAGACUCCUCCGAAGAAGCAUACUGAGAGUAGGGUGACCAGUAAAAUGAUUUAAAACUUACUUCAAGCUUUGCAGGAUCUACUCGCUUAAUGCUCAGUUCAUCUGAAUUGGGAAUCUUGAAUGCUGGCGAUUUGGAAUCUGCACCCUUUUUCAACAAUCCAUGCUGAGUCAAAGCAAAUCUGGCAUCCUUCUUUGCCUGGCAAAAUGAAGAAUCAAAUAAUGGACAGAGUCUUAUGACAUCUACAAGAGGUCAGAAUGUAAAGAUUAAGAGAGAUUAAAAACAUUAAUAUUAUUCAUGUCCCAAUGUUACAGGAUUACAACAUGUUUCACCUUUGGCAUCAACUUAAGUUUGGGUCCAACCGAACAAAUAAAAACAAACCUUUAAUUCCUUAAUCCUCUGGAAGUCCUCAUUAGAAAGAAAACCAUCUGUUGAGUCCAAUGAAAUGGGCUCCAUGUUCUCUUUGGCCAAUCUUUUUAAAGCACGAAGACUUGCGUCAGCAUCAGUAAGUUGUUUAUCAAAAUCUGCAACCUUCCUCUUUUUUGCUUUGUUAUCUUUUACUCCAGUUCCACUAUCUUUGGCAUCAUUGUUGUUGGAUUCAUUCUCCUCAUCCUCUUCAUCUUCGUCAUCCUCAUCCUCUUCAUCAUCCUCAUCACCACUGACAUCACUGUCGUUGUCAUCUAUACUACCAUCACUAUCUACAUCUUCAGCUACUACGGAAUCCUCUUCACUUCCACUGUCACUGUUAGCUAUCUGGUUGUCUUCAUCAUCACUGGAAGCAACCAUCUCAUCGUGAUCAAGAUCAUCAUCAGUGCCGCUUAAUGAAGCUUCAUCAGCAUCAUCACCAUCCUCAUUGCCAUCAUCCUCUUCUAGCAGUUCAACACCAGGAACAUUGCUGAGUACGUUGACUUCUCCAUACGCUUUUGGUCUUGCCUUUGGGUUAGUAGGGCGCCCACGAUCCUUCUUAAUCAGCAGUGAGGGGCAAAUCUGCACGUACACUAAAUAGUCAGCCUUACGCUGCAACAUGGUUCAUGGAAAUCCAUGCAUGCGAAAUAAAUAAAUUGAGAGAGAGAGAGAGAGAGAGAGAGAGAGAGAGAGAGAGAGAGAGAGAGAACCUCUCUGAAUAAACCAAUAAGUGAACGGGCUGCUAUUGAAACUGCUUUCUCAUGUGAUUUCUUAUAUAAUGCAAGAUCUUGCAGCAAAUCUUCGGUCAUCAACUAGAUGCACAAAACAAAAAAUAAUUAAGGAAGCCUUCAAAUAACCCAUAAUAUUAGCAAGGCCAGAAACCAAAUGGUGUAAAUAGGUUGUUUUUUGGUCGAAUGGUAUAAAUAGGUUGUUACCAAAGGAAUUCGUAAACAUAGUUCCCUCGUUACAUUCAGUCCAACAGCUAUGGCCUGGAAAAAGCAAGUGAUCAGAGAUAUACGCAAGGCAUUAAAAAAAUAUACUAAAACAGAGCAGCUAAUGAAGCAACACCUCUGGACGUGAGCGAUCAUGUACAAAUUGAUUCACUAGUUGUUUGAAAAGUGGUUGAAUUGCAUCAGGAGGAACCUGCUCACAAGAAAGUAAAUCAAAGUUAACUCUAAGAAAGGUUAAUUAAUCACUAGUAAAUGAACAAUGGUUCACUUGAAUUAGCAGUAGGACUUUAAGAAAGUUAAUAAAAGUUAGAACAGGAAAGAAAAAGUGAUUCUGUCUAGGUCCAAUCAGACAAUACAGAAAAUCCAACUAACCAUAUCAUGGCAGGCCUGAACUGCUGCAGCAAGUAAACUUGUGACAUCGCGUUGGUGAGGCUGUGAUACCAAUAUAGUCACAAUUCAACUCUCAAGAGAAUAAUACAUUACAUUCAGUGAAUGGGUCAAAUAAUGUACCUGAAUAUAUUUCUGAAGGAAAGGAUAAAAAUUCAGCAAAAUCAAGCGGUGAAGCCCAAUCGUGCGAGCAAUUACUUUCAACAUCAUCAUCUUGACCUUAAGUUAACACAGGGUAAUAUAAUCAAAACAAAUGAAAAUGCAAUGUCCAGCAUCAAUUCAUUAACGAUGUAAACUAAUUAGAUAGAAACAAGACACAAAAUUCUCGCAUACGUAAGUGUUUGGCUCUACUCGUUGUUAUGACAUAAUUGAGAGCCGAAUGAAUAAAAAAUCCAAAAUUAAAAGAUCCAACACAGUUAGUAUUCAUUUGCUAUGAUAGUAUUCCAAUAAUUGGGCGAGCAAUAUACAACUUUCUCCAAAAGACAAGUGUACAUGAAUGCUGUUCUUGGUUAAUUCUACAAAUGUAACUAUUUACCUCAAAUCGUUCAUUGCAGGUUUGAAGGCGGGAGAAUAGCUUCUCAGCAAAUCCCUUCAGGAAGAAUGAACUGUCAAACAUCCUUCUUAAUAAAGAGAAAGAUUGACAAAUACGAGCUAGAUGAUAAAAUCAGACAAACCUGUGGAUCUUUCAAAUGAUUAAGUGGCGUAUGAUAAUUUGAAUUACUUUUUUCUGAUGACAGGCGUUGCUGUUUUUUCAUACUACGCAUGGCACGCUGUAGUUUUGCUUUCUUUUUCUUCUUGCUAGCAAUUGUACCUUGAUGGUGUGCCUAAAAGACAAUGAAAAGAACACGGUUGAUUGUACUUAUGCGAGUUCUCAUUAGAAUUCAAUCAAAUGUCCCAAAAUAGUGUAACUCAAUCCUAAUGCCAUCAACUAAACUGGUUGGAGAUAACAUUAAAGUAAUAGUGCAAAACUGACCUUAUAAAUAGACUCUCUAUUAAGGACUAUUUGAGGUGUGUGAGGAGCUUCAUCUUCGCUACUUGAUGCAUCACUAUCAUCAUCUUCAAACUUCUCGUAAUCCAGCAGAAAUGAGAGGCAAGCAAUCAUUAUCCUAACAAAUUCAAACACAAAUUGUAAGCUUUCACACACAAUAUUACAAAUGACACAGAAACCACCAAAAAAAAACAAUGCAUACCUUGACGAUGGAUGAAAGCAUGCAGUACAAAUCGCAUUGGCUGUUCUUUCAUCGAACCACACCUUUCUCUGGUGAAGCUCUCGUAGCGUGAUAAGCACCCUCUUCGCUUUUGUUUCAUCCUCUUGCUACAAAAGCAAAAGGAAGGAUAAUACAAGUUCAAGCACCAGACUAACAAAGCCCUGAAAUUUUGACAAGAAAGAAAACGCAUUAACAAACCCGAAGCAUCUCAAACAAGACAUUCUGAAGCGCCCGAUUCUUCACUUCAUUCUUAUGUUUCUGAUUCAUUCUCUUAAUGCUAUGAACCACAUGAGAAUAUGCCAGCUUUCUCAAUGCCUUAUUGCCAAAAGUCUGCAGCUCCAUGAACAAAGCUAGAUUGUCUCCCAUAUCCACCAUCUACAAACACAACCAAAAAGGAAAAACUGGAAUUAAGCAAGAUAAUUUUAGUAUUUUGCACACUUUCUCAGCAACCAAACACAGCUCAACGCUAAAGUCCCAAUAUUUUCAACAAAUUCUACAAUUCACAUCCGUUACAUGCACCUUUCGAUUCAUGAGAAGAAUGAGAGCUUGGGUGACGUGCAAGCAGAGCCCCGACGGAAGUGUUCCGGCGGAGGAGCGGAUAAAUUCGGCGAGCUGAGCGGGGAAAUGGGCCAGAUGGGUCGGGUAAAAUGGGGUGACGUGAGCCAAGAACAUGGCCCGAUCGCCAAGGUCCUUAGCCACGGCCGGGUCAUUCCUAAUGCCGCUAACCGACUUGAACCCAAGAUCAGCUUGUUGCUUGAAGAGCUCCAACGACGACUUGAAUUGAUUAUAGAUCAGGUGAAGCUCCGACUCGUACCCCUCCGGAUCGCACUUCAUCUUCGACUGAAGCGAAGGCAAGCUCAGCUUCUCGGAACCUGAGGCUGAGAGUGGCUCCGGCGACAUGCCAGUGAUCGUGCGGUGAAAAUUCAUUGUGGGGGUUUGGUGUUUAGAGACUAAACUGAUAAAACCUUAAACCCUAUAAACUUUUGGGAAUUUAGGCCGUGGUGAGUCGGAUUGGACAAGACAGGAUUGGGGUUGGAAUGUUGGGUUGGGCUGGCUAGGAUUGGACCAGAAUUUUUGAGUCUGUUGCAAGAUAAAGCCUUUGACUUACGGAACUCCCUAAUUUGGGUAGCAAUUGCAGAGUUUUGCCCUGCUUCUAACAAACCUGCAAAUUCCCCAAUAGGAAUGCAAGAUAAAUGAGCAUAGAGUUAAAUCAUCACUUCCUUGACCAACCUUCAUUUAAAAAGCCUGAUAAUUGCUCAUCUAAAUGCAUAAAAGUCUAUUUAUGCAGCAAUGAAACAUGCACAUAUUAGUUAUUUUUACAGCAAUGAAUCAGAGGAAUGAUAGCAAUUUGAAAGGUCCACCAACAAUCAGUGAUUUUUGCAGCAAUGAAACACAUGCUCAUGUUAUUCUAAUUGAUCUAUUUCUGCACAAGACCAAAGCUCCUACACAGGGGGCAGGCUGGGCUGCUGCCCGGCCCAAAAUUUUCCAUAAAAACAAAUAGGUAAAUGUGUUAGCCAAGCCAAAAAAAAGAACUCUAUCUCUAAUUAGUUGCCCAGCCAGCCAUGGCCUACACUCACCAAUUGGUGGCUGGGCAAGAAUGCCCCCACCACUUGCUCGAUGAAAUACCUCAGUGAAGAAGGCAUAGCAGCACCUUUCUUGCGAAGAGUUUUCUGAGUUGCAGAGGACGCACUGUGUGCCUGGCAAAGAAGACGAUGUCUGGCUUGUCUCGGUGCCCUAAUAAACGAAACACACCGUUUUGUGAUUAGCCUCCUUUAGUGAAACGAUGGGUUUAGUGUUCAACACUUGGCUGCCUCUUGUCAUUGUCGAUGGGUUUAAUAGGCUUGUUUUGGUUUUAUCGGUUUUAUGAGGUUGGGUGAAUUAUUUAAAAACUGUAUCCUAUGGGCCAAUAUAAUAUAAUAGAAGAUUAUCUAACAAACAAUCUAACCUUUGCAUGGUAAAAUUUUAAAUUUAAAUAGUGUUAAUUUAUAUUGUAUUGUAUUGCAUUUACUUGUAAUUUUUAUUUUUAUUUUUUUUAUUUAUGUAUAGAGAUGCAUUUGAGGUAAGGCUUAUUACAUUUCCAUGAAUAGUUGUAUCUUUUUGUGUUUAUUAAUGAAUUCACUCGUAAUCUUGAGUUUAAUAUGUAAGUUUUGCCCAGCCGACUUUUAAAUCCUGGAAUCGUCAAUACUGAAUAUAUGAAUAAUUUAUCAUUAUUUAAAACUCUAGAUAGCUUUUUGUUUACGCGUUUUAUGUUUUGCUUUAAAAACUUCAAAGUAAACAAAUAAAUUCAAAUGAAGCCUCAAAUACUCAAAUUCAGUGUAAGUCUGAAUUUGAUAUCUAUCUACAAAGCAAAAGAGAGACUGUAACAACCCGAACCUUAAUUAAUUUUUAAUUAUUAAUUUAUUAUGAAAAAAGAUAAUUUUGUCCCUAGCAUAUUUUAUUAGAGAAAAAGUUGAUUUUUUGACCGAGAAGGAAUUUGGAAAUUUUAGUUGUACCGUUGCGUAGAGCACGUAGUGGGCUCAAAUCGGAGUUGUAACGAAGAAAUUACGAUCAAAAGAAGUCUAGUGACACAAUCAUAAAUAUUUUGACGUUCAUAUUAUUUUAAACCAAGAUUCUGCUGUUUCGCGAUUGGGGACGACCAGCCAUUUUCAAACUUCGAUUUCUCCUCUGUCUAGCCACCAUAUCGAGUGCCACAACUUGCAAUAUCUUAAUCUCUCUCUCCUCUUAGUCUUUUUCGGCCACCAUCUCCGGCAAGUGAGGUAUGGUUUCUCAUCUACUUUUCGAGCUUUAGCUGUUGGUUGGGUAGGAUUGGAUCAAUUUGUAGCGUAGAUAACCCAAAUCACAAAUUGAAAUUUGGCCAGACUUCGGGAUGAGAUUUCGGCCACUUCAGGCCAUUUUUCGGGGUAGGUCCAAAAACAAAAGUGGCUCCAAUCAACAUUCUGAACCUAUGGUAGGAAGCUUGGUCCUUGAUUUUGAGAUUUUUCCGGUGAUCGUUAUCGUUUUGGACACCCACGCGCUGCCAGGACUUGUGGCGGCAUGUGGGCACUGUAGCAAAGGGACAUUAUGUGCCGAUACGAUCCCCUAGUUGUCACGAGCGCGUAGGUAUGCUCAAAUUCCAAUUCAGAUACCGUUUGAGCCUCGAACGGAUUUUGCAUAUUGUCCGUUAUCCAGGUUCGAUGUGUUCGAACCGUUGGAUCGAACUCAAACUCACGUAUGUUGUACCCCGUAUUUCUAGGAUCGUAUAAGAUUCGUUGGAUCAUGAAUUGGAGUCCUGGAUACUCCGAAAUCGCGAACCCUAGAGUUAAUUAACCGUGAUCAUCGAUUGUGUGAUCGUGAUUAAUCUGACCGUCCGAUUCAGACCAAGCUUGCAAGAUAGGGUUAUUUAAAAGCAAGGAACAUAUAGGAACUCUCGGAUUGAUAUUUGGAGGUUGUGGACCCCAUGGGGUCCUGAGUUGACCAAUAUGGAAAUUUUUCGACUAAUAAAAUCAGAAAAAUUAAAAUUCAAAAAGAGAGAGAGAGAGAGAGAGAGAGAGAGAGAGAGCCCCAUAGGGUCCCGAGUUGACCAAUAUGGGAAUUUUUUGACUAAUAAAAUCAGAAAAAUUAAAUUCAAAAAGAGAGAGAGAGAGAAAGAGAGAGAGAGAGAGAGAGAGAGAGAGAGAGAGAGAGAGAUUGGGACUUACAUCGAUCAAGCAACAAAAUCCAAAAAAAUUAACCAACAUAUCUGACUUACCCAUAACAAUUGAGAUCAAUUUGAUCAACCCAUUAACCAAAAUUAACAAUAGAAAAUAAGUAAAUAAAAUUGAAGCCAAAAGGAGAUAGAGAGGUGGAGAAAUUCUGGGAUUCUUAUCAAGACCAGGAACAAACAGAAGCAAGAAAAACAAAAGAGAUAAACAACCCUUAUCAAGGGACCCAUUCCAAGUGUAGGCAAAACCCAGAAAAUGAGAAGAAAAAAAAUCAUGGUCAAGAUCUCCUUUUCCUUUCUCUUCAGACCCACCAUUUCCUUCCUUUUUUUCUUGUUCCUAUUUCCAUGAUAGAGAGCGAGAGAGAUUGAAGUGUCAGAUUGCUUGAAAUCUGUGGGAGCAUCAGAGAAAAGGAUGAAUAGAAGAAGAGAAGAAAGAUGAUGAAAAGAAGAGGUUCUCUAAGCAAUGAAAGGCGGAGGCGGAGGCAGAGGCUUCGAAACCCAUGGUUCCACUUGGGUUUACAAAACCCUCAUUUGUUGGAUUGGUAUCCUAUCGAAAUAGGAGGCCUAACCAGUCCCACAAUGCAUUUAGGCUCACCAAACAACAGCUAGGAUUAUAGUCCAUUUUAAUUGAAAAAGUUUGGUCCAGUCCAGCCCACCAAAGAGGGCCCAAACAUAUAUAUGUUUAUAUGUAGAUUGCUAAAUUGUGCAUAAUUCGAUUAUUUGCUAAUUAGUAGUGUAUUAUAGUAUUUGAUGGAAUCUCUAGGAGAAGUGAUUACUUAUUUAGUUAUUUAAACACUUAUUUAACUAUUUGUCUAAUUAUUCAUUGCAACUAAGAUUAUUAUUAUAGUAUCUGAAUGGCUUGCUAAUCGGAGUUCAACGUUAUUGAUAAACUAAUUAAAUAUUUAAGUGCAUGUUGAUAUUUAAUCCAUAUACUCAGUAUCUGAAAAUGACGAAUCAUGGAUCUUGGUUUUCUUAUUAGAUUUUGGCAUUUAUAUUUUAAGUGUGGCUGAGAAUUGAUUUGUGGGAAUUUUGAUAUAGAAGUUGGAAAACGUAUUUGUGGAAUAAAGGAUAAAUUUGUGAUAAGUUUAGGAUAUGGUUUUUCAAACCCACCACAGGAGUACCCCCUGGUUGCUUGAAACAAGCUGUCAUAUAUAAAUAAUGUCCCACGAGUUUCGGAGACAUCUGAACCGUGUGGUGUGAGGAAUGUGGUUCAGGCUGACUAAUGGUCCCUUGAGGCCUACGAGGAAUACGGCUCGGUUAACUUUGUGUUUCCGAGGCCUGCGAGGAUGGAAUUGACGGAUAUAUAGAAUUGACGGGAUAGUUGAAAUUGACGGAAUAAUACUGGAAUUGACGGUACUGAUGGAAUUAACAGAAUAUGGAUGGGGGUACGUCCAGGUGGAGAGUUUUCAAAAAUAAAGAAUUUUAUAUAAAUUACAACCAACUUCUUAAGCUAUGAGUUUGUCUUAUAAGUUAAAGAGAAGAACCUAUAUUUUAGUAAGCUAUUGUCGCUGGCAUUAAGAUUUUACUUGAUCAAUGUUAUUUUAAUAAUUUUCUCAUUUUCCUACUUUUCUGUAAAAAGUUAAUUAAAGAUCUUUAUAAAUAUAUAGGUAUUUAUAGUUGAGUUUUAUGUAAGUUUCGAAAGAAAGGUUAAAAAUAUUUUCGGCGUUGUUUGUUUUAUUUUUAUCUUUAUUUUUAUUAUAUAUAUAUAUAUGAUAAUCCAAGCCAGUGAUAUAUCAAUUGAUUCAUGAAUUAGAGGAAGUCUAGUAAGUAGUUUACCUGUGCUAUGAGUAUGAGCUGUUUUGAGAAUAAGGAAAGUUGGAUAGUUGGAAAGUUUACUGCAAAAUUUGGGAAGGUUAUUGAAUAAAUCAUUAAUGUAAGACUUGGGUUGAUUUGCAGCCAUAUUGAUAUGUAUAACAGUAAUAAAGAUUUGUACAUGCAAGAUCAAAAGUUGAAAGAACUACAUGUGGCUUGAUCCCUCAGUAAGGAUACGUAUGCAACCUAAUGUUACAAGGUGCAGCCACGAGUUAGUGUGUUUGAAAUUGCUAAUGUAUUAUUAAUGAUCUGAAAGUUGAGAUGAAUUUUAGAUGACAAAACAUUUAUUUGAGUCGAAGAGGCCUGAGGCCGUAAUAAAUUGAUGUUGGUCGCUUGAAUGGUAUUAUUGUGCAUGCUAAGUGUUGGGAUUAUAAAAAUUAUGUUUUAGACAAGUAAAUUUUUUGGAAAAUGAACAAAUUAGAGGGGAGAUCCUGCGAAUUUUCCGCAGAAGUCGAAUUUGAAAUAAACUUUGAACUUUAGCAAGAAGGACAAUUUAGUCAUUCAUACCCGGUGCCCGGCACCCACCAGAUGUCAUACACGCACAGGGUUCGGCUCGAAUUCUAAAAUGGAAUUUGGGUCGGGUCCUGUCAAAGACAUUUAUGGAGUAUAGCAGAAGAACUUUGAACAAUGAGAACAGGCACCACUUCAUAGAUAUGGUAGAUAUUUUUUUUUUGUUGCAUCACAAAAUAAAAUAGAAAUUCUCAAACAAUGAAAUUCCCAAAACUGAAAAACCAAUUACUCAAUAUGUAAAACAUCCAUAGAAUUUUCAAACCAAAAAUAAUAAACUUGACAAAAUAGCAGUAGCAUAAAUUUUUUAUUUCAACUACAUAGUAUUAUUGUAAUGGAAAUUUGCAUAAACAAAAUAUGCAAACACAACUAACCAACACCCUUUGCCCUAGAAAACCCCAAAUCAAAACCCAAAAAGAUUCUGUAGAAUAUCUGUUAAAACUAACCUCAAUGUUGUUGCAAUACAACCAGUAGAGCAAACUAAGGGACAUUCAGUUAAGAUUUUAAAAUGUAUUCAAUUUAGAUUUCAAUUGAUAAUAAAAAAAAUACAUCGAAAUCUAGGUGUAUUCAAUUAUGACUUUUUAAAAGUCAAACAAAAUUUAGGUGUAUUCAAAAAGUAAUUUGUUUUGAAAGAAUUAAUAAGUUGCCCGAUUUCGUUAGAAAAUAAAGUGGUAAGUAUAAAUACAAAAAGCUUUGACAAAUCUUAUGUGAACCCUAGAAACUUUGAACGUGCUCUACGCUUUUCAGUCCUUGAUCGUGUGUGUUUGUCAAGUGAAGAUAAAAAAUCUCUUUUCUUUUUCUACGCUUUCUACACUUUCCAGUGCCCGAAUAAUUACUGUUGCUAUACAUCAUCAUAUAUCCAAGCAAUUGUUGUUGCUUGUAUUCGAUGCACAUCAUGUAUGAAUAUUUGAAUAGUUAUUGUUGCCAUAUCCAAGCAAUUACUGUUUCUACUUUUCCUUUUUUUUUUUUUUAGUUGCUGUUUUUUUUUUCUUGAAUAGUUUUUUGGUUGCUGUUUUUUUUUUGUUUCUGUACUUUUUCUACAUCAUCCUUUUUUUGUUGUUGCUGUUCAUCAAAUGUCGACAGCCUUCUUCAUCUACAAUCAUCCUUUUUUUUUUCUUUUUUUUUUUGGUUUUGCGUUUCCCUCCUUUAUCACGAUUCAUUUCCAUAUGAGAGAAUAUUUGGUAUAUUCUAGUUUACGUAUGAGAUACAAGCAGAGUUGGUCUUAGCUUGUGCAGGGUUGCACAAUUUUCUCCGCAAGGAGUGUCGUUCUGAUGAAUUUACUAUUGAAGAAAACAACGAGCAUUCAGCAUCGUCAUCAUCACCAGAAAAUGAGAGAAAUAAUUAUGACCAAGUUUUUCAAACCCAAGAACAACAACGUGAGAAUACUAACCAAUGGAGGGUUGGGAUAUCUUCAUAUAUAUGGAGAGAUGCUAUGAAUGACGGGAGUCAAAGAUGAGCAAUGAAGCUGAUAGUUAUUCGUUUUUAUGCAUUUAGAAUUAUAGUUUGCUUAUCAUUUUUUUGUCAUGAAAUUACUUUCAUGGUGCGUUUGGGUGAGGGAAAUAAACUUGAGAUUUUGACAAAAUUUAGAAUUUCUAAAUUGACAUGAACCAAUUCCGAUGUUUGGAUUAAAAGACAUAGAAAUUUAGAAAUUCCGAGUGGAAAAAAAAUGGAAUUUGGAGAUCAUAAAUCCCAAGUUUAAAUUAUAUCUAAAAGUCGUCAUUUUUAAAAUCUCACGAGAGAUUGAGUUUUUAAAAAAUGAUAACUUUACAAAUAAAGGUUAAAUUCUGUGUUUUAAAUCAAUCAUCCAAACAAGAAACUUUACAAAUUCUAGAACAUUAAUUUUCAUUAUUUUAAAUUCCGUCAUUUAUGAAAUCCUUAGUACUUUUAAAUUUCCUCAUCCAAACGCACUGUUAUGUUUUUACUUUUGGCAUUUUUCAUAAACAUGCAGACAUAAGUCCUUAUUUAGUUGCACAUUUGAACAAAUUAGAUGCCCUUUUUAAAAAAAAAUUUCUUUGGAUGUAUUGAUUUGGAAGUUCAAUAGCUCAAAUGUUUUUGUAAAGGAACUUUUCUCUUUUGAAAAUCUAAAAAAACGAUAAACAACCCGACCAAAAAAUAAAUAAAUAAAUAAAUAUAUUUUUAGAACUCUAAUCAACUCUUUUAAAAUCUACGAUAAAACUCUAACCAACAGCAUCAAAAUCAAUCUAUGAAUUCAAUCAAACUCUAUGUGGAAUUGAUAGAAAUCAAUUGAACUACAUUGAACUCUGCAAACUUUAUAACUCCAUUUAACUCUUUUAAAAUCUUAAUGGAAUACACCCCCUAAGUUAGACGAUUGCACCACACAGAACUCCCAAAUAGGAAGAGAGCAAGCUCCCACCCAAUUACCGGGAAGAAAGAAGUUGAAGAAAAAAAAAAAGAAUAGUGGGAAGAGAGCACGAACAGGAAGAAAAAAACAGAAAGAAGAAGUACGCUCGCUGGAGAAGUAUGCUCGCAGGAGAGAGAGAAAACGCACUGUAACCCAUAGUGUUUAAAUGGGUUUUGGAAAUAAAAAAUAAAUAAAAUAUGACUUGUCAUGUUUUAAGCGGUCAGAUCGUUUGAAUGGCUUGGGCUAUUAGGGCUAUUGGGUAAGUUCGGAAGCGGACAUGGUCGUGCCCAGUAUCGUUGGAUUUGGUUCUGGCUGGGACUUCUUCAAGGAAUAAGUGAUGCAAUGUUAUUGCUUACCUUCAACAUAUGGAAGCUCUGGAGUUCUUUGGGAUUCUUAUAGAUUUAUUUGUCCAGUCCAGUCCUAAGGAUUAUGAAAGUUGAAGGCUUUCCCAGUAAAAGCACCAUUUCAGCAAUCAAACGCGGCUUUCAGAGUCAGGUUCUCUCUCUAUCUCAUACAAGUUACAACCAUAGUCACACACAGGCACAAUUGGAGCUAGUUUUCUCUUGCAAGUGAUGGGUUGUAUUGAUUUUUGGAUUUUAUGGUUAGUUAAAUAUUGCUGCUCAGUUUUCAUUCACAUGAUAAUUGAUUAAUGUUUUGCCGCUCAUGUCAGUGUGUUUCCAAUGUCAAAUUGGAUGGUGAAGAUUUUGUGUCAAAAUUGCUUGAUAGAAGAUGGACAUUGCCCCACCCAGAUGCCAAAAUUCACCAAGUAAUGCUCUCCACUAGCAAAGUAUCACAACCAGGCAGAGCCUUAUCUGAUGUUUCCUUCUUCAACAAAAUUAACCCAUCUUUUAGUCAUGGUUUGAUGGACAAGGACGAUGGAGAACCUUCUUUCUUUAUUGUGAGGGAUGACCUGUUGCACCCGUUGAUAAAUGGUAAUAAAGCUAGAAAAUUGGAUGGAUUGAUUCCCCUUGUCGAAGAUCACUCAGGGACCCAUGUGGUGAGAUUAUUAUGAUCCUUAUUAGAUUUAAAUUGCAUCUCGGAAAUGCUUGUUACUUAACUAGAAUGUAAUCCCUUCAUUUGGUCUCCAUAUUCUGGUGCUUUGUUAUUGGAUUCUAGAUACUUUUAAUAGCAAAUUUCCUAUUCUUUAUUUGGCGAAUUGCAUUGCAUAUGCAAACUUGUGUUCCACUUUCAGGACUGUUAGUCGUUAAAACUGAGUUCCUUUGAAGACCAAAUAACAUUCAACUGAUUUUUAUUUUAUUUUUAGGUCACGUGUGGAGGUUGUCAAAGUGCACAUGCGGCAGCUGUUGGUAUGUAAAUUCUCGCUGAAAUUACUAGAUGAUACUCUCCGAUAUGCUCUCUCUCUCUCUCUCUCUCUCUCUCUCUCUCUCUCUCUCUCUCUCUCUCUCUCUCUUCUUUUGGUUUGGUGUAAUAGUUCCUAUGUGGUGACUUGUGUGUUUUGCAGCUGUUUCAUGUUCAGAGAGAGGAAUAAAAUCACAUUUACUUCUACGAGGAGAGCAGCCUGAAAUACUAACGGGCUAUAACUUGAUGUCAACAAUAUAUGGAAAUGUCACAUAUGUUCCAAGAUCUCUUUAUGCCAAUAGGGAAAAGAUGUUAAAGAGCCAUGCUGAUUAUUUGGCAGGCAGCAGUGGUAAUGUCAUAUGGUUUGAUGAUAUUAUGGAGGCUUCUUUGAGUGAAAAUGAUGGUGCUAUGAGCUUUUUGCAAAAGGAUGCUUAUAGAAGUGACCAUCCUCGGAAAAUCGUAAUUGUUAACGAAGGUGCAGGAGAUGUUGUAGCAUUACUAGGUAACUUUACUGGAUUUGGAAUAAAGAAUCAUCUUUUUGGUUAUGCUUCCAUGUAUACAUAUCUGCAUCUCGUGUGUUCUUGUUUUCCAUUGGGGGAGGGGGUUGUUAUGUAGUGGUUACAUGUCAAGUAAGCACAAUCUAGUUUUUGCACCCAAUCCCCCAACAUUCUUCCUUAUGCUUCAUAUCUGUAAUUCCACACAUCUUUGAGGGCUUGGUGUUACUUUCUCCUAGUUUUUUUGGUGUUAUUGAUAGUGAAGUUCAUAUUGUCUUAUUCGUAGGCCUAAUUCGCCUAGUGCAGUACAUAUCCCAGAAUCACAUACUUGGGAAAGAAAGGCCCUUGAAGCUUGUUGUAGAUGCUGGAACUGGGACAACAGCUGUUGGUUUAGGACUUGGAGCCAAGUGUUUGGGGUGUGUUCUUGUAUCUAAUAUUUUUCAUGUGUGUUGAGAUGAUCAUCUAAAUAACUGCAGUGAUGCAGACUAUUUUCUGUUGCAGCAUUUUAAAUAUUGUUAUUGCCUCCUGUCAGGCUCCCAUGGGAGGUAACUGCAGUGAUGCUGGCUGAUACAAUUGAUGGGUAUAGACGUCAAGAGAAGCGUUUGAUUUCCGGUUUCAAGAGGCAUUUUGGUCUUCAAAUUGACCACUGCUUUGAUGAAAUAGAUAGAGGACUUGUGCACUGGGUAGAACGUUGCCAUCCAAGAAAGUGAGUAGGCUGUCAUCAUCUUCACAACUUCUGCAAUGUUUCAAUUGUAUAUGUAUCUUUAUAAAAUAUAAAAUCAUAAACGAUUUGUAUUAAUUCAUGCAAGCAAAUGCCAGAUUCUAUGUAUACAACUCUUCAUAUGUAGUUCACUAUUUUUUUACAUAUAUAUAUAUAUAUAUAUAUAUAUAAUUCAAACCCGCCCCUCAUUUCUCAGGUUUGGCAAUGUUUUAGAAGGGGAGGUAGAGGCAUGUCAACACAUUGCACAACAAACUGGUAUAUUAGUGGAUCCAGUGUAUACACUUGCUGCGUGGGAGAUGUCAACGGUCCUUCGUGAACAGGAAGCAGAAGGAGGUGCAACAGUGGUGAUGCUUCACACUGGAGGCACUCUAGGCAUGUUUGGAUUAGCACAGAGAUACAAAUCUUACUUCUCUAACCUCAAAACUGGGCUUUUCAACUAAACAGGUAGCUGAGUUCACUGGAUUCAUUUGAACAGUUCAAAUUCAUACAUUUGUAUCUCCAUUCAACUUUCAAUUGAUUUUGAGAAAUUAUAGUGAAAUAUUCUUUAAGGUCACAUGUCAAGGUGUUUUGAGCAGUGACUCAGUGUUAACUUUGGUCUCAAGGGAUGAUUGUGUAUGGGCCGGGCUAGAGAUCAUACUGCAUAUAAAAUCGGGCUCGGGACCGAUCCCCUUAUAAAACCUGUUUAACAAACUAUGGAAAUACAAACCCAGACCAUGGCCCAAAAGCAUGAAUUGGGCUUCUGAACUUCUUGCUAGAUCCUACCUCUUGGCUCUUGCUUAUUUUGCUUGUUGCAUGUGCCAUUCCACAACACGGCACAAAGUCGUGUCUCUCUGGGACUGUAAAUCUGGGAAGUAGAAAAGUACUUCUUCUUUUCACAUUGGGCUGCUUACCUGGAUUAAUUUUAUCAAUGAACAUUCUUGAUCAUGGUGUUAAUCUUAUAAUAAACUAAAUUAACAUAUAAAAAAAGCUACCUAGAAUCUCUUACCCAAAUAAGAAAAACACUAGGAAAGGAACCCUUCUCCCAACGCAUGUAUGUAUAAUUAUAACGUGUGUAUGUAUGAAUAUGUAUAUUUGCCUACGUGGCAGUUGCAAAACGAUUCGCCACAGUUGUAGGACACGACAUGGUCCGCAAUGCGCACACGCUCUCCAAGAUUCUACCUGGUUUUUUUGGUUUUGAAUAAUUGUGUAGUUUAUAUUUAGUAUUUUUACACACCAACCAGAAAGAAACCACUAGCACUAAAGUUUUUGUGUUUUGUGGUGGGCUGGUGGCAAACCAAAGCCACAAACAAGAGCAGGCAACAUUCCUGGUACCAAGGGGAAAGCAAAACUUGAUGGUCUCCUGGACUUCUUGUCUCUCCCAAAAUUCUCCACCCACUUAUAAAUGUAGAGCCAAAUUGUGUGUAAUUCCAACUUGGCCAAUCAAAGUGGGGAUGCUUUCUAAGAGUUCUUUUCUCAAAUAGUUACUCGUAUGUUAACGGGCAACUACCAAUCGUUGAUGCAUAAUGAGAAUGUUCGUAGCAUUUUUACGGGGUUUUAUUAUAUUCAACCUUAUCCAUAGUGAUGACCUUUCUUUAUAUUUUCACUGCUUUUGGUAUGGACUAAAGAAUUGAGUUACAAACAAGCAUAGCAGAGCAGCAUAGGGAAUGUCUCCAUGUGUGUUGCCUGCUGGCUUGGAAACUUUUUCACCAUACUUUGAUAGAGAGUAGACCUCCUUAAACAAAAACAUAAAAAAAUAAAAAGGGGAAACAUCCCUUUCACUUACUUUUUGUGGGCAUGGAAAAGGGCUCUUGAUAUAAUGCAGGAGAGAGAGUACGAUGACCCACGAAUUAUGUGAAGCAAAUGGGGGACACAGUAACAUAACUAGUUAGCCACUACUUAUAAAAUAAUUAGGAACUAAACGUGACCAAUACAGAGCAUGUUCUUAAACAUAUUCGGGCACUAGCUGUAACAAAGAUGGUGGAUUUAUCUUUAAGUAAUUUUAUGACAAUUACUUUAGAACAUCGACAUUUUGUAAUUGUUAUGUUCGUGUCAAAUAUGUGUGGGAUUUAUUCACUUAUAUAGAAGACAUUUACACUAAUUACCGUUAAUAAUAUAAUCUAACCUUAAUUACAUUGGAAAUCCUCCUUCCACAUUGUUAUUAAAAAAUGGUAAAGAAAAUGUCCAUUGUUGUAAAAGUUUGAAGGUGGAGCCCACAGAGGAAGUUUCCUUGCAUCUUCCAGGAACUUUCUCUUCCCUGUAUUUAUCAAUUCAGGAAGUUUCCUUGCAUCUUCCAGGAACCUUCCAUUCCCUGUAUUUUACCAAAACCUUAGCCUAUAAAUAGGCAUAUCACUUGCAAUGGGAAGAGUGACCAACGGAGAAAAGAAAGAAAGGGGAGAAGAGAAAAGAGAGGAGAAAAGAAGAAAGGAAAAAGAGAAGAGGAAAGAAGAGGAAAAAGAGGAGGAAAGAUAGAAGAGGAAAGAGAGAGAAAAUUCAGUGAGCCUCACAUAUUGUAAACUCUAAAGUUGUAGCCCUAUUAUUUUAUAUAGUGAAAAAGUUACUGCUGCUGCUCUCCAAGGACGUAGGCAUAGCCGAACCUCGUUAAAUAUUGUGUCUCAUCUACUUUACGUGCAGCUCAAUAUUCAUACAUAUUCCAGGUUAUUUUUAUAACACGUUAUCAGCACGAGAAGCUCUCAGGUAUAAUUUUUGUGCUGCACUAUUAUCUAUACUACUAACCACUAACAAAAAUGGACCCUUGGUAAUACUAAACAUAUUAUCAGUGGGAGACCGUUACUAAUACUAACUUUUUUCUUAUUUUAUUCGGUGGUGGUUUUAACCCCACAUUUAUUUACUGUAUGGUGUAGGUUUAUUACCCAUACAUGCACCUUUACUUUAUCACAAAUUUAUUUUACCGCAUAUUUAUUUUAUUUACUGUAUGGUGUAGGUUUAUUACCCAUACAACAGUAUUUAUUUAAAAGGGUGGUGCGGGUUUAUCGUCCACGCCUUUGCUUUUAUUUAAAUGUAUGGAGCAGAAUUAGUGCCCAUACAAGCACAAUUUACUUUACCGCACAUUUAAUUUUAUUUAAAGUAUGGUGCGGGAUUAACGUCCAUACAGCAAGCAAUUUAAUUUACCGCACAUUUACAUUUAUUUAAAAGGGUGGUGCGGGUUUAUCGUCCACGCCUUUACUUUUAUUUAAAUGUAUGGAGCAGAAUUAAUGCCCAUACAAGCACCUUAACUUUAUGAAUUUAAUUUACCGCACAUUUACAUUUAUUUAAAGUGUGGUGCGGGUUUAUCGUCCAUACCAGUAAUUUAUUUAUCAGCAAUUUAUUUUAUGGAUUAAUUGUGCUGUAUGAUGAGUUUUUCCAGUAUGCAGAUCAGGACCAGAAGUUCCUUGAUCCUUAUCAUACAAUUACAUCAGGACUUGAAGAUCCUUGAUGAUGAUAUGAGAGCUGGCAGUCUCUCCGGUACUGUAUUUGUAAACAUGUGAUUGGACUUAAAGGUCCUUGAUCCCGACAUGUAAAUAAGGACCUAGAGUUCCUUAAUGAUGUAACAGUACCGUAUUGGUUCAUGGUGCCGUACACAUUGAUGAUAACUGUACUGGCAGAUGAAUAGAUAUGUAUUCAUGACUUGAUGAAUAGUACUAUUCACAUGAAUAGUGACGUAUGCAUAAAUAUUAACCAUUUUGGGUAAACCGUCACUAUAUACAAAAGGGAACCUGCAGUUCCUUAAACUCAUGGAUGAGCAAUUAAAUGAGAUGCCAGAAGUUCCUCAAAAUAUGGACAAUUAUGUAAGGGCUUGAAAUCCCGAAAUAUGUACAGAAAAUUGUAAAAAUGUCCAUACCAUGAGAAUAUGUGGCUUUGGCCUGAAGUUCAAAAUUUAACAGUAUUGAGAACCUGAAGUUCCAACAAUUAAAUGGACAACCCUUGAGGUAUUAUUGCAAAUUGUGGUAUGCCACAUAUUUCUUUGGCAUAAGAAGAUGAUGAAUUUAAUAAAGUUCGAUUUUGUUAUAAUCGACACCUCAAGGAAGAAAUAUAUUUUGUGAAUUCCGGUUGUUAAGAAUACACCGCGAAAUGGAUAAUAUUAAUAUAAACCUCAAAUAAUGAAUUGAGACUCCCCACAUAUUUUGUUAUAUCUGGGCCGGAAGCCCAUGAAUCCAAAUAUAUGAGAGAUCCUAAACUUGAAGUUGUGGGUAUAUAGUAGUUAAUGCUCUUCACUACUAUAUUGCGAUAUUAUCAUGGCUUUUACUCAAUUCAUAUUUCAUGUCCAUUUGAAAAGGGCAAAUAAAUUCUGAGUUUGUGCCCAGGCCAUAAGUUCCGGGCUACCAUACGUUGAAAUAUGAAAUUUGAGAGAGUCGAUGUGGUUAUUUGAACCUAUAAGGCACAAGGUUCCAAAUCGUCAUUUUGAAAAGACGUAAAAACCACAAGUGCAAGUUUAAGAAUAUGCGCAAUUAUUAUAACAGGAACAUAUAACAGAUAGAUUUUUUCCACCUGCAAUGAAGGUGCAGGCCCUGUGAAAUCUAUAAAAAAUUACAUUAUGUUCUGGAAGCCUCUGCAGGAAGAUGACGGCGCCUCUUAAGCUUAGCCAUGAGCUUCUCGUGGUCUCCCAAAAAUCUUUCAUUGGAGACCUGCAGCAUGUCUAGCCUUCUCAGUGUAUCAACAGAGUACGAACUCACCAGUUUCAACAAGGCAUUAUUCUCUCCUUUAAGUUUCUCAACCUCCUAUUGAGACUCAUGAAGCAUUCUUUGGAGAGACGAAUUUUCAGUUGUUAAAUUCUCAACUUCGUUUGCUCUGGCACGCAAACGAUCAGCCAUGUUAGAAACAGAAACAGCACUCUGAAUGCUAAAAGCCAUUGAGUCAUCAAUAGCCUCUUCCUCUGAUCUCCCUGUCAACAACAUUUCAUCCAUUGGAGUAAUGAAAUUCCUAGCUACUAUGACAGCAGUAGCAUCAUUCAUCAUCACAGAAUCAUUAACUGUGAGAUGACGAUUUUUGGAUACAAAGGAUGGACGCCAAACUUGGGCGUCACUGGUUGUUGUGGGAGCAUCAUUUAAAUUGAAAUAAUUUGGGCAGGAAGAAGAGGAAGCCAUUUUUUAAAGAAGGUUUCGAAGAAAGUCUUAGAAAAACUAAAGGUUCGGAAAAUGAAGGAAAUUGAGUUGAAACGCAGUUUGCAAAGGCAAUAUCUAUAGACGAAAAUGUGGCAACUUUUCAGGACCCCAAUAUCUUCUCGAAUCCCCAUAUUAUCUUUUUCUUUCCCAGAGUCCAAAACUUUACGUGGCCUCUAAUAAUGCCUGUCGGCAAUAUCUUCUCGAAUCCCCAUAUUAUCUUUUUCUUUCCCAGAGUCCAAAACUUCACGUGGCCUCUAAUAAUGCCUGUCGGCACUUUCGGCGUUUUUCAAAGUAUUAUUUUCAAAGCCGAUCUUGCUUUACGGAUUUCACGGAACUACUUUUUCAAAAGUAUCCCGAGAAUCUCGCAAUUUUCCUAUGGUUAAUUUGAAAUUCACCGGUUCUACCUAUUCAUUGUAUUUGUGUAUAAAUGUGUUACUAACGAAAUUUUCUUUGCAAAAGACAUCCAGUUUUCUCCAUACCUAGUGAUGCGAUAUCUACUUGUUUUUCUUAUCAGUGAGCACUUAAUAUGCCUGAGAAGCAAGACUAUCUCUGAUCAUACAUUCAGGAAGCAAGACUAUCCCUGAUCAUGUUUCCGCUACAUUAGGGAACUGUGAAGGUGACCUUAUGCUCUAAUCUCCUGAGGUCUUUCUAGACUAGGAGAAAUGAGAGAUUGUGUUUGCUCCCACCAGCUUCCUUCCCUGAUUGCUUACCUUCUCUUGCAAUCAAUAUCACAUUAUUUUUGCAUUUUUUCUCUUUUUAUAACUCUCUGUUCAUAAGAGUUUUUAUUUCUUUAGAAUGAACAUCUGAAGAAUGAAUCCAUGAAGUAAUCCUAACUAUGAGGGUUAUUUGUUUUGACAGAGGCAAAAGAGUUGUGAUUUUUGCUCUUGCAGGAUAUAACUAGAUCAUCAAGCGCUACAUUAUAUUUACUGGGCUGAUAUGAGCUUGAAUGAUACUUGAGAAAAGUUUCUCCCACCUAAGGAUGUAAGCAAUACUUGUGUUAUUUUAUGCUUAUAUACCUAUUUGAUAUUUUAUCUUGAAAGGUAACCAAAUGGGGAGAUAAGUCCGUUCCAAAAGAAUGACUUGUAUGUACCCAUGAAUUAUUAACGCAAAUUUUACAGAUUGCAAGUUGGAUACAUUGAUAAUACACUGCACAGAUUAAAGUCCCAUAAGAACAGAAUAUGGGUAUAGCAGUGAUCAAUAUGAUGCAUGCCUAUUGCGUAGCAAAUGAUAUGGAUUGAAGUCCCGAAAGGACAAUCCUUUGACAUGUCAAUAUUGAUAUUAUGCACGCCUAAUGCGUAGCAAAUUAUAUGGGUUAAAGUCCCAUAAUAUGGGUUAAGGUCCCAGAAAUUAAUUGACAUGUAUGUAUUAAUCUGUGGCAUGCCUGCAGCAUGACAGAUAUAUGGGUUCUAAAUGUUCCAACUCCCUAAAUGGAGAUUUUCCACGCCCUAUGUAAAAUAACGCUCCAAUGGAGGUUAUAAUCCACAUUCUCACAUAAUAAAAGCCCCAUGAAGUGGCUUGGGUACCCAAAAGCAAAGGAAUGCUUAUAAUUGAUGCAUGCGCAUGCACAUAAGAAUUGUGAGAUCAUGAAUUGAUGAAUGACAAUUUUGAGUUUUGGAGUAGCUACUCAAAUUAUCAAUGGGCUGUGUUGAUUGGAACCACGUUCAAUUAUUAAAUGUCGACAAUAUCAUUGGCCAAAAUGGAACGAGGUAAUUCCAUUAUAAAUGAGAAUGAACGUGAAAGAACAAACCCACAAUACGAACCCCAAAAUUUGUUAAUACUGAAAGUUAUACUUGGGUGUUCGGAAUAAAAGGAAAUAUAUCUACUUUGUAUGACACACUGUUUCUGACAGAAACAAGGAAUGUUGGGUUUUCUCCAUAUUUACAGAUUCAAUUGUGCCCCCCUUAUUACACAAUUACGGAGACCAACAUAUUAUCUUUAAGGGUUAUUAAUGCACAGAGCAUAUCGCCAUAAGCGAUUUCCUAAAGAUGUAUAAAUAGCUGGGUAAAAGCUAUAUAAUGUGUCAUAAAGUUUAAUCCCUUUUAACCAAAAUCCGUUGAGAGGAUUGAUAUUGCAUAGAGCAAGUCCCUAAAGGACAUGUGCUUGAAGCAUAAAAUUUGUACUCAAUAUUAAUAUGCAUAAAUUACCUCAGUGAGUACAUUGAUUAUAAUGUGAUUGCAACACAUUAAAGCUUCUGCAGAAUUCAUGAAAUAUUUAUCUCGAUCGAGCAUUAUGCCAACGAGAUUCUUGCUUAUACUAAGAAAGUAUUAAAGUAUUUUUAUGAGGAUUAUCCGUUGGACACUUUAAUGAUUUUCCGGAAGUAUAUUGGACCGGACAUCAUAUUUUCCAGAUAGGGCUCAACUCCAUCACCAUCAUUUUGGGAUGAUGUGAGGUAUAUUUGAUGCUAUCUAAGCAUAACACCAUAUACGGGCAUAUUUUUUAGUGAACUUAUAAAUAGCCCAAGUGUUCUAAGAUAUGCGGACUCAGAAAAUCUCUAUGGUCGCUUACUGGAAAAAGAUAGUCAUGAAGUUUUCAGGGGGAGAUAUUCAUCAGGGGGAGCAUGGUAUUAAUAAAGACCUUCAUACACUAUUGACUCACAGCAGCAGUGUCAACUAUGAUAUUUUGACAGAUGAUCAACAGUAUGGCUUAAAUAUAUUUUGCCAAGCAUCAGGGGGAGCGUGCUGUCAAUACAGACCCUUACACACUGUACUCUUUUUCCUUCGUCCAGGUUUUUAUCCUACUGGGUUUUUCCUGGCAAGGUUUUAACGAGGCAGUGUCGCACGCGCGUCAAUAUACACAGAAUUUUAUGUUACACGUGAUUAUGUACUAUUUUUCCCUUUGACCAGUUUUUGUCCCACUGGGUUUUUUACUGGCAAGGUUUUUAACGAGGCAUAUUCCAUAUCAUUUGUGGUCUCCAAGGGGGAGUGUUGUAAAAGUUUGAAGGUGGAGCCCACAGAGGAAGUUUCCUUGCAUCUUCCAGGAACUUUCCCUUCCCUGUAUUUAUCAAUUCAGGAAGUUUCCUUGCAUCUUCCAGGAACCUUCCCUUCCCUGUAUUUUACCAAAACCUUAGCCUAUAAAUAGGCAUAUCACUUGCAAUGGGAAGAGUGACCAACGGAGAAAAGAAAGAAAGGGGAGAAGAGAAAAGAGAGGAGAAAAGAAGAAAGGAAAAAGAGAAGAGGAAAGAAGAGGAAAAAGAGGAGGAAAGAUAGAAGAGGAAAGAGAGAGAAAAUUCAGUGAGCCUCACAUAUUGUAAAUUCUAAAGUUGUAGCCCUAUUAUUUUAUAUAGUGAAAAAGUUACUGCUGCUGCUCUCCGAGGACGUAGGCAUAGCCGAACCUCGUUAAAUGCUGUGUCUCAUCUACUUUACGUGCAGCUCAAUAUUCAUACAUAUUCCAGAUUAUUUUUAUAACAUCCAUUUCAUUUGUGCGGGACAGUAAUAUAUGUAACAUACUGUAAUUUACCACACUUAAAAAUAUUGGGGAGGAAUAAAGUAAAUAAUGCAGAUGGACCAUAAUGAGGAGGGACAUUGUAAAUAAAUAAAGGGUGUUUCACUAUUAUACCCAAUAUAAUUGCCUAAAUUAUUAAAAAAAAAGAAAAAACUCUAUAUAAAAUAGACUUUAGAAACACACCCAAAGCCUAUUUACGAUAUAACAAAGAAGCUUCGAACUUCCUAUAAAUUCCAAAACUGCCAUAAAUUUCUUAAAACAAAUUCAAACCCAAAACCUCAUAAAAAAAAUAAAAUCCAAAGCACUCAAUAAGGCAUCAAAGUAAUUUAAUAAUAAAAAUUAAAUUCAUAGGGUCAACUAUCAUUUAAUGGAUUUUUUUUAAUUUAUUUAUAAAAAUUAAAUGAUGUAAGAUUUUUUAUAUAUCAUUUUCUAUUUAAAUCCCACACUUUUAUUUUUUGUUCACCCCAUGUUCUAAGCUCGCCCCAACUUCUAAUUUAAAUUUUCAUAAUUACUAAGAAAACCCCACUAUCUUCCCAAACUACCUUUAAAUACACCACAAAUUGGAAAAAAGAAAAAAGAAAAAAAAGGAAAUUUUUUUUUUCUAUUUAAACCCCACUAUCUUCCUACUACAAACUAUAGAAAAAAGCAUAUAUCUAAACUGAAUAGUGGGGAAAAGAUGAAGAAUGCCCCUAUUUUUUGAGAAGAAGAUGAAGGUCCAUGUGCUUGCCGCAAGAUAGACAGACUCGCUAACUAUUACAAUAUAUCGUUUACUAUCAAUAGAAAGAGAUCCUAAACCAAAUAAAGAUUUCUAAAUUAGAAAUUAAACAAGGAGAUAUUUAUUUGCAUUGUAGAGAAGAAUGUGCAACUUACCUCGGUAAGAACAAAUUUCACUUACACGAAGGUACAAUAAACAGCCUUUCCAUCAGCUCCAACGCAAAUUUUAAAGAGGUAGGCUCCUUAAUGUUUUAUAUCUUUAAAAAAGAGUAAUUUGACAAUAGGAUGUAGAUGAGUUUAUAUUUUUCUAAAACUAAUAUGAAGAGUGGUGGGAUAUGUGUAUAAAUGUAUCUAUAUAUAUAAAGCAAAAAGCAGAGAAUGGUGAAACAUUCAAAAUACCAGAAAAUACUCUUUGUUAAUUCAAACAUUAAGAAUUGAAAUUAUUAAUUAAUUUAUAUGGGGGACACGAGACAAGAGCAUGCAAAGUAUCCAAGACAAGACAUAUAUGCAUAUAUUAAUUUGUAUAUUGUUUGGUUUGGCUAAUGAUAAUAAGGUCGUGACGGCAUUGGAAGAAGUCUCAUGUUGGAGUUGGACCCCUAUACCGGAAACUCCGGCGCACGUGUGCCACUCUUCACUCAUGCUGCAUUUGCAGUUUUUUUUGGUGAAAGCAAUUCGAAAUUUGAGCUCAUGCGGGUGGAUUAAUUAAGAAUGGGUGAAUGAUAUUAUAUCUUCAUUGAUUUAAACAACAUAUAUAAUUAAGAUAAAUAUAAUACAAUUGUAAACGUGAGUCAGGACAGUUAGUUAUGUAAUGACAGUGAGCUCACAUAUUUAUAUUCAAGGUUUAUAAUUUACUGAGCUACCGAUGGUGUUUGUUUGACAAAUAUUGAAACUUAAUUAAACUCUGAAACAGGUGGUUAAAUUGAGUUGUGUUAUGGAUUAUCGCAAGCACCCCAACCAUGAUUAAACUCCUUUUAAAUCUACAAAUUAAUAAUUAGAUUGGCAAUGCCAACAAGAAGAAGCAGCGGACAUUCUUGGAGGAAGCAAGCAAAGCUUUCCCUGUUUCCCAUAUUGCAUGGAUGCACUUGCAGUGCAGUGCAGGACCAUAUGCUAUUAUUCUCUCUCAUUGUUUGACUCACAAAAUCAAAUAAAUUCCUUUGCUUUUAAAAAAGAAAAAAAAAACCAACAUAAAUCCCUAUAAAAAUGUCCAUAUGUGACAUGUGAAUAGUAAGAUAGCCAUGUACAAAACUUUUUCAGAUAGUCCUCCGAUUGCCUUUAUUGAUUGCUACCCAUGAAGGAUAAUAAUGUGAAGAAUGAAAACCCAAAUCUACAUGUGAUUUGAAGGACAUUUUAUUAUUUUCUUCUCUAAAUAUAUAAUAUACACAAUAAAUAAAGCAAAGCAUUGUGAUUAGUCAAAACAGGCACGAUAAAAAGUACCACGCAGCAGAGCAAUAAUUAUGGUCCGGUUUUGGCAAAAUGUCCUUUUUGUGCACAACUUAUUUACUUGUACCUUUCCCUACCUCUCUAGUCUUAGGCUCCCUUCCCAUCCCCUUCAAUCGCGCAUCAUCACACACUACAUUCGUCCAAUCAGCCACGUGUACGGCCCUCAUCCAUUCUCAUCCUUACCCAACGUAAAUUACCCCAUCACAAUCGCAACAGUGGUAAUUCUUUGAAUUGAGAAGAAUUGGAUUCCGCUUUUUCAUUGAAGUAAAUAUGAAUUGAGUAUAGUUAGAUUUUGAAUUCCUAUUGAAGUUGUUUAUUAAAUUAUAUAGAAUUAUGGUAUGAGUGAUAUUAAUUACUAAAAUGUCAUUGUUGUUGGGUUUAAGUAGAUGAUGAAUUUUAAAAUUUUAAAAUUGUGUGAGAAUAUAAUGAGUAAAAAAGAUAAAUUCCUAAUUGGUUAGUUCUCUAGGAAUUAGAAUAUCACUUCUCACCUAAAAAUUGAAUUCUUCCAAAAUUAGAAAUUGAUUUCUAAGUUUUUGGGGGCCUCAAAUACUUUUAAUUUCUUGAUGUGAAGUAAACACAAAAAUUUUCUAUAGUAUUUUUUUUUAGUUAAUAAGAAUCUUCUGUAGUUGGAAUUUAAUUUUCGAUGAGAAUUCCACUUCUUUAUAAGUAAACACACCAUUAAUAACACUGGGGUAGUAUUGUAAUUUCUCCGACUUGUUUAGAUGGCAAAAUUACAUUUUUAGCAACUUCGGUUUGAAAAAGAAAGUAGUGGAAAAGGAAAAAAGCCAAGCGAAAAUUCAUCUGUGCUGUUAUGCCUGCUUUUUCUACUAUGCGUAGCUACAAUUAAAAUCACAGUACAGGCCAGGCCAUUUUCCACACAGAAGACUCAAACAGAGAGACAGAAAGACAGAAAGACAGAGAGAGAAAGCUGGAGAGAGAGAGAGAGAGAGAGAGAGAGAGAGAGAGAGAGAGAGGUGUACUGUAUUACUCGGGAAGAUGAGCCAUGAAUUUGACCAGUGCCUGAAAACCAACUAAUCCUCUCACUCUUCACUUCACCGGAAAACCACUUGUUUCCUUAUUUACACUUUCCCCAAGUGGUUUUCCGACUAGCGAAAUCCCCCCAACAUGGCAGAAACCGGUCUUGUCCGGUUUCCGGGCAGCCUGGACCCGGGAGCCCAAGAGUUCAUACCCAGAAACCCGAACCAACUAACCCUCUUCGGGCCUCCUCCACCGCAACCGCUACCACCGCCUCCGCACCAGGUUUUCUAUCCGUACCCGCCAAUCAGCGAAGUCGUACCGUACGCGCAGUACGCUGCGCCCCCGGCGUAUGCUAGUGCCGCGCCAACCGUUUGCACGCCGGUUCCACCUCCAUCUGUGGCCGCGACGCGGGCUGUGCUGUUGAGCUCCGUGCCGAGUGACGUGAGCGAGGGGACGGUGAGGAGGGAGGUGGAGGGGUUCGGGGAGGUGAGGUGGGUGCAGAUGGAGAGGGUGUGCGAAGGGAUCGUGACCGUCCAUUUCUACGAUCUGCGGCAUGCAGAGCGGGCCUUGAGGGAGUUUCGGGAGCAGAACAUGCAACAGCAGCAGGUCAGGCUUCGCAACAACUACGCCUCCUAUACUUUCAUCCCCAACACUCCGCCUCCGCUGCCGCCCAAUAAUUUGUCUAGCCAGCUUCUUCCGGUUACUCCGGGUCGUGGGCUCAUCGCUGGUCAACCCGUGUGGGCCCAUUUCGUGAUUCCGGCCUUGAAAGCCGUCCCGGACGGCCAUAACCAAGGCACCAUCGUGAUUUUCAAUUUGGACUCGGCGGUCACCACCUCCACUCUCAAAGACACCUUCCAAGCUUUUGGUAAUACUAGCCGCUAGUCUCUUUCAUCUUCUGUUUGUUUUGCUUUCGGAAUUUUUUUUUGGGUGUGUUUAUAUUCAUGUGGGGAAGCUUGCUUUUAAUUCUCAUGGGUCUCUUUCUCCCACUUUCCAUGCGCAAUAGGCACAUGGUGCCCUAGAUUCUUCUCUUUUUGUUUCAAUUUUUCAUAAUUGGCUGUGUGUUUACAUGUUCCUAGGGCCUGUAAAGGAAUUGAGAGAGACGCCUUCGAAAAAGCACCAAAGGUUCAUCGAGUUCUUCGACGUGAGAGAUGCUGCGAAAGCUCUCAAGGAAAUGAACGGAAAAGAAAUCAACGGCAAACCAGUUGUCAUCGAAUUCAGUCGACCCGGAGGCCACAGCAGGAAGUACUUGAAUGCGGUGGGCAACACCACCCAAACGCUGGUCUCGCCUACCAAUAUAAUUGCACCCCUUCAUUCUAACAACGCUCUAGUUAGUUACCCGCCUUCUCCGUCGCGGGAACUGGUCGGAAAAUUCUCAAGACGGCCCAACAGUUUGAACGUGGCACCGCCGCCGCCCCGUUUGUACGCUAGCCUCUCGCCACAAAUCCAAUUUCCAUCGAGUAGGAACAAAUCAACGAAUAUUUGUAGCAGCAAGGGAAAUGUGGGGGCUAAUGGGAGCUUGAGGAGGUCGAAUUCAUCGAGCGUUGAAGCUCAAAUGGGGGGUUUGAAUUUGGGUGGUGCAGUUGAAGAGAGCCAUUUGGUACCGGGGCAGCCGAUAAGGUCUUGCUCGUCUUCAAAGAAGAGCUGCCAAAACAGCCAGAACCAGGUUGUUAUGAGUCCACCGCGGCCGCAGCAAGCGAAGAGCAGUAGGGGAAGGAAAGGAAGGCAAGGGAAGAAGAUGGAUUCUAAAUUUCUAAUAAAAGAAGAAGCGAUGGCGGAAUCCAGCAGCGCAGAUACGAGGACCACCGUCAUGAUCAAGAACAUUCCCAAUAAGUACAGGUAACAUAGUUUUGGGUGAUUCAUAAUUAUUUAUGUUGUUCUGAGUUGUUUGAAUAAUGAAAUUGUAAUUUUGUGUGGGUGGGGGGGUGUGGCAGUCAGAAGCUACUAUUGAACAUGCUGGACAACCACUGUAUUCACUGCAACGAGCAGAUUGUUGCCAACGGCGGCGGUGAUGAUGGUGAUGAUGAUGAGCAGCAGCCGCAGAAGCAGCCUUUCUCCUCCUACGAUUUCGUUUAUCUUCCCAUUGAUUUCAAGUAUGAUUUCUUUUUAAAUUUUCAAUGAAGCUUGAUUUGAUUUUAAAAUUCUGUUACAAAUUAUAUGUGGGUGUGUGUUUGUUUGGGGGAAUGAACAGUAACAAGUGCAAUGUGGGAUAUGGGUUUGUGAACAUGACGUCGCCGGAGGCAACGUGGAGGCUGUACAAGGCCUUCCAUCUUCAGCAUUGGGAGGUCUUCAAUUCCAGAAAAAUCUGCGAAGUCACCUACGCUAGAGUUCAGGUACUUUUUUAAUUUUGGUCAUUUUCAUUAAAUGAAUUAAAUGCAAUGCAUUUGUAUUUGUAUUUUUGGAGUAAGUAGAGAGAGAGAGAGAGUAAUUAAAUGAAAUGGAAAUGGAAAUGGAAAUUAAAUGAAGUGGAAUUAUUUAUUAUAAUUUGAAGGGAUUGGAAGCGUUGAAAGAGCAUUUCAAGAACUCGAAGUUCCCGUGCGAGAUGGAGCAUUACCUGCCAGUGGUGUUUUCACCGCCUCGGGACGGGCGGCAACUCACCCACCCACUUCCCAUUGUUGGCGCCCAAACCCUUAAUAACAAUAUUAAUAACUCCUCUUCGUCCUCCCCCGUUUCUCUCUUGCUCACGCCACUGCCACCUCAUCUUCACGAUCAACACGACCAUGAUAUGGACGCGCCUGUGUCUACCUGCGACUCUGACGACGACGACGAAGGCAGCAGUCGAAGCGGCGGCGUUUUCAUGCCUGACGACGACGACGACGAUGAUGAUGAUGAUGACGAACGAGACAGACAGACAGCUAGCGCCUCCCUAGAAAUAAAAGGCUAUACCUAUAAUACCCUCUAAUAAUAUUAAUAUAAAAACCUCCACCCUGGCCUCCAUGUAUAUCUCUGUCUGUCUCAUCAGUUUCAGUCUGCAAAUCUCACAUUGAUCUGUUCUGAUCUUAUAGCUACCUGCCUCCCUCCCUCUAGAUUAGCUUCCGCUUAAGUUCUGCACCAGAACCGGCCUCCAUCAUUUCCAUUUAUUACUGCUCUCUCUCGCUCUCUCUCUCUCUCUCUCUCUCUCUUGUUCUUGUUUUUUCUUUUUCAAAUUUGACUAGUUGUGUCAACUUUGUGCUGUGUUUGUAUUUUAGGAAAAAUGUAAUCCUAGUGUUUAAUUAGAGUUUCUUGUUAAUUUUGCUAAUUACAGAUUGUAGUUUUCUAGUAUAAUUUUUCCUCCUCUUUCUUUUUAUUUUAAGCAAAUUUAAAUUCUUGGAUGAUGGGUGGGAUAAACAUAUUUUUAACGUAUGAAAAUGUAUGUACAUUGAACAUUAAUAUUCAACUGUAAAAAUUCAAUUGUUUUUUUUUUCACCGUUAAAAUUCAAAGAUCCACGGAACACAAGAGACCGAGAAAUGCCCGUUGAAUUGUCCUUGCCAUGUCAGAUGCAUGACAGAAAUGCUAAGUUAUUUGUUGAACGGACACGUACAAAAUUAUGUACAGAUGUUGUGGAUCCAUCAACAACGUAUAUUUGAUGUGGUAUUUCCCCGUUGUUCAAAAUUGCAAUUAAUUAGAUCUAAUUCAUCAAAAUCAAAUGCUUGUUCAAUAUCAUUUAUUUCUAUUAAUUGGAAUCAUAUACAGGUGGCAGAUUUAUAGGUUUUAUUUAGAACCAAGGCUAGACAAUUCAAAUGAUACAAGUUGAACAUUUGAGACCUUGCUAUAAUUCAAUGUUGGAGUGAAGGGUCCUAACUUGGAGAAAAACUUAGUUGUUUCUAUUCGUUGCCCCAUGGCGCGGCCAAUAAUGAUAUGCAACGUAAAAGUGUUAUCACACGUGUUAUUUCUAUUUAAUGGAAGUCUUUCUUGCUACCGCCGAACUUGGCUGGCUGGUAUGAACAAUAAUUAACAAGCAUGAUUCAAUAGAGUAUAGAUUAGACCAAACUAGGUGGAUUAUUAUUCUAUCUCCAUUAAUUUACGAUCUGCAAAAUGUGUAGCAUUAGAAUUUCAUACGAGGUAUGCUUAGAUUUUGGUGUAACUUUAUUACAUCAAGUUUAAGAACAUUAUGUUGUUAUGGUUUUUAUUUAUAUUUAUUUGUUAGUCUUGGUAUAAAAAAAGAAAAGGAGAUUGAUUGAGUAAAAGGGAAUAGUACUUUUUAUGGCUUCAAUAUACUGUUGAGGGAGGCAACAUGACUCAUGAGAAUGUUUAUAUAUGUCCUCGUAACGAGCAUCACAAAGCCUAAAAGCCUGCCCUUUCUUUUGUUUUUAAAACACAUCACUUUCGCUGCAAUAGGCCAUCUUUUUUUGCCUUAAGAGUUUUUCUCUGGCUCGGUUACCACAGAUAUUCAUAGACAUAUAUAUAGAAAGAGAGGGAGGCUUUGCUUCUCUUCCUCCUCUUCAUCCUCCUCCUCGUCAAGUUGAUGACAGGUAAGAAUCCGAUGCCACGUGGGAAAGUGCGGGAGAUGAGGUGGCAGUAGAGCCUUUGACCUUCAUCCGUACCAGCAGCAGGAGCUGUGCUAGUAGGGUUGCAAUUGCAGAGUGGCAGGUCACUUUAAAUUUCUCACCCCUCCACGUCAUCAGAUAUACUGAAUGAAAAGCCUUAUUGUCCAUGUCCCCAUUCCCAUUCCCAUUCAAGGCUAUGUGCUACAGUGCCAGAGCCAGUGAGAGCCACACCCAUCGGACCAUUAGUUUUGACUCUUGAGAGAGAGAGAGAGAGAGAGAGAGAGAGAGCAUGUUUGUCCUCCACUACAUAUCCUUUGAUUUGAACAGUGGUCUCCACUUUGUCCACAGUAUAUAUAUAUAUAUAUAUAUAUAUAUAUAUAGCUAGGAGAUGGGAGAAAGAGUGACCGCCCAUUUAAUGCUGCUGCCCAUGUCUUGUUGUUGUUGUUGUUGUUGUGGGCCUCCUCCCUCCGUCCCCUCCUUCCUCCUCUUCCUGUUUGUCAGGCUCAGGCUUUGGCCGUCUCUUUAUGCUUUUUCUCUGAUGCUCUGGGGAUUUGACACAUGGACCACCUGAUGCCCCCCACGUAGUACCCUCUCUGGGUGCCAUAUGUGGUGUGGUGUUGUGUGUGCGCAUCUCUCGCUGUCUUUGCCCCAACUUGUUUUACCUCGUAUUGUUUGUGUUGUGUAUAAACUCUGCGUUUUGACCAAUUCAUGCAUAUGAUAUGCAUGCAAGACAAACUUUCAAAAAAUAAACCCAAAACUCUCAUUAGGAGACAACAAAAUCAUAUUGAAGUGCUACAACUUAAUUCGAAUUAAAAACUUGAUUACUUAUUUGGAUAUUCAAAUAUCAACAAACACAAUCUAAGAUCGCAAAGUGUGAGAUACAUUGAUUGUACAAAUUUGGUUGAGAUUUGAGGCAAACAAGAAUCAUAUAGAGGAAGAGCUGGUCGAGACGGGGAGGACGAUGUGAGUUAGACCGAAAUCAACAAAGAUUCAAUGAAAAUUCCCGUUACCGGACCAUGGUGAGUUAAAGAGAGAGGCCUUUGUGAGAGGGGUAAUUAUGUUGCUGUCCUCGUAAUUCUUUAGGUUCUUUGGUAUUAUAAUUGUAAUAAUGAGAGAAUGUAGCCCAUACUGAUAUAAGCAUAGGAUUACAGGUCUUCAUCACAAUUAAAGGCCGACAAAGAUCCAGUUGAAGCACACAAAAUUUAUAAUUAACAGCAAAAGUGGUGAGCCUAGAGCUACAAGUUACAACUACAAAAGGUUGCAUGAAGGUGAUUCUCUGUCCUUUCCCAAGUAUAUAUGAUUUGCGGCAACCGAGACUGUUUUUCUGAGAGAAAUUUGUAUAUUUUGUUGUAAUUGUUUAGACUUAGUUUAGGAAUUUUGUUGACCGGGAACAGGGAAAUGCCGGUAGCAGAGAUGGUCAAAGAUUUGGCAGCCCACCAUGGUCCAAUGGAAACUGUGGCAUGCGUGCGGCCCUGUGAGUCUUUUUGAGCUGAUCAAGGCCACAGGGUUGGCCUCUUCAACACCUAUCUUCUUAAUUUAAUCGAAUCUGUUUUGGAACCCAAUAACCUAUUUUUUGUUUCCUUAAUUUAUAAGAUUAACACUUGAUACGAUGCACAACUUCAGAAAAACACUUGUACGGCCGUUUACAUUUUCUAGGAUCUAGGAUGAUGACUGUCUUUAUAUAAGCUUAAACAGCGUCCAAUUUUUUUAUUUUAUCACAUGGUAAUUAAGAUUUGCAUUUAAAUCCUUAAUUGACCAUAAAUUAGUGAGCUUUCCUUUAGUGGUAUUUGUCUUCUCAUGUUCGACUCAUGUGGAUAGCUAAAACUACUUGUGAUAAAUUUGAUAUAUUUGUAAUGAGUUUCAAUACAUAAUUAGGUGUGUCUAGUUUUCUUGUGACGGUAUAGGUUUGUCGACUGGUAGACUCAUUUUAAGUCAGUUGGAAGAGUGGACCUAAUUUGUUGCAGUAGUUGUCCUUUAUGGAUGGAUUGGAUCAAACAAUACUUGCUACAUGAUUUUGAACUCAAACAAAAACAUGAACAGGCUAAAUUAGCUAGUCGGGCCCAUAAAAAUAAAUAAAUAAAAUUCAGAGCGAAGCCUGUGUGCUAAUUCUUUGAUCACAUAACCAUGUACAUGUUCAUCAAACUCUCAACCUUCUAUUUCAUAUUUCAGCAUCAAACCAACAUUUAUUUUCAUCCAAAACGAAAGCGUAAAUUCAGUCACCACACACUGUAUAUAUAGCACCUAAGAUUCAUAUGCCUCUUUUAGGACAAAGCUUGAUCACUGAUAACUAAAUUGGCAAACGAAAUCUACUAAACUAUACUAUAUCAUGCGUAGCAGCAGCACAUAGCAUAGAGCUUUAGAGUUCAUCCUUGAAGGAGGAGGAGCUUCUUCUUUUUGUGUUGCUUGGGGAAGACUUCAUGGGGUAAGAGGGAUCUUUUGCAAUUCCACACAGCCCUUCUUCUGCAUCAACUCCACGUUGGAUCCUUAUGUAUCCCUUCUCUCCCCACUCUUCUCCCCAAGAGUUCUUCACAAUCCAGUACUUGGUCCCAUCCAGAGUUGCUCCAUACCCCACAACUGCUACGCCAUGGUUUAGCUCUGUUCCACAGUCCCCAUUAAACACACCCUGCAAAAUUAAUUAACCCAUGAUUUAGCUCUCAUCCUUGUGUUUAGUUAACUAAUUUGAAAGCAGUUGUAUUUUUAUACUUCUGAGUAGAAUUGGAAGUCUCUGCCACCAGCAUCUAUUGCAACAGAUACAGGUUGGUUUGCAACAGCUUUCAUCAAGGCAUUUUCGUUGUUUUCGGGUACGUUUUCGUAGCCAUCAAUUUGCACCAGAGGAGCAUUCAUCAUCUGCAAGAACCAAAACAAAGCAUGCCCAUUUUUUUUCACGUGCAUGAAGGAACGUGAUAUUUUAUUGAUGUGGGGUAAUUAUAGUUGGUUCUUUCUUCACCUUGGUUGAGUCACAAGGCCCAUCACUGGCUCUGUAUGGGUAGUUCUGCUCUGUUGUUAUGCCGCCAUUUUUCUUUAUGAAAUCAAAUGCCUUUUCCAUCAAACCACCGUCGCACCCUUCGUUGGGGUCUCUAUUGCAAUCAACCAGCUCUUGCUCAGACAGAGAGACUAGGGCCUUGGUUUUGAUUUGAUUGAUACCCUCCACUGCAACUACAGUUGAAAAUGCCCAGCAGCUACCUGUAACAUCAACAACAUGCAGUAAAUUUUAAUCAUCUCUUGAUUUUGAUCAACAUGAAAGUUGUAACAUUUAUUCAUGAAAUGGACUGCAUAUUUUCCCCAUCAACCAGCAAUCGUAACACAAAAUUUGCAUAAACUUUCAAAAUAUUUCAAUGAAAAUUGUCACAUGAAAAUCUUUGGUCAUGUACGUAUAUCUGAGACUUACCGCAUUUGCCUUGGUCUUUAACUCCAGUGACUGCUCCAUUCUUCCUCCAAUCAACAUUUGGUGGAAGAUUGUCAGUGUUCUCAUGUGUGAAGGCAGUUUCCCUUCGGCUGCCAUGCAAAGACCUGUAGUGGCUAACCUUUGAGCCAGCAUAGGAGCUCACAAACUCAUGGUUGGUCAUGUCUGCAAACUUGUUCAGCUUCAGCUUGUAAGGCUUGCUCAUCUGGUUCACCUUGUGCACAUGCUUCACAUUCUCCUUGAAGACAUUGAAGCGCUUUUCCUUCUCUCCGAGGUCAUGGGAAAUUGUAUGGUGGCUCCUCCACCCCUCAUACAAGCCCCAGAGACUCUCUUCAGAGGCCAGGUCCUUCUCCUGAAACUCAAAGCUCUCAGCCAGGCCAAUAACCAGAGCCAAAAAUAGAGCAACCAAGAUGAACUUCCUCAUGUCAAUCAAUCACUCUAACAAAGAUUUCCUAAUUUGAAUCAAGAAAUGUUGGAGUUUAAGGAAAAUGGGUUUAGAGAAUUAUGGGAGAUGAAGCUGUUUGAUUGCUUUGAUCAAUGCAAAGCAUACCCUUUAUAGACAAUUUUGGUUGGUAGGGAUUGAUUGGCCCUAGAGCUCUACAUGAAGAUGAGUACGUAGCUUGCCAUAUUGGCCAGGGUCUCAACUUUAUAGCUUUAGACAUAAAAUCUGGGGAAAAGAUGACAUUCUUGUUAGAAGUUGUAUAUAUUUUUGGAGGUGGGGUUUGUAUUUUUUUGGUUCAUAUCUACAGCCUACAUGCCAUCCACGUUACCUUGUUUAACUUGUUUAUAGAUGGUGACAAAUGGGUUAUGUUGUGGCACGAUUUCUUGCAAGCCUAUGGACUUUCCUGUCUUUGUUCAAAACCGAAAACUUUUCCGAAGGUUGGCUACUUGGGAGUGAAACUUGCGUGAUUCUUUAUCUUCUGCAUUUUGUCGAUGUUCUUUUUUGGUGUAUCAGAAGAUUAUUAUUUUGGGAAGCUACUCAAAGAUCGAUCUAGACUUGUACUUGUCUGUGUGUACCGAAAAAUAAAUGAAAAUGUUGAGAAAUCACGCUCUUGCGCACAGAAGGAUUCAAACCCCUCCCUUUCCCAACCACCUUUUGAGCUUUAUCCAACCCACUGCGGAUGAGUUUGUGAACAUAUCUACGGCGUGUAAUAUUUAUAAGGUCUUUAAAAUGUCUGCAAGUUAAUAUUAUCUAGGAUAAAUUUCCAUAUAAAAAAAAAUUAUCUUUUUUUUUUUUUUGGGUUGAGAAAUUCUAUGAUUGCAUUCAUAAUUCAGCCAAAAAAGCCACCACAAAGGGUCAAUACAAACUAGCCACAAAAGGGCUAUUACAAUAACGGAGCGGUCUAAUAUCAAAAUUAAGAAAAUCAGGUAUGUCUCCACCAAUGAUCAGGCAAGAUCGAAGAAAGUCUGGCAUAGGCAUCCCAACUAAGAUUGCAAACUUAGAAUAAUAAAAAAAGAUAAAGCUUAAAAAAAACCAAGCCAUAACAAUACAAAUAAAACUAGGGGUGGGCAUUGGAACCGCAAAACCGCAAAACCGAACCAAACCAAUCCGAAAAAAACCGAAAAAAACCGUGUUGACCAAAAAAGUCAAAAACCGAGACAAAUCCAAACCGAACCGGUUCAGACCGGUUCCGGUUCCGGUUUUUCACCCUAAGAAACCGGUCCAAUCCGAACCGAUCCAAUAUAAUUAAUUUUUUAUAUUUUUAUAUUAUAUUAAUAUUUAUAUUUAAAAUAUCAAAUUUUGUAGGCCCAAACCCAACUAUUUCAUUAUACUAACAAAAAGCCCAAAUUUCCCAAGUCCAUUGCCCAAGUCCAACAAGCCAUAUUUUAAUAUCCUAAACCUAAUCACAUCAAAUCUCACUUCACUCUCUCUGACGCACUCUCUCUUUUCCUCUUAGAUUUUUUUAACUCUCUUUUUCUUUCUUUCUUUUCUCUUCCGCCUCUUUUCCUCUAGGUUCUUCAACUUCUUUUUACUUCUUUCUUUCUUCACUCUUCUGCCUCUUUUCCUCUCAGUUUUUUUUUUUUCUUCUUUCUCUCUUAUUCUUUCUCCUCUCAAUUCGUCUCCAUUUUUUCCCCUCUCUNNNNNNNNNNNNNNNNNNNNNNNNNNNNNNNNNNNNNNNNNNNNNNNNNNNNNNNNNNNNNNNNNNNNNNNNNNNNNNNNNNNNNNNNNNNNNNNNNNNNCUGAUUUUUUUCUUCUUGGUUUUAUGUUUCUCUCUCUCCCUCUAUCUCUUUCUUUGCAACUCUGUUAUUCUAUUUCUCUUUUUUUUCUCUCUUCAUUUUUUGUUUCUCUGUACAUAUAUGUGUUCAUCUUGUAGAUCUGGGUGAAGUUCUUGGAGAUCUGGGUUAAGUUCUUGUAGAUCUGGGUAAAGAGCCCGUUUAAAGCAGGUCAGCGUCUCUUAUCUCCCCAAUCCUUGUGAAGAUAUGUAUUUUUUUUUUUUGUCAACAAUCCAUUUUGGUGCUUUUAUAUGGUAUUGAUAUUUUCUAUGAUUUUGGGCUGAUGAUGUUAUUGAGGUCUGAUUCUCUUUUUUUUUCUUUUUUUUUUCUUUCAAUUUUUUCCUGUUGUGUUUUGAUAAACAUGUUCUCUAUUCCUGAUAUCAUUCCUCAGUGGCAAAAUUUUUGAACGUUGUUGUAAAUUUUAGACGGGAGAAAAGCUCAUUCAUUACUCAGAAAAAGAAAAUAAAGUUACAACAACUGACAAUUUGUUGCUCUUUGAAACAGGUACUGAAGUAGCAUGGAUAAAAAGAAAGACUGAAGAUGUUGCAGAACAUUGAAUAUGUUCUAUUUCUGUAAUUUGUUUGUAAUUAAAUUUGUUUAUUUUGUUUUGUUUUUAGGUUGUAAGUUUUAUUUUAAUGCUUGAUAUUUGUUGUUUUGUCAAUUAGCAGUGCGUGGAUGUGAAUUGGGCCAAUCGGUAAUAAUUAGGCCCAAAAGGUUUUAAAUAUCAAUUGGGCUGAAACUUAAAAAAAAUUUAAGAACAAAAAAAAAAUCAAUUAAGCUGAGUGUCGGCCCAAACCAUAAAAACCGGAACCGAACCGGAUCAAAAUGGGUUCGGGUUGGUCCGGUUUUCUCAAGCAUUUUAGUAAAAAUCCGAACCGAACCGGACCGGUGAACAGUACCGGUUUCGGUUUUAAAUUGAUGUAGAAACCGGUCCAAACCGGACCGUGCCCACCCCUAAAUAAAACUCUCACCAAUGAGAGAUGAAAAGCUCUCACAAAGGAGAGAUGAAAAGCUCUCACAAAAGGAGAGGUGAAAAACUCUCACAAAAGGAGAGGUGAAAACUACACAGAGAACCCAAAGAGUCUCUGCAACUUAUUCCAAACAUAAAGAAAUUGCAAAAAAGAUGGUGGUGGAGAUCCGACGUCGAAAUGCAGGUGAAGAUCCGACGUUGAGCCGCAGCCGCCAAUAAUGGUUGGAUGAAAAUCAUAACAAAACUAAGACAAAUAGGGAAAACCCUUUGUCUCUGAAAAUGGGGGAAGAGGUGAAAGGAGGAAGAGAGGAAGAGAAGAGGGGAGAGGGGGGAAGAACAAUGACUUCUUCCCCCCUCAAAGUGGAAAAGGCUCGAAGAGUGUUUUUUGGGGAGAAAGGGGGCUAAGGAUAAAUUUAGGCAUAUGUUUAAUGUUAUUUAUUAUUUAAUUAUGGAGUUGAAAUUUUUGUUGUUGUUAUAUAUUUAUGGAGUUGUAUUAUUAUUCACUAUUGAGUUUUAAUAUUGUACAUUAUACGUGAUACUAAGUUUGAACUUUAAUAGGAAUUCUUUCUAUGUGGUACUAAGUUACUCGUAUAUUUUAUCUUUGUUUUUUUUGUCAAGCUCAUAUAUCUUAUCAUAUAUAUCAAGUGUAAUAUAUUGUAGUAAAUUAUUAUAACUAAAAAUCUAUGGUGUGUUUAAUUUUCUUUCACUAAUUACUACAUAUUUUUUAAACUUACAAUGUUUGUCAGGUCGCUACAUAAUCAACUUAAAUCACUCAAACCCACCAUGCCAUAUAUUUCCUUCCAAUUUUUUGUGAUAAAAUAAUAAACAAUUGACUAAGUAAACAUCCUCUAAAGUUUCAAUAAAAAUUUUCAAGUUUUUCUCACAAUUUUCGUGAUUUUUAUUCAAUUUUUAUCGAUAUUGAUAUUUCCUCAAAAUUUCCAUUGAUAUAUCUGUAUUUUUGGACCACCGAUAUUUCCGAAACUCUCAAUAUUUUAGACCUUGGAUGGAACAAACAUUUUAAGAUUUUCUGAUUAUACAAUACUUAUAAAGUGGAACCAUAUCUCAACAAAAAAGAGAGGUUAAAGUGGAACUUAUUGUUAGCAAAUAAUCUAUUAUUAGGGAUGUUUAUAAGCUAAGAUUAUACGCAUAUAAUUUGCGAUUUAGAUUGACAAUUUUUUUGGUCAAAGAUUUAGAAGAUUGAUAAUUUAACUCAAUAAUAUGGUAGACUAUUUGAUGAAAGAACAUUUGUUUCGGACAGAUUGAGACCUUAACUUGUAUAUGAGUAGUCUCAUAUUCGAACUCCUAUGACACAUUGGUAGUGUGUGUGUGUGAAAAAUCACCCUCUCCUUUGCUUGUAAUUUAAAAAAAUGAAAAUAAGGUGCAUCCACACAUGAAAAUACGAUGAAAAAUGAAAUCCAAAUCCACUAAUUUUCUUUUUCCAUCAUAUGAUUCUGAUUGUUUUAAUGUGUAGUGUGUGUACGCUAGAAAAUUGUUGUGGAUGAUUUGACUAGCCACCUUAGAUUGAGUGAAAAAUGAGAGCACUGUAAGUUUCGCAGGCCAGCCAGGAAUUUCCCAUCAUUAUAGUAGUGUAACCUAUGAAGAAUGUAGAUCAAAUUUCGGGUGUUUGGCUGUGCCUGCCCAUGUUAUUAGUAAUGGUUGGUAAAUUUUUAACAUUUGGUUUGCCAACAAGAAGCAAAGUAAGCGACAGAACAACAUAACAUCUCCAAGGAAACUCACUUAAACGCAACCCGUUGUUUCUGGCCACCUUUUAACAUAUGUCAUGUACAGUUAUCAACGGACAGGAAUUUGCUCUUCUCUUUGACUUGUCACAACGGUUGUUCCCUAAAAAUAAAAUAAAAAUAAAGCUGAUAUAAACAGCAAAUGUGUACAAAUUUUCCCUUAUAAUUUAAUGGAUUGCCCAGUAGAUUCAUCUAAGCAGCAAAUGCUAAUAUUUUGAUUUCUCAGCUUUUAAUGCUGUGGUAGGAAAUGAAACUGACUCUUUUCGGUGCAGAGGAGAGGAGGAAACUGACUUUUGGAGCCAAAUAUUCUGGACUGAGUAAAGCCAUUAAUAGUAUAAUGAUAUGUACUUCACAACUGAACCCCAAAUUCUAAAUUCUUAUACAAACAAGUUGACAUCUCUUUAGGGUAAGCAUUCAAAAGUUAUUUCCGUGGGAUUGUUGGCAUUUUGUGCCUAAGCAAUCGGAUAAACUAGGAUCCGAUUCCUCUCGUUCUACAUCAGUAACAUCAAUGUGGCUUAUUUAACUAUUGGUUUCUAUUACUGUAGAGGCAACAGAAUGGCAAUAAAAUUGUAUCUAGUUUGUAUAGGAGACCAAUGACAUUAUAUAAAUACAUGAAAGGCUGGAAGAGUAUGUGCAAGAUGUUACAAUACCACUGGCACUAUAUGUUUGUAUAUAUCAAGAAUGAGUUUAACCAUCCAUUUUAGUUUCAUUUGAGACAGUGAAUUUUCCUAGUGAGGUCUGUGUUGUUGUUUGUGGCCUGCAAUACGGGGAGCAAAGGAAGCCUCUUCGGAUAUGCCGACAGCAUAGACAGGUUACUGUUGUUUUUUGGGACUUUGGGUAGCAUAGGAGAGAUAGUCUCAGUGGGAUGAUCAAUGAGUAUGGACGUUCUAUUCCCUUCAAUGAGACUGUGAAUGAGGUAAAGAAACUAAUAAUACAUUCAUAGAGACAAAAAAAAGGUAGGAAAUCCACCAGCAUGUUAAUGAACAUUUUCUGGGAUGGUUGUUCAAGAAAUGGAUUGCUAUGAUGUUGAAAAUGCUUCAAGAUGAAAAUUUAUACCAUGUAAAAUUGUUAACGCAGUUUUCCUUUCAUAGCACACACAUAAGUCAUCUUCACAAUCUCCUUCUAGCAAUUAGUCUUUCCUACUGUAAAUCGGAUUUCUUGCUGUAAAUUCGAUUGUAUUCAUGUCUAUAUUAUUUCCUAUCUUAAGUAGAUAUCCUGUAUCAGUAUAAAUAGGGACUUUGUUUAAUUUGUUUAAUACAAGGAAAUAUAUUUUCUACAUGGUAUCAGCCUAACCUAGGGUUUCCUCCCUCUCCCUUAUUCGAUCCAAUCCUCUCGUUUAGGUCCACCUCAUGGCUUCGUCUGAAUCCACCAUCUCCCUCUCUAGCCCUAACUCUUCUCAUUUUAUCAAGCUUACUGGCUCCAACUAUCUCCUUUGGCUCCCCCAACUCAAACCCUUUUUAGUCUGUCAUGACCUCUAGAAAUUUAUCAAUGGCACUCAGAAACAACCUUCUACCCAAACCUCCACUUCUACCAUUGCAACACCUACAACCACCACCGCCACUCUUACUCAAACCAAUCCCGCCCAUACUUAGUGGUAUCAACAAGACCAACUCAUUGUUAGCUAUAUCACUAGUACACUCUCUGAGUCUAUUCUCUCUCUCACCGUCGACUGCACCUCUGCCCGGGAUCUCUAGGAGUGUCUUGAACGCCACUUCUUUCAAUCCAGUAUGGCUAGUGAAUAUGCUCUUCUUUUUCAACUCAUGGAUAUGCAAAAAGGCUCUUAACCCAUUGAUGCUUACCUUCAUCAUGCUAAGUCCCUUGUUGAUUCACUGGCUGCCAUCAAUUAGCCUGUCUCCCUAAAAGAACUUGUCAUUGCUAUCUUCCAAGGUUUAGGACCCGAUUACAAAAUGCUCAUCAUGGCAAUUCUCAAUUUUUUUGCUGAUUUUUGUGCUCGUUUGUUAGCUUUCAAUGCACAAGCUCCUCGAAUCUCUCCUGAUUAAAACACAACGCUAAUGGCCACCUAAUCUUCUCCUUAUACCACCAGUCAUACCCUUCAAUUCUCACCGUGGUGGUGGCUUCUCCAGCAACAGGCAUGAUGGCCGUGGUGUCUAGCAUGGUCGUGGCUGUGGUGGCUGGCGCAACUUCUCACCUUCCUGGAGUAACCCAUGGAAUGGCUCCCAGCAGCCCCAAUGGCCUAAUCAACCGUGGCCUCCUUUUGCUCCAAGUUCAGGACCUCAAAGCAACUAGCCUUCCUUUCAGCCUUCUUAGGCCCAAUCUGCCGCUUCUAGCAAACACUCUGCCAGGCCCAACUCAGCUCUUGGUGUCUUGGGACCCGCUUGGUGCAUCACAUGCAAUACCAAUCAACAUACUACUGCAACAUGUCCCCAUCGCUACAAUGGCCUAGAAUCAUUUCCUUCUUUUGCUGGGGCUCAAUUGAUGUAGCCACCUAACUCCACUUGGUACCUUGACACAAGUGCCACUUAUCACAUGACUAGUAGUCCUUCUAAUCUCCAAAAUCAACAGCCAUAUUAGGGUAAUAAUUCUGUAUUUCUUGGUAAUGGAGAUUCUCUCUCUAUCUCUCAUACUGGAUCUCUUCCUCUUCUUUUAGGUUCUCACAAAAUUUUUCUUCAAAGUGUCUUUUGUCUUCCAUCUCUUCGUACUAAUCUUCUUUAUGUUGCCCGUUUUGCUCUGUGAUAAUUUAGUUUUCUUUGUUUUUACUCUUAACGUUUAUCAAAUCUAUAACUUACGUACUCGUUCGUUACUCUUUCAGGGCCCUUCUAAAAAUGGUCUUUACCCACUUUCCCUCUCCUCUCACUCAUUCACUGUCCCCCGUGCCUUUACCACCUUGCACUCUCCUGCUUGGCAUCGUCACCUUGGCCAUCCAUCUCAUCUUGCGUUCUCUCACUUUGAGCCAUCUCUAGGCUUUAAAGUCUCUCAUGCUUUCUGUAAGGAUUGUAAACUUAGCAAAUCCACCAAACUAUCCUUAAUUAGUCAGAAAACUCUUGCCCCAUCUCCCUUUUAUUUAAUUCACUCUGAUGUAUGGAUGUCCCCGGUCAUUUCUGUCACUGGUUAUCUCUAUUAUGUCUUGUUUACAGAUGACUUUUCCCAUUACUCCUGGAUCUAUCCUAUGCAUAGUAAAAAUGAGGUAUUUUCUCACUUUCAAACCUUUCUAGCCAUUAUUAAAAAUCAAUUUCACACCACUGUGCAAAUCCUUCAAAGUGACAAUGACAUUGAAUAUGUUAAUAUUGUUUUCCCUGAUCUUUGCAGUCAACUAGGCAUCCAGCAAUGUUUCUCAUGUCCCCACAUUCCCCAACAAAAUGGCCUAGCUGAACUUAAACACAGACACAUUGCCACCAUGAUCCGUACCCUCCUUACCACUUCUCACACUCCCCACAAUCUCUGGGUCGAAGCUGCCCUCAUUGCUAUUCAUCUCAUCAACCUACCUACUCUUAAUCUUCAAUGGGACACCCAUACACUAGUCUCUUCCAAUAUUCUCCCUCCUACUCUCAUCUCUGAGUGUUUGGGUGUUCUUGUUUUCCUUACCUUGGACCAUAUACUGAAAAUAAACUCACCAACCAUACCCUUGAAUGUGUUUUCCUUGGAUACAAUUCUCACCACAAAGGUUACCAUUGUUUACAUCCCUCCACGGGUUGUGUUUACACGUCCCUUCAUGUUUUAUUUAACGAAAUGCAUUUUGCAUUUGAGCAUUUACAGGUAUCAUCUUUUUUAGAGUAUGUGGAUAUUGAAUUCCACUCAAUUCUGCCAUCCUACGCACUUGGGCCUGAAUCCAUCACCCCUACCCCAGACCUAGACUAAUAAAUGCACGGCACCUCCCUGGUGUGCACUUUUCCAGCUGCUGCAAUCACAAGCCAUGACCUCGGCCCUGCCGCACCCCAUAAUCCACUACACGACACUUCUUCUGCGUCAGCCUAGCCAUUGCUCCCAACUUAUUCCCGACGCCCUCGCAUACACCUCUCUCCGCUUGUGCAUGCCUCUGUUCCAGUAGUUCCGAACCCCCUAAUUCCAGCAACUUCGAACCCCCCAGUUCCAGCACCUCCGACCCCCAGUUCCAGCAAUUCCGCAAUCUUUCACUUUUGCCCCUGUUCCUCAUAUGCGCACCCGCCUUUAAGAUGGCAUUCAAAAGCCCAAGCGUCAUACCGACAACACUGUUAAAUACCCCAUUCUCUGUGCCUUAUUAACUGUUGUUAAUCAUACUGAACCUACAUGUUUUUCACAGGCCAUUAAGCAUCUUGAAUGGCUUGACGCCAUGACUGAAGAGAUCAACGCACUUCUUAAAAAUCAUACAUGCUCUUUGGUUUCUCUCUCUCAUUCUCAGAACUUGGUUGGGUGCAAGUAGGUUUUCCGGAUUAAGCGUCACUUUGAUGGCUCCAUUGAAUGCUACAAAGCUCGUCUAGUUGCCAAAGGUUUUCAUUAACGUCCGAGCAUAGACUAUGCUGAAACCUUCAGUCAUGUUGUUAAUCCUGCCACCAUUCGCAUUGUUCUCAGUCUUGCAGUUUCUCGUGGUUGGUCCCUUCGUCAACUUGAUGUCAAAAAUGCCUUUCUCUAUGGGUUUCUUCAAGAAGAUGUCUACAUGGCUCAACCCCCUAGUUUCAUUGAUCCUACGUGUCCUUCUUAUAUUUGCAAGCUCCACAAAGCACUUUAUAGCCUCAAACAAGCAAUUCGUGCUUGGUUCCAUCGCAUCAGUACUUUCCUUCACUCUAUAGGCUAAACGGAGCCAAGCUGACACUUCAUUAUUUAUUUUUCAACAGGCCUCCCAUACCAUCUUUCUUCUUCUAUAUGCGACAAAAUCGUGGUAAUUGGCAGUGAUUCCACUCAACUCUGACAAUUCAUCUAUCUUUCAGAUGGCCACUUUGACAUCAAAGACCUUGGUCCACUCAGCUAUUUCUUGGGUUUACAGUUUCUUCAUAAGGAUGGUACUCUCUACAUCAUUCAACUCAAAUAUGCACAUGAUAUUUUACAGAAAGCCAAUCUUCUCCACUCCAAACCCACAUCUACUUUAUUGGCUGCCAAGGUUCUCCUCUCUGUCUCUGAUGGUACUCUCAUCCCAACCCAACCGAGUAUCACGAGCUUGUUGGUAGUUUAUAGUAUUUCACUCUUACUUGCCCUGACAUAUCUUUUUCCGUCAACACUUUUGCUCAGUUCACGAAUGCCCCUUGCACCCCUCACCUUGUUGCCGCCAAACGGAUACUUAGGUACAUCAAGGGCACUAUUGAUCGCGGCCUCACCUUCACUCCUCAAAUUGUUGCAGCUCACCUCACCGCCUAUGGGUUGGGUGCCCUGAUUCUCGUCGGUCGACCACUGGAUAUGUGAUUACUCUUGAAACUAACCUUAUCUCAUGGUGUUCAAAGAAAUAGUCCACAGUCUCGCACUCUAGUACAGAAUCGGAAUAUUGUGCCCUCUCUCAUGCUUGUGCCGAAACCACUUGGCUAUACUCAUUUCUUCAUGAAUUGGGUGUGCGUUUUCGGUUCCUGGUCCAACUCUUUUGUGACAAUCUCAGCACCACGUACAUGGCUGCCAAUCCAGUUUUCUAUGCCCGCACACAUCACAUUGAAUUGGACUAUCACUUUGUCCGUGAAAAGGUUGCUCUUGGAAGUCAUCAAGUUCGCUUUGUUCCUUCUGUCGACCAACUUGCGGACCUGUUUACCAAAGCCAUUGACAAACCACGCCAUCAGCAUAUGUCUUCCAAACUUGUGCAUCCUGUCACGCCCAGUUUGUGGGAGGGUGUUAACGCACCUUUCGUUUCAUAGCACGCACGGAAGUCAACUCCACAAUCUCCUCCUAGCAAUUAGCCUUUCUUGCUGUAGAUCGGAUUGUAUUCAUGUCUAUAUUAUUUCCUACCUUAAGUAGAUAUUCUGUAUCAGUAUAAAUAGGGACUUUGUGUAAUCUGUUUAAUACAAGGAAAUAUAUUUUCUACAAAAAUAUAUAGCAGAUUACCUCAUAACUCAUGUAUUGUGUGAUGAUACUUCUUUCAUUAGAUGUCACAAGAAAUCUAAGAGAGAGUAUAAUAACUGCUUAAUUACAAUUUAUUCAUUUUAAUUGUUUAGCCAACUAACCUGCAUACUUUCCCUUUUUUCAUAGUACUCCCUGAAUUUGUUGUAUCUUGCCAUUAGAGUCAAGGACAGACCCACAAUGGGGUCAAUGAAGUCAAACGACCCUAUGGACUCCAUGAAAGUAAGCUACAAGGUCCCCUUUAAUGGUUGUGUGAUCCCAUAAAUGGCUGAAGGAGAUGGUUGCUGGUCUGAGGGAGAAGAAGAUGCAGAGCGUGCUUCUAUUUUUUAUUUUUUAUUUUUAAAACAUGUUGGCCCAAACGACCUUUUUGGCCCAACGUUUAAUUUUGUUUUUAAAAAACACGCUGGCCAAAAUGACGUCGUUUUGGCCCAGCCCAGCGAAUUUUUUUUUAAAAAGACCUAGCCAAAACGACGUCAUUUUGGUCCAGGUCUUUAAAAAAAAAAAAAAAAGAUUCAAAAAGAACUCUCCCGACUUCAGCAUCUCCAAUCCAAAACCCCUAUUCCUAAACCCUCAAACCUAAAUCCCCAAUCUCCACACCCCCAAACCUUUAACCCCCUCACCAAACUUUUAAGCCCUAGCCCCAGCUCCUCCAAAAAAUUGAACUUUUAUACUAUAACCCUAUGAGAUAAGAUUCCUGGGUCCGUCCCUGAUUGGAGUUGGAAUUUCUGCAUUUGUGGUACGUAUCUAUGUGGCUUAAGGCUUUUCCUCUGCAUAAACAAGGAAGAAUACAAUGCAAUAAUAGCUGCAAGGCUGUAGCAAAAGUGGCUUUAGAUUUGCUCUGCUUUUGAUCUACAAAAAAACUUGUACUUGGUAUUUGGUAAAAGGCAUAAGAAACACCUGGACAUAGUAUAACAAUACAUAAAUUUAAUAACCAAUUUAUGAUAUACUUAUCCUAAAGACAUAUCAUUCAUAUUUUGCAGAAAGAGUUUGUUGGACAAGAACUGCAGAAAGGCAAACAUCUCGGAUGAUGAGAAUAGAAUACUUCAAAUCAGUCCUCAGACAAGAUGUUGGUUACUUUGAUAACCAAGAUGCUGCUUCCACUAAGUCAUUUAUACCAUCUCUUUUGAUGCACAUUUAAUCCAAGACACUAUAGCUGAGAAGGUUUUCAAUCCCUUUUCUUUCUUAUUGUGUGUGUGUGCAAGUGUGCAAGUGUGCUUGUUUACCUCCUGCCCUUAGUCUUUUGUGCUGACAUCACCUAUAUUUCCUUUUUUGUAGAUUCCCAACUGUCUGGCUCAGUUAUCAUCUUCUUUCAUUAGCCUGGGAGGAGUUGCAUUUUCGCUUUCUUGGCGACUUACAGUUGCAGCUCUUCCAUUCUCUGUAUUGUUUAUUGUUCCAGCACUGGGAUUUGGAAGGGUACUGAAGGACUUCGGAAGUAAAUUGAAUGGCGCGUAUAGGGUUGCUGGUGGAAUUGCUGAAGAAGCAAUCUCAUCAAUACAGACUGUUUAUUCAUAUGUUAGGGAGCGUCAAACACUACAUAGAUUCAGUAGUGCCCUUCAGAAAAGUAUGGAGCUUGGUGUAAAGCAGGGUUUGAUAAAGGGAAUGCUGAUAGGGAGCAUGUGAAUGGUUUAUGCUAAUUGGGCUUUCCAGGCUUGGAUUGGUAGCAUAAUCAUUAUUGAGAGAGGAGAACAAGGUGGCCUUAUUUUCUCUUGCAGAAUCUAUGUCAUCUGGGGAGGACUGUGAGUUUCUUUUCUUUUUGCUGAAUUUCUUUAGGUUGUCAUUUUUAAUUCAUCAGAAAUCACAAGUCUUUGUAUCUUCAGGUCCAUCAUGAAUGCACUUCCGAAUCUCUCUUUCAUUUUGGAGGCAACAAGUGUUAUUGCUCGGAUGUUACAAACGAUUGAACGAGAUCCUGCUAUAGACACUCAAAAGAGAGGAAAAGUUUUAGGACAUGGCAAAGGAAAAGUGGAGUUCAAAUAGGAGUACUUUAGUUAUCCAUCGAGACCUGAUACCCCCGUUCUUCAAGGACUCAAUCUUACCUAGGGGUGUAAUUCGGCCGGAUCAGAUCGGAAAUAGAUAUUCCAAUUCCAAUUCAGAACCUUUCGAAAUUCAAUAUAGACUUUCGAUUCCGAUUCUGAAAAAUUCCAAAAUUUUCGAAACUUUUCGAUUCCGGAAUGUUGUAUUCUUCCUUGACAAAAAGAAAUAUUAAGAGAUUUAAAUGCCUAAUUUAACUAAACUUUUAUUAAGAAUGCCCAACUUAGGAGUUUCAUAAUUAGCUCCACUGAACUAUAACUUGAUAGGCCCAAAGAUGUUGAGCUUUAUGUCUCUAUGUAAAAUGAUUGAGGGUGAAGAUAUUUAUAAAGGUUGUAACACUUGAAGUUUAUUCUUGCAGUCGAUGUGGGACUCCAAGCAGAAAUAGAACUGCAACUUCUCUCUCUACUCUUUUAUUGAUUUCUACUUGGUUACUCCCCAUCAUUUCUCCUCUCUCUUCUGUUCAUGUCUAAUCCAUGAAUGCCAACCUUCAUUUUCUUUCUUACUUAACCUCUUCAGAUAUGGAACAAUAUGUACUGAUCCCGUUAGUAAAACAAAAUAAACACUUCUCGAACCAAAAAAGAAAUCAUUCUUCAAUUCUUUAUCUCUACUGUUUCUUCUCUUGCUUUUUUAUUUUCUGGGUUUGCACUCCAUCCCCGCAGUCUGUCUCCAUCAAAACUCAAGACAACACCAGCGUUGAAACUUGAAAGUCCCAUCUCCUCAGACCCAACUUAUCAAGAAACCCAAGAAUGCCAUCUUCUUCCUCUUGUCAGCAUUGACCUAAUUGUUACAGUAAUCAUGUGCCCUCGAACUUGUAUUAGUGAAGUAAAUUGAUGUUUCAAUUUCUUCCAAAUUGUAAAAUUAUAGUACAAAAAUCGUUCCCAAUUAACCAUCCACAGUGAAGAAUUUUGAUACCAAUUAAGAGGCUUUCCUGGAGAAAAAAGAAGAGGCGAAGGGGGAGAAAUAGAAUUGGGGAAAAAAGAGGGGAGGUGCAGAUGGGUGCGUUUGGGAAGAGAUAGAGAGAGUUAAAGAGAAUGGCAUGGGGAGGUGGGGUUGUGCCAGAUGGGUUUUUUUUGUUUUUGUUUCUGACCCUAUGGGUUUUUCGUUUAAGAUAAUUUUAGGUGUUUUUAAAGAUUUAGAAUAUUAUUAUAUUUUUAAACUAUAUUUUAUUUACAGGGUAAAUUUUUUAUUCUUUUUAAAAAAAUUACAUUCCUUUUUUCUAGAUGAGACAUAAACACAAAUGUCUUUAAAAAGUAGUUAAUAUAAAUUUGGAUGAAAAAAAAGUAGUUCAUAUAUAUUGAUACAUGAUGCAGCAUUUCUAUUUCCUUAUUCUCAAAUUGUACUAUCACAUUUUCAUUGUUUUUAUUUUAUGAAAUUGUUUUUCAAUUAAUCUAUCAGACGCAUUCUCGAAACCUACAACUCUCUGUAUGUAUAUACAACAAUCUAUGCUAUUUGUUCAUUCUUAAUCAAAAUAGUUACAUGUUAUGUGUGUAAAGAGUGAUAAACUUGCAUUCAAUAUGUUAAUCUUGCUCUAGACAAUUGGAACACUACAAUUGUCAUGCUCCAAUAUGUUUAUCUUAUAUGUGGUGUUUUAUAAAAUAAUUUUAUAAUUAAAAGUUUAAAUGAAGAUAGUUUAAAAUUUAAAAUACGUACAUAGAUGGAAUAGUUUACCACGUAUGUAGUAGGUUUGGAUAUAACAAUCACACAUAUGCAUUUUUGUUAUAUUCAAACAAGCACAUUUGCUCCAACAAAAAAGAAACAAGCACAUUUGUCAAAAAUAUAUAAUCUUAGGGCAUGUUUGGGAGGCCUCAUUGGACAGGACAACCUUAAAUAGUACUUCAAACCCACGUUUGGCAGGUAAGGGGACUAACUUAAAUGAGCUUAUAUAGCCCAACAGUACAAAAAUUGCCUCGCUCGCUCUUCCAAUAUAGCAAGCUUGAAACACGGUUCACACAAUAGCGAGCUCACUAAACAAAACACGCGAGUCCAACGCGAUACUGGUUUCUUCUUCUUCUUCACUUAGACACGAGUCCAGGCAAUGGACGCCAAGUCCUCCACUUCCGAGCCCAAGUUCAUCGAAAAGGCUUGAAAUCUAGUAAUCGCGUUGAGAUCUUGCUGCUGCUAAUGGUCGUCGAAGGCCGAGCUUUGGUCAUACAUGUGGGUCAGGGACGAAGAGGCUUGGGUCUCUGUUUGGCUAUCAGAAUAGCACACGAUGUCGGCCUUGAGCUCGAAAGGCAACGACCAAGGGCUCUAACUUUGGGGGGCCUCAAAUAGAAGCCAUGAUUCAUUGAAUUGACGCAAGAGUUGAAGCAGCCAUGGCAGAUGCAGAGAGUGGAGAAGAUGAUGGUGAGCCAUGAAAUUGAGUUGAAUCGUUCAUCGUAUGAACAAAUUGAGUAAUGAAAAGUGAUUAGGAAGAAAAUUAGAGAAAGAAUUGAUGAAAUUUGUGAGAGAAUCACAACUGAAGAGUUUUUGGCAGGGAAGAAAAUUUGAGAAAAAGGCAAAAAUGAGGGAAGGAUCAAAAGUUGUGAGGAAGAAGAGAACAGGAAGAAAGGAAAAAAAUAAAAAAAGAGGGGCUGGGAAGGAAAGGUAGAAGAAAAGGAGAAAAAGGAGAAAAAAAAAGGAAAAAAUGAAGAAGAGAUAAGAUAGUUUAGCUUUUAAAAAAUAUUUAAAUUUAUUUUUAGGUCAAAAUCCUUAAUUAAAAGUAAAUAUCAAAUAUUAAAAUAAAUAUUAGAAUUUUAUUUAUUUAUAAUUAAAAUUAAUUAUUUUUUACUCCGACACAACUCCAAACAUAAGUCUUCACUAUUUUCACAAUCCAGCUUCUUAGUUCGAGGCAGCACCAAACAUAGGUCAGUACUUAAUCCAGCUUAGUCCAAUUCGAGCUAAUCCAAGACAGUCCCAAGAUUUAGUCCAGUCCAUGACAGUCCGCCGUACCAAACGACUCCUUAAAGUUAUAAAUUAUUAUGUUUAAUAUAUAUUUUUUUUGGGAUAGCCCCUAUGUUAGUAUAUAUGAAUAUUUGUAUGUGGUGGUACAAAAAGAUAACAAAUAAGAGAAAUGAAAAAUAAUGCAAUUACAAUUAGAAACUCGGAAUUUUUAAGAAAAAAUUGGAAAAAUUGGAAUGGAAUGGGUUCGUAGAACUUCGGAAUAUUUUCGGAUUGGAAUUGCGGAAUUUUCAACAUUUAUCGAAAAUAUCGGAUUCGGCAUUUUCGGAUAUCGGAGUCGAAUUUUUUUGGAAAAUUUCUGACCGGAAUCGGUCGGAAUCGGAUUUUCCAAUCCAAGUUACACCCUUAAUCUUACCAUAUAGGCUGGAAAAACUGUAGGUUUUGUUGGAGGCAGUGGUUCUGCAAAAUCUGCAAUCAUUUCAAUACUCGAAAGAUUUUAUGAUCCUGACAAAAGGAAAAUUCUGCUUGAUGGAUAUGUGUAAAGAAUGUUUAGUUGGAAGGUUUUGGUAUAUUGUCAAUAGUAGAGUACAGCAAAAUAUAUACUACCAAUAUUACAGAAUCUUCAUAGCGUGAUCCCCAAUCCUAGGGAUUGAUUUGGAUCUGUCUACCUAUAUCAAGUAACUACUCUAUGUAUGGUUAUAAUUAACAUAUUACAAUAAUAACAUAUCAAUUACAAUAUAUUAUUCUAAUACUCCCCCUCAAGUUGGAGAGUGAAUGUCAUGAAGUCCCAACUUGCUGCUUAAUCUGGUAUAGUCGUUCUUUCCCAAAGGCUUCGUAAAAAUGUCUGCUAACUGAGCGUGGGAAGGGACAUAUGAAGGAGUGAUCAGUCCGGCAAGCAGCUUUUCUCGAACGAUGUGACAAUCAAUCUCAAUAUGUUUGGUGCGCUCGUGGAAUACAGGGUUCGCAGCAAUAUAUAAAGCAGCCUGAUUGUCACAGUAUAAUGGAGCCGGGUUCACCUGAGGGACUUUCAGAUCAUGUAGUAUGUAUCGUAGCCAAGUGAGUUCCAAACAAGCGUUUGCCAUGGCUCGGUACUCUGCUUCUGCGGAUGAACGAGAAACAUGUUGUUGCUUUUUGGAUUUCCAUGAGAUGAGAGAAUUUCCCAGAAAAAUACAAAAACCUGUGACAGAUUGUCUUGUGGUACGGCAUCCGGCAUGGUCUGAAUCACAGUAAGCUCUCAAAGCAAGAUUGUUUGAUGCAGGAAAUAAUAAGCCUUGACCUGGAGAAUUUUUUAUGAAUCUGAGAACACGGAGUGCUGCAUCCCAAUGUGGUUUUCUAGGCUCAUGCAUGAAUUGACUCAAUGUCCGAACUGAAUAUACUAUGUCGGGCCUUGUUACAGUGAGGUAGAUCAAGCGUCCCACUAACCGUCGGUAUUUCAUAGGAUCAUUGAGUAAAGCUCCAUCUGUGGGUGUGAGUCUGAGAUUUUGCUCCAUUGGAAACUUAUCUGGACGAGCGCCUAAGAGACCCGCAUCUUGUAAUAUGUCCAAAGCAUAUUUCCUUUGAGACAUGUAAAUACCUUUCUUGGAACGAGAGAACUCAAUACCCAAGAAGUAUUUUAAAUCACCAAGGUCCUUGAUGCGAAAAUGCUUGAGGAGAAAAGAUUUGAGAUGCUCCAUUUCUUGCAAAUCAUUCCCUGUGAGAAGUAUGUCAUCCACAUAAAUAAGAAUAGCUGUAAAAGAAUUAUUUCGAACCUUGGUGAACAAGGAGUAAUCGGAUUUUGACUGCUGAAAGCCUGCCUGUUGAAUAGCACCAGAAAAUUUGGAAAACCAGUUCCUGGAAGCCUGUUUAAGUCCAUAAAGGGACUUAUUGAGCCGACAUACAGUAUUCUCCCCCUGUCGGCGAAGUCCGGGAGGAAGGUCCAUGUACACGACUUCGUGCAAAUCGCCAUGGAGGAAGGCAUUCUGAACAUCUAAUUGAUGGAUGAACCAAUUACGAGCAGCGGCAACAGUGAGAAGACAACGCAAUGUGGUGAGUUUGGCUGUAGGAGAGAAUGUUUCCUGGUAAUCAAUGCCGUCCACCUGUGUGUAGCCCUUGGCCACAAGCCGGGCUUUGUAACGAUCAAUGGUGCCAUCAGAUUUAUAUUUGAGUUUGAAAACCCAUUUACAACCAAUGGGUUUGUGUCCAGGUGGCAACGGGACAAGAGUCCAUGUAUUGUUUUGUGCCAAAGCAUCUAAUUCUGUUUGCAUGGCCUGUUGCCAAUUGGGAUCAAGGAUGGCUUGAGCAUAACUGGUGGGUUCAGUGGUGCCUGAAAUGUUAACUAAAAAGGAAUAAUGGGGGGAUGAAAUGCGAGAAUAAGACAAGAAAUGAGAGAGUGGGUAUUUUGUACCUGUAACAGCAGAUGGCGACCGGGCAGAUGAAGAGGCAUGGUUGGACAUGUGGUAAUGUUGGUGCCAUGUGGGAGCCUGCCUUGGACGAGUGGAAUGACGUGCUGGAGCUAUGGGAGAUGAAUGAGGUGAACCAAGUAAUGUUGGUUCAGAUGGAAAAUGAAGAAGUGGCAAGGUGUGGUCAGAUGAAUGGGAGAUAGGUGGAGUGUUGGGAACCACUUGACUGGUGGUGGCGGGGUGAGGUUGUGGAGAGGAAGGAGUGAUGCUGGUAGGUUCUACAAGGGAGGCAUCAAGAGGUGGACAUGUGGUGUCAUGGGUAGGUGUGUUAAUGCUAGUUGGGAUUGGGAUGGCAGGAGGUGAAUACGUGAUGUCAUUGGGUGAUGAAAUGGGAUUUAUAGAAAGUGGUGGUUCAAUGUCAAAAAUUGGGUUAGGAAUAAUAGGAGUGGAGGAAGCAGGUUGAGGUGGGAUAGUGGAGAAAGGAAAAAUAUGUUCAUGGAACUGAACAUCUCUAUUAACUAAAAAUUUGGAGGUGUGCAGAUCAAAAAGUUUGUAGCCCUUUUGUCCCAUUGGAUAGCCAACAAAAAUACAAGGUGUGGCACGAGCAUCAAAUUUUUGUAGGGGAUGAGUCACAGUAGCAUAACAAAGGCACCCAAAAACUCUAAGAUGGUUAAGGGUUGGUGGCUGGUGAUAAAGCAUCUCAAAAGGAGAUUUAUUGGACAAUAAUGGAGUGGGCAAACGAUUGAUGAGAUAGACAGCAGUUAAAACACACUCCCCCCAAAAAAUGAGAGGUAAAUUGGCUUGGAAACGUAGAGCACGGGCAACAUUGAGAAUGUGACGAUGUUUGCGCUCAACAACUCCAUUUUGUUGUGGAGUGUGAACACAGGAUCGUUGAUGUGCAAUUCCAUUGGUUUGCAAAAACUCUUUCAUGGAUAAAAAUUCUGAACCAUUGUCAGUGCGAAUGGCUUUAACAUUGAAAUUGAAUUGAGUUUUGACAAAAGUAAAAAAAGAUUUUAGAAGAGUUUGUGUUUCAGAUUUGUGAACCAUCAAGAAAAGCCAAGUGCAUCGAGUAAAGUCAUCAACAAUUGUAAGAAAAAAACGAGCUCCUGAAUGAGAGGCUAUUUUAUGUGGACCCCAAAUGUCACAAUGUAAUAAGUCAAAUGCUGAACGCGAUGAAAUAGAACUUAGUGGAAAAGGAAUUCUUGUUUGUUUAGCCAUAUGACAAAUGCCACAAUUAUUGUCAACAGAAACAAUUUUUGAAGGAAGCAAUGAAGAAAGUAAUUGAAACCGAGCAGGUGAAGGGUGUCCGAGAUGAAGGUGCCAUAAAUUGGAGGUUUGUGAAACUUGACAGGAAACAGGUAUCCUUGGCAAAGGCGACAUGUAAUAGAGACCACCACGUUGUUUACCCAUACCAAUCAUCUUCCUGGUAGCCAAGUCCUGUAAGACACAAAAUGUGGGAAACAAAAUAACACAACAAUUGAGUGAGUCGGUAAUUUUGCUGGCUGACAUUAAAUUCAAGUGAAAGGAAGGAACACACAAAACAUUAUCUAAGGUGAUGGUGUUAUUGAAAGGAAUUGUGCCAACUGAAGUAAUUGGUGCGGAAGAACCGGUGGGUAAGUUAACAAUGGGAGUGUGAGAUGGUUGCGUUUUUGUGAAAAGUGUAGAAUCAGAUGUAAUAUGAUCUGUAGCCCCGCUAUCCAAAAUCCAAGGUUUGCUAGAAACAGAAUUAAUUGAAGGAACAGUAAAGGUGGACAGACCUGCUGCAUUCACAAAUGCAUGGUUAUUACCAGAGGAUGAUGCAUUGGUGUUGACUAGUGACAUGGCUGUGGCCAAUUGUUGAUAUUGGUCAGAAGUAAGUCCACUCAAGAAGGUUUGAGCUGAAAAGUCUGGAGCUUGAAUUGGGUUUUGUGAAGGCUGUGUGACACUUGAAGAGCCAGCUUGCUGUGCAGCGUGUGCGGAUGGGAAGGAUGAGCCCGCAUGUGGAACAAACCCAUGUGAUUGCUGCGUGAAGGUGCGCGUGUUACUACCUGAGAAACCAGAAUUUCUGCGUGAGUUUGUACCUCGAUUGGACCCUUGGUUUUCAUUCCUGGCAUGAUUUCCUUGUCCGCUUGAUGUGUGGGUUCCGUCCUUGAAACGGCAAGUGUCUUCCGUAUGUCCGUUUCGAUUACAAAAAUUGCAAUGGAAUUUUAAUUGCCUGCAAUCUGCAAUUACAUGACCAUUGCGAUCACAAUGAUCACAAUGUUUAUUUUUGGAAUUGUUUGGACGGCUUUGGAUAGCUGCAGCAAUAGAAAAGUUCUCGGUUGUUCCCGAUGUCAUCUGUCGUUGUGUUUCAUCUUGAAUGACAAGUGAAUAAGCUUGACGGACUUUGGGCAAUGGUGUUAUCAUGAGGAUGUUGCUGCGAACGCCACUGAAUGUGUCAUUAAGGCCCAUGAGAAAUUGCAUCAUCUUAGCUUCUUCUCUUUCUUCGUUGUGUGCUUUCAUCUCAUUGCAAGUGAGAGGAGUUCUGUAUGUUUCUAAUUCGUCCCAAAGGCCUUUGAGUUUUGUGAAAUAGGCUGAGACUGUCAUGGUGCCCUGUGUGAGAGAGGCGAUGGACUUCUGAAUCUGAUAAAUUGUUGGCGCAUUUUUUUGUGAGAAUUGGUCUUUGAAAUCUUCCCAUACUUGAUGAGCGGUCUUGGCAUGGACAACCCCUUUGUCUAGAUCGGGUUCCACGGAGUGAGCAAGCCAUGAUAAAAUCAUACUGUUGCAUUGAUUCCAAAGAGCAUAUUCUGUGGGGUUUUCUGUUUCUGAUGGCGGUUUAAUGGAUCCAUUGACAAAGCCAAUUUUGUUCUUGGCUGUGAGGGCAUGAAUCAUGGAUUUAUUCCAAGAUGGAUAAUUAGCGCCGUUCAAUUUUGUUGGAACGAGCAUAUGACUAGGGUGGUCUGAAGAAUGAACAUAGUAUGGAUUUGAUGUAUCCAUACUAGAAUUGCUGUUGCUAUUGCUUGAAUUUUUGGAAUUGGAUUUCUUGUUUUCUGGUGUUUGUUCUUUGUCUGACAUGGUGGUUGUAGGUUCGCUGGAGGGUUUUGAAAAGGUUAGGAAAUCAGGCACUAGGGCGCAGCUCUGAUACCAUGUAAAGAAUGUUUAGUUGGAAGGUUUUGGUAUAUUGUCAAUAGUAGAGUACAGCAAAAUAUAUACUACCAAUAUUACAGAAUCUUCAUAGCGUGAUCCCCAAUCCUAGGGAUUGAUUUGGAUCUGUCUACCUAUAUCAAGUAAAUACUCUAUGUAUGGUUAUAAUUAACAUAUUACAAUAAUAACAUAUCAAUUACAAUAUAUUAUUCUAAUAAUAUGAUAUAAAGAGACUUCAGCUUAAAUGGUUGAGAUCCCAUAUGGGACUUGUUAAUCAAGAACCAGUUCUCUUUGCAACAUCUAUAAAAGAAAACAUUUUAUUUGGAAAAGAAGGAGCUGCAAUGGAGCAUGUCAUAAGUGCAGCUAAGACAGCAAAUGCACAUGACUUCAUCGUUAAGUUAGCUGAUGGAUAUGAUACUCAAGUAAGCCAAAUUUUUUUAGUCCUUUAAAUCAAUACAUUAUCUGAUUACAGUUACUAAUUUUGACCAGUGUUGCUUUAGAUGGGCCAAUUUGGAGUUCAGUUGUCUGGAGGGCAAAAGCAAAGGGUUGCUAUAGCAAGGGCACUGCUUAGAAAUCCAAGAAUCCUUCUGCUUGAUGAAGCCACAAGCGCUUUGGAUGCACAAUCUGAAAGUGUAGUGCAGGAAGCACUAGACCAUGCUUCGAUCGGAAGGACAACACUUAUUGUUGCUCAUCGGCUUUCCACAAUUUGCAAAGCGGAUUUGAUAAUGGUUCUUCAAUCUGGGAAAGUAAUUGAGUCAGGCUCCCAUGAGGAGAUGAUGCAUAUGAAAAACUAAGAAGGUGAAGAAGGGGGUGCAUACAGCAAAAUAGUGCACUUGCAGCAAUUAGCCAUGCAAAUGAAGCACUGAAUGGCCCCAGACAUCCAGCCGAAGAUAUAAGCCACAUAAAAAUGAUGACCAGUGUAAGACCUUUACCAAUUAGCAUAAGUCCUUCACCAUUUAGUAUAAGGCCUUCACCAAUCAGCAUAAGAUCAAGCUGGCAAAACAGCCCAGCCCACCAAUUCAGCUCAGUAUAUUCCUUAAGCGUUGCGGAUAUUUCCCAAAUGCACUUUUAUGGUAACUUCAACUAUGUAAAGCAAGAAAAUACUUCUUAUCCUCCUCCAUCCCAAUUGCGUUUGUAUCGAAUGAAUGCACCUGAGUGGAAGCAAGCAUUACUUGGUGUUAAUGCAGCCUUUCUUUCCUAACCUACAUGGAAGUCAACUUCACAAUCUCCUCCUAGCAAUUAGCCUUUCCUGCUGUAAAUUGGAUUUCCAGCUGUAAAUCAGAUUGUAUUCAUGUCUAUAUUAUUUCCUACAUUAAGUAGAUAUCCUGUACUAGUAUAAAUAUGGGCUUUGUGUAAUAUGUUAAAUACAAGGAAAUAUAUUCUCUACAUGGUAUCAGCCUAACCUAGGGUUUUCUCCCUCUCCCUUUUUCGAUCCUCUUCUUCUUUAGGUCCACCUCAUGGCUUCGUCUGAAUCCACCAUCUCCCUCCCAAGCCCCAACUCUUCUCAUUUUAUCAAGCUUAUUGACUCAAACUAUCUUCUUUGGCUCCGCCAACUCAACCCUUUUUAGUCGGUCAUGACCUCUGGAAAUUUAUCGAUGACACUCAUAAACAACCUUCUGCCCACACAUCCACCUUUACCACCAAAACACCCACAACCACCACCACCACCACCACUCUUACCCAAACCAAUCCCGGCCAUGCUCAGUGGUACCAAAAGACCAACUCAUUGUUAGCUACAUCACCAGUACACUCUCUGAGUCCAUUCUCUCUCUCACUGUCGGUUGCACCUCUGCCCAGGAUUUCUGGGAAUGUCUCCAACGCCACUUCUCUCAAUCUAGUAUGGCCAGUGAAUCUGCUCUUUGUUUUCAACUCAUGGAUUUGCAAAAAGGCUCUCAACCCAUUGAUGCUUACCUUCGUCAUGCUAAGUCCCUUGCCGAUUCACUAGCUGCCAUUAAUGAACCAGUCUCCCCAAAAGAACUUGUCACUGCUGUGCUUCGGGGUUUAGGACCCGAUUACAAAAUGCUCAUCACGACAAUUCUCAAUUUUCCUCCACUUCCUGACUUUGCUGAUCUUCGUGCUCAUUUGUUAGCUUUUGACACACAGGCUCCUCGAAUCUCUCCUGAUCAAAACACAGCGCUAAUGGCCACCCAAUCAUCUCCUAACACCACUGGUCAUACUUCCUUCCUUUCUCACCGUGGUGGUGGCUCUUCCAGCAACAGGCGCGGUGGCUGGCGCAGUCGCGGUCGUGGUGGCUGGCUCAACUUCUCAUCUGCCUGGAGCAACUCGUGGAAUGGCUUCCAGCAGCCCCAAUGGCCUAAUCAACCGUGGCCUUCUUUUGCUCCAACUUUUGGAUCUCAAAGCAACUGGCCUUUCUUUCAGCCUCCUUGGGCCCAAUCUGCCGCUUCUAGCAAACACUCUGCUCGACCCAACUCAGCUCUGGUGUCUUGGGACCCGCUUGAUGCACCACCUGCAAUACCAAUCAACAUACUACUACAACAUGUCCACAUCUCUACAAUGGCCCAGAAUCCUUUCAUUCCUUUGCUGGGGCUCGAUUCAUGCAGCCACCUGACUUUACUUGGUACCCUGACACAGGUGCCACUCAUCACAUGACUGGUAGUCCUUUUAAUCUACAAAAUCACUAGCCAUAUCAGGGUAAUAAUUCUCCAUAUCAGGGUUAUAAUUCUGUAUUUCUUGGUAAUGGAGAUUCUCUCUCUAUCUCUCAUACUGGCUUUCUUUCUCUUCCUUUAGGUUCUAACAAAUUUCCUUUUCAAUUCCAUCUCUUCGUACUAAUCUCCUUUAUGUUGCCUGUUUUACUCGUGAUAAUUUAGUUUUCUUUGUCUUUACUCCUGACUUUUAUCAAAUCUAUGACUUAUGUACUAGUUCGUUACUCUUUCAGGGCCCUUCUAAAGAUGGUCUUUAUCCACUUUCCCUCUCAUCUCACUCAUCCACAGUCCCCCAUGCCCUUACCACUGUGCACUCUCCUACUUGGUAUCGUCGCCUUGGUUGUCCAUCCCAUCUUGUGCUAUCUCAUUUAGCUUCAUCUCUAGGCUUUAAAGUUUCUCAUUCUUUCUGUAAGGAUUGUGCAAUCCACCAAACUGUCAUUUCUUAGUAAUAAAACCUUUGCCCCAUCUCCCUUUUAUUUAAUUCACUCUGAUGUAUGGAUGUCCCCAGUCAUUUCUGUCACUGGUUAUCACUAUUAUGUCUUGUUUACAGAUGACUUUUCUCGUUACUCCUGGAUCUAUCCUAUGCACCGUAAAAAUGAGGUCUUUUCUCACUUUCAAACCUUUCUUGCCAUGGUUAAAAAUCAAUUUCACACCACUAUACAAAUUCUUCAAAGUGACAAUGGCACUGAAUAUGUUAAUAAUGCUUUCGCUGAUCUUUGCAGUUAACUAGGCAUCCAUUAACGUUUCUCAUGUCCCCACACUCCCCAACAAAAUGGCCUAACUGAACGUAAACACAGACACAUUGCCACCAUGAUCCGUACCCUCCUUACCACUUCUCACACUCCCCACAAUCUCUGGGUCGAAGCUGCCCUCACUGCUAUCCAUCUAAACCUCCUACCUACUCCUAAUCUUCAAUGGGACACUCCAUACAAUUGUCUCUUCCAACAUCCUCCUUCCUACUCUCAUCUCCGAGUGUUUGGGUGUUCUUAUUUCCCAUACCUUGGACCAUAUACCAAAAAUAAACUCACCAACUGCAUUCUUGAAUGUGUUUUCCUUGGAUACAAUUCUCACCACAAAGGUUACCGUUGUUUACAUCCCUCCACGGGUUGUGUUUACACGUCUCGUCAUGUUUUAUUUAACGAAAUGCAUUUUCCAUUUGAGCAUUUGCAGGUAUCAUCUUCUUCAGAGUAUGUGGAUAUUGAGUUCCACCCAGUUUUGCCCUCCUCCGCACAUGUGCCCACAUCAAUUACUCCUGCCGCAGACUCAGACUCAGACUCGCAACCUCACAGCAUCUCCCUAGUGAGCACCUUUCCAGCUGCUGUAGUCUCAAGCCAUGACCCUGCCAAACCCUCGAGUCCACUCAACGACACUGCUUCUGCUUUAUCCUAGCCUCUGUUCCAAACUUAUUCCCGACGCCCUCACAUACAGCUCUCUCCGCUUGCACCUGCCCAGGUUCCAGCAGCUCCAAACCCCAGUUCUAGCAGCUCCGACUCCCUGGUUCCAGCAGCUCAACCUCCUUGGUUCCAGCAGCUAUGAACCCCCUCGUUACAGCAGCUCCAAACCCCCAAGUUUCAAAAGCUCUGUAAUCUCCUGCACCUGCUCCACACAUGCUCACCGGCCUACAGGAUGGCAUUCAAAAGCCCAAAGCUCCGUAUCCCCUUCCCCGUGCCUUAUUAACUGUUGUUGAGUAUAUUGAACAUACUUGUUUUUCACAUGCCACUAAGCAUCCUGAAUGGCGUGAUGCCAUGACUGAAGAGAUCAAUGUACUUCUCAAAAAUCAUACAUGGUCUUUGGUUCCUUCUUCUCCGUCUCAGAACUUGGUUGGUUGCAAGUGGGUUUUUCGGAUUAAGCGUCACUCUGACGACUCCAUUAAAUGCCACAAAGCUCUUCUAGUUGCCAAGGGUUUUCAUCAACGUCUGGGCAUAGACUACGCUGAAACCUUCAGUCCUGUUGUCAAGCCUGCCACCAUUCGCACUGUUCUUAGUCUUGCAGUUUCUCGUGGUUGGUCUCUUCGUCAACUUGACGUAAAAAAAUGCCUUUCUCCAUGGGUUUCUUCAAGAAGAUGUCUACAUGGCUCAACCCCCUGGUUUUAUUGAUCUCAUUCGUCCUUCUUAUGUUUGCAAGCUUCACAAAGCAAUCUAUGGCCUCAAACAAGCACCUCGUGCUUGGUUCCAUCGCAUCAAUACUUUCCUUCUCUCUAUGGGCUUUGCACUGAGCCAAGCUGACACUUCCUUAUUUAUUUUUCAACAGGCGUCCCAUACCAUAUUUCUCCUUCUAUAUGUCGACGACAUCGUGGUAACUGGCAGUGAUUCCACUCACCUCCAAUAAUUCAUCUUUCUUUUAGGUGGCCACUUUGACAUCAAAGACCUUGGUCCACUUUGCUUUUUCUUGGGUUUACAGGUUCUUCAUAAGGAUGACACUCUGCACAUCAAUCAACUCAAAUAUUCACAUGAUCUUUUAAAGAAAGCCAAUCUUCUCAACUCCAAACCCGCAUAUACUCUAUUGGCUGCCAAGGUUCUCCUCUCUGUCUCUGAUGGUGCUCUCAUCUCCAACCCAACCGAUUAUCGCAAGCUUGUUGGCAGUUUAUAGUAUCUCACUCUUACUCACCUUGACAUAUCUUUUGCCGUCAACACUGUUGCUUAUUUCAUGAGUGCUCUUCGCACCACUCACCUUGUUGCCGCCAAACGGAUACUUAGGUACAUCAAGGGCACUAUUGAUCUCGGCCUCACCUUUACUCCUUAAACUGUCGUUGCUCGCCUCUCCGCCUAUUCUGAUGCAGAUUGGGCUGGGUGCCCCGACUCUCAUCGGUUCACCAUUGGAUAUGUGAUUACUCUUGGAACUAAUCUCAUCUUAUGGUGUUCCAAGAAGCAACCCAUAUUCUCGCGCUCUAGUAUAGAGUCGGAAUAUCAUGCCCUCUGUCAUGCUUGUGCCGAAACCACUUGGCUAUGCUCCCUUCUUCAUGAAUUGGGUGUACGUCUUAGGUUCCCGGUCCAACUCUUUUGUGACAAUCUCAGCACCACGUGCAUGGCUGCCAAUCCAGUUUUCUAUGCUCGCACACGUCACAUUGAGUUGGACUAUCACUUUGUUCGUGAAAAGGUGGCUCUUGGAAGUCAUCAAAUCUGCUUUGUUCCUUCUGUCGACCAACCUGCGGACCUGUUCACCAAAGCCCUUCACAAGCCACGCCAUCAGUGUAUGUCUUCCAAACUUGUGCAUCCUGUGACGCCCAGUUUGCAGGGGGGUGUUAACGCAGCCUUUCUUUCUUAGCCUACAUGGAAGUCAACUUUACAAUCUCCUCCUAGCAAUUAGCCUUUCCUGCUGUAAAUUGGAUUUUCAGCUGUAAAUCAGAUUGUAUUCAUGUCUCUAUUAUUUCCUACCUUAAGUAGAUAUCCUGUACUAAUAUAAAUAGGGGCUUUGUGUAAUAUGUUAAAUACAAGGAAAUAUAUUCUCUACACUUGGAUGUCUAGGUGCUGCUCGCUUUGGAGCUAUGCAGGCAUUUCCUAUUGCAUGGGAUCAAUUGCCUCAGUUUACUUCCAAAAAGAAUUACAGGGAAUCUGAAGUAAGAAGGGCAGAAAGUCUUGCCAAUGCUUAUGAAUUUAUAAGGUACUAACAUAUAUAUCUUCCUAAAUUUCUUAUUGAAACUGAGGCACACAAAAUUUUGUAACUUUUAUUUGUUCUUUAACAAGGCAUAGUCUAUAUAUAAUCCAGUGGUAUGAAAGAUGGAUAUCAAACUUAAUGUGGAGAAAGAGGGGUGCAACUCUCAGGGGGUCAAAAGCAUAGAAUAGCACUUGCUUGAGCGAUACUCAAGAACCCGAGAAUGCUCCUAUUAGAUGAAGCAACCAGUGCUCUCGAUAGCGUAUUGGAGACUCUAGUCUAGGAAGCGCUUGACAAGAUGAUGGUUGGUAGAACAUGUGUAGUGGUAGCUCAUCGGCUGUCCACGAUACAAGGGGCAGACUCCAUUUCUGUGAUAGAGAAUGAAAAGGUUGUGGAACAAGGUUCACACAAUGAGCUACUUGCCAUUGGACGUGGAGGAGCAUAUUUAUUCAGCUUCAAAACAGCCACUCUGCUUAACAGCUGAGUUUUUACUCCACUCAGAAAUGGCAAUGGCACAGUAGAUAGAUUUAAUAUGUAACGCUUUAAGGAAGGAAUGUUAUGUUUCAAUAAGAAGUAAGGGGGCAUGACCAACCUGAAAAGGUUGAAACAAACGACCUGUCGUUGGACAACAUGUUUAUAUAUUGUUUUGAUGAUGCCUUUUCAUUUUUUAAGUCAGCAAAACUCCUUGGGGAUGAGCCUGAAAAUAUACAAGCAGAUGCUAGCAAAAUCUAAGAUGCGUUUUUUUUUUUUUUGCACCAAAAUCUAAGAUGCGUUUUUUUUUUUUUUGCACCAAAAUCUGAGAUGCGUUUUUUUUAGCCAAUCAUUAACUCAAAAUGUGUUCAAGGACAAGGGGCAUACUUCCAACAGCACAAUCUAGUAAGUUUGGCUCAGAGUUGAUGAUGAAACUUAAAGAAUCAAAAUUGAGUUCAACAUAAUCUACUCACACGUGUCAAAUUAAUAUGCAUCUCAAAGAUUCACCCAGGCCGGUUGAUGACCCAUGUUUGAAGAAUUUUCCUUUGACUUUUUGGCCUGACAUGUUUGAAGAAUUAAAAAAACUAAGAAAAGACAAAAAGAUUUUGUCUUGUUAUAUUUCCUAAUGUUGCAUGAAGGCAAGAGGAAUGCCAAGAAAACCAGAAACAUAGUUGGAAUUUAUGGAAACCAACAUUUCGACAAGUCCUAAGUAAUCAAACAAAAUGCCGAUUUAUUCUAAAAUGUGCAUUAAGUUAUUAGCUAUAUAUGAUCCAUUUGGUAUCAGUGAAGUUGAAAAUGUCAUAAAAUACAAGAAGGGAAGGCCACCUCUAGUAAGUUAUCUUAUCUCUUAACCAUGGUUUUUUUGUUUUUUGUUUUUGGGUUACUAACUAAGCCAGCGACUAAGCUAUCUCAUCUCUUAAACAAUGUGAAUUUUAUUUCUAUUAAUUUGCAAGUGAUUGGUGUGAUUUGUAUUCUGUAGCUUGUAAGAUGGGGAAGAAGGGAGGGCUUUUCAAGUAUGCAGAUGGUGUGGACAAGUUGCUGAUGGUGUUUGGGACUUUGGGCAGCAUUGGAGAUGGGUUGAUGACACCUCUUACAAUGCUUGUUCUCAGCCGUGUGAUCAAUGAAUAUGGAGGUGGAGAAGGCACUCUUACUUUCUCCAAUGCCAUUGUGGACAAGGUUAAUUUGCUAGUUUUAUCAAACUGUCCUGUCCUCAGACUAAGAAUUUUGGUUGGUUUAUAUAUUUCCAUUUUAUAUGGCCAAGGCUAACAAAGUGCCAACUCGUUUUCUUUGAUUCACAGUACUCACUCAGGCUGCUCAUUGUUGCAAUUGGAGUUGGAGUAUCUGCUUUCAUUGGUAUUAUGUCAACUUUAAAUUUCUAUGUUUGUUUCUCUUUCAGGGGUUGUUUGGUGCUUCGGUUUCUUUAGUCUCUACAAACAUGAUAGGCUUCUAGAGCUCUGAACCUGCAACACUGGGUUUUCUGGUUUUAGAGUUGUCAAAUCAUCUUGAGUGAACAUAAUCUGCAGACUAUAUAGUAUAUACACACUUGAGUGAACAUAAGCUGAAGAACCACGUACCAUUUCCAAUGAUGCAUAUUAUAUAUACUUGUCAACAUUGGUAACUUGCAGAAGGAAUUUGUUGGACCAGAACUGCUGAGAGACAGACAUCUCGGAUGAGAAUGGAAUACUUAAAGUCAGUCCUCAGGCAAGAAGUUGCCUUCUUUGACAGUCAAGCUAAUUCUUCCAUGACCUUCCAAGUCAUUUCUACUAUCUCGUCUGAUGCCCAUUUAAUCCAAGACACAAUAGCUGAAAAGGUUUUCAAUUGCCCUUGGCAUGCCUUGUUCUUCUUCUUUCUUCUUCAUACUGUAAACAUGUAUUGAUCACCUGUAUUUCUCCUUUUAUGUAGAUGCCAAACUGCCUGGCUCACCUCUCAUCAUUCCUCUUCUGCUUUCCUGUUGCCUUCGUGCUUUCUUGGCGGCUGGCACUGGCUGCUCUUCCGUUCUCCCUCAUGUUUUUGAUUCCUGGAAUUGUAUUUGGGAAGGUGCUCAAGGACUUGGGAGCUGAGACAAACGGUGCCUAUAGGGUUGCUGGAGGGAUUGCGGAACAAGCAAUCUCAUCAAUCCGUACAGUUUAUUCGUAUGUUGGGGAAAAUCAAACACUAAAAAAGUUCAGCAUUGCUCUUGAAAAAAGUACAGAGCUCGGCAUAAAACAAGGUUUCACAAAGGGACUUCUCAUAGGGAGCAUGGGAAUGAUUUAUGCUGUUUGGGCUUUUCAGGCUUGGGUUGGUAGCAAACUUGUUACUGAGAGAGGAGAAAAAGGUGGUCUUGUUUUUAUUUCUGGAAUCUGUGUAAUUCUGGGAGGAUUGUAAGUUACUUUUCUUUAUACUUCUUUUCUAUAUGCAACCACAUGUCUAUCACUUCAGGUAUAUAAACAUAUCAGAAUGUAUCAAUAUAUGCAUACGUGUUUGAACUUAUGUAUGUAAUUUUAUAUGAACUGCAUUCAAUUACCUUGAUGUUUCUUGUGUGUUAUAAGACUCUUGUAAGAACUGAUACGCCUCUCUUUCCCUAGGAAUCUCCUCUCUUUUUUUCCCCUCAUUUGUCUCAACUAACGGCUUCAAUCUCGUAUUUUCAGGGCCAUUAUGAAUGCGCUUCCAAAUCUCUCUUUUAUCACCCAGGCUACUGAUGCUGCUGCCAGAAUAUUUGAAAUGAUUGACCGCAUUCCUGCUAUUGACUCUGAAGAUGAAAGGGGAAAAGUUUUAGCAUAUGUGAAGGGCGAUAUCGAAUUUAGAAAGGUUAAUUUCUGCUAUCCAUCAAGACCUGAUACCCCAGUUCUUCAAGGACUCAACCUUAAAGUCCAAGCUGGUAAGAUGGUGGGUCUUGUUGGAGGCAGUGGUUCUGGAAAGUCAACAAUCAUUUCUUUACUUGAAAGAUUUUAUGAUCCAGUAAAAGGAGAUAUUCUCCUUGACGGAUACAAGUUAAAUAAAUUUCAGCUGCAAUGGUUGAGAUCCCAGAUGGGACUGGUCAAUCAAGAGCCAAUUCUCUUUGCAACAUCCAUAAAAGAGAAUAUUUUAUUUGGAAAGGAAGGAGCUUCAAUGGAACUUGUAAUAAGUGCAGCUAAGGCUGCAAAUGCACAUGACUUCAUUGUCAAACUCCCCCUAGGAUUUGACACUCAAGUAUGCCACAAUAUUAUAAUCAUUCCAAGUUUCAAGCAAAACUAAUUAUUCAAUGUAUUCAUGGCUAUAUUUGAGUUGAAGUUUUUUACCUCUUACUUCAGGUUGGGCAAUUUGGAGUUCAAUUGUCUGGAGGACAAAAGCAAAGGAUUUCUAUAGCAAGAGCAAUAAUCAGAGACCCAAAAAUUCUUUUGCUUGAUGAAGCCACAAGUGCUUUGGAUGCGCAAUCUGAAAAAGUUGUGCAAGAAGCCUUGGACCAAGCUUCACAAGGAAGAACAACAAUUGUCAUAGCUCACCGCCUCACCACAAUCCGCAAGGCUGAUUUGAUAGUGGUUCUUCAAUCAGGUAGAGUGGUGGAAAUGGGAUCUCAUGAGGACUUGGUCCACAAGAACGAUGGAGAAGGUGGAGCAUACAGUAAAAUGCUGCAAUUGCAGCAACAAGCAAUGCGGAAUGGUCCUGACAUUUCCUAUCAUCCAGAGGAUAUUAUAAUCAAGCAUCCACGAACUCCACAUACACCAAAUAGUGUGAGAUCAAGCUUGCAAAACAGCCCUGCACUGAGGAGUGCGAGAUCAAGCUGGCAAAACAGCCCGGUACCAAGGAAUGUAAGAUCAAGCUGGCAAAACAGCCCGGCAUAUCCAAUCACCCCAAUAUUUUCCAUCAGCAUUACAAACUCCUUUCAAGCAGGCCAGUAUGAUGAAUUUGACGAUGAAAUGUCACAAGACAGCUCUUAUCCUUCCUCUUCUACUUGGCGUUUAUUUAAAAUGAAUGCACCUGAGUGGAAGCAAGCAAUACUAGGGUGUCUAGGGGCUGCUGGCUUUGGAUCUAUUCAGCCAGUUCAUGCCUAUUGCUUAGGAACAGUUGUAGCAGUUUACUUCCAAACAAACAAUUCCACCAUCAAAUCAGAAACCAGAUUCUACUGCUACAUCUUCUUAAGCCUAGCAGUUUUCAGCUUCAUUGCUAAUCUCCUCCAACAUUACAAUUUUGCAGUUAUGGGAGAGCGUUUAUCCAAAAGGGUUCGAAUAAAAAUGCUCGAAAAAAUUCUCACCUUUGAGAUAGGGUGGUUUGAUCAGGAUGAAAACACAAGUGCUGCCAUCUGUGCACGGCUAACCACUGAAGCAAACAUGGUUAGAUCCCUCACUGCAGAUCGUAUAUCAUUGUUGGUUCAGGUCUUUUUCAGUGCCUCCAUAGCUUUUGUGAUUGGACUGAUAGUAACAUGGAGGAUAGCCAUUGUAAUGAUUGCAAUACAACCUUUGCUCAUAGGAAGCUUCUAUUCAAGGAGUGUUCUAAUGAAGAGUAUGUCUAUAAAAGCACAGAAAGCACAGGCUGAGGGUAGCCAACUAGCUAGUGAAGCUGCUUUCAACCACAGAACUAUCACUGCAUUUUCCUCUCAGAAUAGGAUAUUAAAUCUGUUUGGAGAUGCAAUGAGAGGGCCUAGGAAGGAGAACAUCAAACAGUCAUGGAUUUCAGGUUUUGGUCUGUUCAGCUCCCAAUUCUUGACAACAGCUGCAAUAGCCUUGACUUAUUGGUAUGGGGGGAGGCUAAUGAAUCAAAAUUUAGUAACGGCGAAACACCUGUUUCAAGUUUUCUUCAUCUUAAUGAGCACUGGUAAAAACAUUGCAGAUGCAGGAAGCAUGACUUCUGAUCUAGCGAGAGGGGGGAGAGCCAUCAAAUCAAUAUUCUCCAUCCUAGGCAGAGAGAGUGAAAUUUCAUCAGAAGAGCUUGAAGGGAUAAAAAAGACUUUCAAGGGUCACAUAGAACUAAAGAAUGUUGUAUUUGCUUACCCAGUCAGGCCUGACCAGAUGAUCUUCAAGGGCCUGAAUCUCAAGAUAGAAGCUGGAAAAACAAUGGCACUAGUGGGACAGAGUGGUUCUGGAAAAUCCACUGUCAUUGGCUUGAUUGAAAGAUUUUAUGACCCACUAAAUGGAUCAGUAUCCAUAGAUGGAUGUGACAUCAAGCUCUAUAAUUUGAGAAAGUUGAGGUCACAAAUAGCUUUAGUAAGCCAGGAGCCUACUCUUUUUGGAGGAACCAUCCAUGAAAACAUAGUCUAUGGUAAAGAAAAUGCAACAGUAGCUGAAGUAAGAAAGGCAGCAAAGCUUGCCAAUGCUCAUGAAUUUAUAAGGUACGGCUACAUUUUUCUCCACAUUAACAUUUAAAUUGUUGAUCCUAAUGCAAAAUGCUUUUUUUUAUAAAUUUUUAUUUUAUUUUAUGUUGCAGCUCUAUGGAAGAGGGAUAUGAGACUUACUGUGGAGAAAGAGGAGUUCAACUAUCAGGAGGGCAGAAGCAGAGGAUAGCACUUGCACGAGCGAUGCUAAAGAACCCAACAAUCCUUCUGCUGGAUGAAGCAACCAGUGCACUUGAUAGUGUGUCAGAGAAUUUAGUCCAGGAAGCACUGGAGAAGAUGAUGGUUGGCAGAACAUGUGUUGUUGUAGCUCACAGGUUGUCAACUAUACAAAAAGCAGACUCCAUUGCUGUGAUAGUGAAUGGGAAAGUAGCAGAAAAAGGAUCACACCAUGAGCUACUUGCUAUCGGACAUGGCGGUGCCUACCAUUCUCUGAUAAAACUGCAAAUCAAUCAGUCUCCAUACCAUUUGUCCAUGCAGGUGUAAGGUGAGGACAGUCCAUGUAAUUCCUGCAGGGGAAGUUUUUGGUAAAGCAGUAGAAAUUGACCCCAAAAAAAGAAAACAAAAAAGAAAAAGGCAUAUAUAUGGAGCUGCAUGAAAACGUAGAAUCCCAUAGCUUUCAAGUUCAACGUGAAGGCUGGGAAACUUCCAUGAUUAUUAAACAAAGUUUUCCUGAAUUGAUGAAACACAAUAAGGUUGAUGAUGUCGUCAUGUUUUGUUCUCUGCAAAUUCUCACAAUCAACAUUUUGUCUUGACUACUAACAAAUUGUUUCUGCAAUCAAUUUUUCCAGUCAAACUACAGGUUCAAUAUUUCACUAAAAAUAAUUGUUUCAAUGCUCAUUUGCUUUUCCUCGGAUCUAUAGGCACAUAAUUUAACAAGUAAAAAUGCAUGGCUGCUUAAAUAUAUAAACCAAAAACAUAAGGCACAUAAACGGCGCAUAUGUUAACUUUAAAACGUAAAAUGACAAAGUAUCUAUGAUAAUUCAUUGAUAAACGCGAAUUCUUAGUUAGAUGCAGAGAUGGGAAUAAUUGUGAAAAUGUAUACUGAAAUCAGUAAAGGUACAAGAUAUUUUGCUAUGAUAGUGGAUUAAGCAUCAUUUGAACCAUAAAAUUUGGGCAACGUGACAAAACGUCCGCUAGACCAAAGCAGAAACUAAAGCAAACCAACUUCAAAAGCCCCAGAAAAGAAGGGGACAAACUACAAAAGCCAUCAAACAGGAGGAAGCUAGCCAGAAUUAGGAGAUAUAAGAGCAACUCCAGGGAGGAGCCCAAGCCCGAGGCUGGGGGGAGGCCAAGCAAAAAAUCCAAUUCCAGCAGGUCACUUUUGCCUGGGCUGGAUGCGGGACACACGAAGACGGGCUGGCACGAAGGCAGGUCUUGUCCGACUUGUAGCCCGAGAGGGGAGGAUGACGUCGGCGUGUGCUGACGUCAACCCUGCGCUCCACCAACAGCUAGAAGACAUGUGUCGUCGUCUGGGCGCUCCGAUCGACUGCUCUCCAAUCCAACGGUUGUGCUUUUUUUUGCUAUAAAAUUAUGAAAAAAAAUUCGAAAUUUUUUUUAAAAAAUACCAAAAAAUUCUUGAAACUUUUUUUUUCUUCUAGAAAUACCUACCAAUACUCUUUACUUUCAACAUCAAAUCCUCAUAUAUUUUCUUCUAUUUCUACUAUUAUUCACUUUUUACCCAACAUUUUUUCACUUUUAAAUUGUAUUUUUAUUUAUCAUCUUAUCCGAAAAUUUUAUCCAAUUGAGAUAUGAAUUUUUAUAAUAAAUAUUGACAUGUACGAACCUAAAAAUCUUAUCCGAAAAUAUUAUCCAAAUUAAUUGUUUAGGUAAACAAAUUUGUGAAAAAAAACAAAAAAAAUGAAUAGUAUUUUUCAUUUGCCAUGACAAUGGGUGGAAACACACAUUGCUUUUUGCAAGGGCAGUCACUAUUUACAUGAAUAGUAGCUGCCCUAGUCCCCCCUUUGCCAUGGCAAAGGGCAAAUAGGUGGAGUUGCUCUAGGACGCCAUUCAUGAGUCACAGGAAUUCUUUGUUUUUCUUCUAUAUUUCCCAAUGUUGCAAGGAGGCAAAAGGCAAAGCCAAAAAAACAAGAAACACAGAAGCUGGACUUAUGAAGACAUUUCUACACCAGUCUCAUGUAAUCAACAAAAUGCCAAUUUAUUCUGAAACGAGUAUUAACUAUAUGCAAAGACUUACCCACUACCUAUUGGUGUAGUGAUACUUAUCUUCCCAAUGUUAGAAGAGGUCCCAAGUUCCAAUCCGCCCUUCCUAAAUGAUCAAAAGAAAAACUAUAAGCAAAGAUUUUAGUCCGAAACUGAAUGAUUACUUUUAAAAAUAUGACAUUAUAUGCGGACUCAGCAAUUCAUUUAAGGACAAAAAUAUAUAUAAGGUGCAGUGGAACUUAAUCAACAAGAAAAAAAUAUGUAGACUACAAUAGAAAACUAGAGUCUGACAUGGAUUACAAUCUCCAAGUAUAAAUUAGGGGUGGGCACGGUUCGGUUUGGACCGAUUUUUGCCUCAAAUUAGAACCGAUCCGGUACUAUUCAUCCGGUUUGGUUCGGUUCGGUUUUAAUAAAAAAAUUUCAAAAACUGUCGGUUCGGUUUGAAUCGAUUUCGGUCCGAUUCGAUUUUGAACCGGAUUAUAAAAAUUAUUUUUUAAUACAAUUCUCAACUGAAAUAUUAUUUUUUUUACUUGAAAAUUAACAAAUUAUUCAAUUUCAUAUAAAAAAUAAAUAUUAAAGUGAGAAAAGAGAGAUAUUUUGACAUUGAACUUGGAUAAAUAUUAAGUUUUUUUUAGUGAAAUUAAAAAUAUAGCAUUAAAUAUAAAUAUAUAUUGAAAUUAUAUAUUUUUUUAGUUUCACCGGUUCGGUUUUUGAAGACAUGGAACCGGAUCCGGAACCGGUCCAAACCGGUCCGGUUCGGUUUUUGACUUUUUGGUCAAUUCGGUUUUUUUCCAGUUUGGUUCGGUUUGGUUCGGUUUGGUUCGGUUCUGAUUUCCGGUUCGCCCGGUUCGCCGGUUUGAGUGCCUACCCCUAGUAUAAAUAUAUUUCAUAUCACAAGUUAAAAUGUCAGAAAAUACAAGAAGGUAAGCCUAAUGUUAUCUCAUCUCAUGACAAUAAAGCCUAAUGUUAAUUGCAUGGUGGCAUGAAAUUUCAUAAGAUGGAGACUUAAGGUUAUUUCUCUUUGUAAGUGUCACUGUCCUGCAUGCAGCAGCUUGUAAGAUGGCGAAGAAAGGUGGAAUUUUCAGGUAUGCAGAUGGUGUGGACAAGUUAUUAUUGGUUUUGGGGACUCUGGGUAGCACUGGAGAUGGGUUGAUGACACCGUUGAUGAUGCUGGUCCUCAGCCGUGUGAUCAACGAAUACGGAGGCGGUACUUUCUCCAGUGACAUUGUGGACAAGGUAUGCAAAAUCAUGGAACUAACUGUCAUGGCUUUCAAACUGUCCUGAGGUAUUGAAUUUUGGUUAGUCUUACCAGUUCAUAUGGCUAAGAAAGUGCAACACAUAUUCUUUACAGUACUCACUCUGGCUGCUCUUUGUUGCAAUUGGAGUUGGAAUAUCUGCUUUCAUUGGUAUUAUGUUAACUUUGAGCCUUAUUGGUUUUUGUGGCCAAGUCUUUACCCCUGAAAACAUGUAUUUCAACAACACUCAUUUGAUUGUAUCAUUUUGAAUGUUGUGUGAUUAAUGUUAUUGACCUGUCAACAUUCAGGAUUUGCAGAAGGAAUUUGUUGGACCGGAACUGCUGAGAGACAGGCAUCUCGCAUGAGAAUGGAAUACUUCAAAUCAGUCCUCAGGCAAGAAGUUGCCUUCUUUGACAAACAAGCUAAUUCUUCCAUGAUCUUCAAAGUCAUUUCUACUAUCUCUUCUGAUGCCCAUUUAAUCCAUGACACAAUAACCGAGAAGGUUUUCAAUUGUUUAUGGGCCUUGCUCUUCUUCUUCUUCUUCACUCUGUAAUCUUGAAUUGAUCAACCUGUAUUUCCUCUGUUUUUGUAGAUACCGAAUUGCCUGGCUCACCUCUCAUAAUUUAUCAUCUGCUUUUCAUUUGGAUUUGUACUGUCUUGGGGACUGGCAGUGGUUUCUCUUCCAUUCUCACUCAUGUUUAUCGUUCCAGGAUUUGUAUUUCGGAAGGUACUCAAGGACUUGGGAGCUAAGAUAAAUGGUGCCUAUGGGGUCGUUGGAGGUAUUGCAGAACAAGCACUGUUUAUUCAUAUGUUGGGGAGCAUCAAAUACUAAAUAGGUUCAACAUUGCUCUUGAAAAAAGUACACAACUUGGCAUAAAGCAAGGUUUCUCAAAGGGAUUACUGAUAGGGAGCAUGGGAAGGAUUUAUGCUGCUUGGGCUUUUCAGGCUUGGGUUGGUUGCAAACUUGUUACUGGGGAAGGAGAAAAAGGUGGCCAUGUUUUUAUUUCUGGAAUCUGUGUGAUUAUGGGAGGAUUGUAAGUUUCCUAAACUCAACAAAAAGAAAAAAUAAUAAUAAUAAUAAAUUUUCUAAGUUCAAAACUCUUGUAAGAAUCAACGCACAUCUUCAAUCUUGUAUUUUCAGGUCCAUAAUGAAUGUGCUUCCAAAUCUCUCUUUCAUCACUGAGGCGCUGCUACCUGGAUAUUGGAGAUGAUUGACCGCAUUCCUGUUAUUGACUCAAAGGAUUAAAAGGGAAAUUUUUUAGCAUAUGUGAAAGGAGAUAUCAAAUUUAGAGAUGUUGAUUUCUGCUACCCAUCGAGAUCGGAUAGCCCAGUUCUUCAAGGACUCAAUCUUAAAGUCCAAGCUGGUAAGAUGGUGGGUCUAGUUGGAGGCAGUGGUUCUGGCAAGUCAACAAUCAUUUCUUUGCUUGAAAGAUCUUAUGAUCCAGUGAAUGGAGACAUUCCUCUUGAUGGACACAAGUUAAAGAACUUUCAACUGCAAUGGUUGAGAUCCCAGACGGACUGGUCAAUCAAGAGCUAAUUCUCUUUGCAACAUCCAUAAAAGAGAAUAUCUUAUUCGGAAAGGAAGGAGCUCCAAUGGAACACCUAUUAAGUGCAUCUAAGGCGCAAAAGCACAUGACUUAAUUGUUAAACUACCUCAAGGAUAUGACACUUAAGUAUGCGACAAUAUUCCACUCAUUCCAAGUUUCCAUCAAAAGUAGUACUAUUUAUAGCUAUAUAUGACUAUAAAUGUUUUACCUUUCACUUCAGGUUGGGCAAUUUGGAGUCCAAUUGUCUGAAGGACAAAAGCAAAGGAUUUCCAUAGCAAGAGCAAUAAUCAGAAACCCGGAAAUUCUUUUGCUUGAUGAAGCCACUAGUGCUUUGGAUGCUCAAUCUGAAAAAAUGGUACAAGAAGCCUUAAACCAAGCUUCACAAGGAAGAACAACUAUUGUCAUAGCUCACCGCCUCACCACUAUUUGCGAGGCUGAUUUGAUAGCUGUUCUUCAAUCAGGGAGAGUGAUUGAAAUAAGAUCUCACGAUGAGUUGGUCCUGUGAACAAUGGAGAAGGUGGAGCUUACAGCAAAAAACCAUGCACAAUGGUUGCCCUGACAUUCCCUAUAAUGUACAAGACAUUAUAGACCACAAAAUGAAGCAUCAACAGACUCCACAGACACCAAAAAGUGUGAGAUCAAGCCUGCAAAACAGCCCAGAGUAUCCAGUCAUUCCAGUAUUUUCCCCCAGUAUUCCAAACUCAUUCGAAAUGCAGCAGUGUGAUGAGUCUGACAUCAAAAAGUUACCGGACAGUUCUUAUCCUUCCUCUUCCCGUUGGCGUUUAUUGCAAAUGAAUGCACCAGAGUGGAAACAAGAAAUACUAGGGUGUCUUGGGUGUGCUGGCUUCAGAUUUGUUCACCUAAUUCAUACCUAUUUCUUAGGAACAAUUGUAUCCAUUUACUUCCAACCAGAAAAUUCCACCAUCAAAUCAGACAUCAAAAUGUACUACUACAUCUUCUUAAGCCUAGCAGUUUUCAGCUUCAUUGCCAAUCUCCCCCAACAUUACAAUUUUGCAGUUAUGGGAGAGCGAUUAUCCAAAAGGGUUCGAACAAAAAUGCUUGAAAAGAUUCUCACUUUUGAGAUAGGGUGGUUCGAUCAAGAUGAGAACACAACUGCUGCCAUCUGUGCAAGACUAACUACUGAAGCAAACAUGGUUAGGUCCCUAACCGCAGAUCGUAUGCCAAUAUUGGUGCAGGUUUUCUACAGUGCCUACCUGGCUUUUGUGAUUGGACUAAUAGUCACAUGGAGGAUAUCCAUUGUAAUGAUUGCAAUACAGCCCUUGCUCAUAGGAAGCUUCUAUUCAAGGAGUGUUCUAAUGAAGAGUAUGUCUACAAAAGAAAAGAAAGCACAGGCUGAGGGUAGUCAACUAGCAAGUGAAGCUGCUUUCAACCACACGACUAUCACUGCAUUUUCCUCUUAGACAAGGAUAUUAAAUCAAUUUGGAGCUGCAAUGAAAGGCCAGAAAGCAGAACAUCAAACAGUCAUGGAUUUUAGCUUUUUGUCUGUUCAGCUCCCAAUUCUUAAACACAGCUGCAAUAGCUGGUAUGGAGGGAGGUUAAUGAAUCAGAAGCUAGUAAAAGCAUCGCAGAUGCAGAUGCAGAUGCAGGAAGCAUCGCAGAUGACAUGUAUCAAGCUUUCUUUGUCUUAAUGAGCACUGGUGUUGAUGCUCUUUUUGGGAGGUCAACUUAGAUAUAGGUGGAAUGGUGGAUGAUGAGUGAAGUUGAGGACCUUCAGCAUGUGUGUGAAGAUUUGGGCAAGCGAUGGGCAAGCGAUAAAUAUAAAGAAGACAAGAUAUACGUGGUUCACCCUUAAUGAAUAGGCUACGUCCACGGAGAAGUAUGUUCUCAUUAUAAUAAUGUAUGAUUACAUUUGUACAUGGGGUUAGGUCCAAAUAUAAAGAUAACAAGUGAGAUGCCCAGUCCAGUCCUGGGAUCCAGAAGAGAGAGAGUCCAAGGCCCAACGGUCAGGAUCCAAGACCUCUUUCCAAGUGGAGAGUGGUCUUCUUUUAUAGGUGAGGGAGAGUCUUUACUUCUGGUAGUUUUCCGAUGUGAGACUCCUCUUGCUUUGCUUAGAGUUGUGACUUGUGGUAAUGCUUCUUUGGCUAAGGUGAUUACCUCUCAAAGCAUGACACGUGGUUGAUCUAGCCAAGCUAGUUGCUCGGUCAGUUACGGUACCAACAGUAGUCCCCCAAGUUCGCGAGUAAGAAGGUAUUUCUUGAUUGGGGAUUUGUAAUUUUAAGUGCACUGGCCGAGCAACACCACAGUAUAUCUUCCAGUCUGUAUAAUGCACUACCCAUAGUCCCCCAAGUCCCCGAGUAAGAAGGACAUUAGAGGGAGAGAACUUGGCACGAGGGUGCCGAAGGUUAAGGGGUUACCGAAGGCACAAAAUUGCAUGUGGCAGGGUGAAGUGGCCAGGCACAAAGGUACCGAAUGCAACACAAAGCUUGCAUGUCGCAAGGCGAUAUGGCUAGGCAUGGGGGUGCCGAAGGCGACACAAAGCUUGCAUAUCGCAAGGCCAUGGGCCUAGGCACGAAGGUGCCGAAGGUGACACAAAGCUUGCAUGUCGCAAGGUGAUGUGCUAGGCACGGGGGUGCCUAAGGCGACACAAGAUGUGGCUAGACACGGGGGUGCUGAAGGUGACACAAAGCUAGCAUGUUGCAAGGCAAUGUGGCUAGGCACGAUGGUGCCGAAGGUGACACAAAGCUUGCAUAUUACAAGGCAAUGUGCUUAGGCAUGCGGGUGCCGAAGAUAUAAAACUUGCAUCUCGCAGAGAAGGUGCCGAAGGCAUAAGACUUGCAUGUUGCAAGAUAAAAUGUCAAAGGGCAUAGGGUGCCGAAGGUACAAAGCUUGCAUGUCUCAAGGCAAUGUGCCUAAGCACGAGGGUGCCGAAUGUGUAAAGCUUGCAUGUCGCAAAGCAAUGUGUGUAGGCAAGACGUUGCCAAAGGCAAUAUAGCUAGGCACGGGGGUGCUGAAGGCGACACAAUGCUACCAUGUUGCAAGGCAAUGUGGCUAGGCACGAUGGUGUCGAAGGUGACACAAAGCUUGCAUGUCGUAAGGCGAUGUGGCUAGGCACGAGGGUGUCGAAGGCAACACAAGAUGUGGCAAGGCACAAGCUAGGCACGAGAGUGUCGAAGGCAACACAAGAUGUGGCUAGGCACGGGGUUGCCGAAGGCGACACAAAGCUUGCAUGUCGCAAGGCAAUGUGGCUAGGCACGAGGGUGCCGAAUGCGACACAAAGCUUGCAUGUCGCAAGGCAAUGUGGCUAGGCACGAGUUUGCCGAAGGCGACACAAAGUUUGCAUGUCACUAGGCAAUGUGGCUUGGGUACAAGGGUGCCGAAGGCAAAAAGGAAGUUGCCAAGGGUGCUGAAGGGCAAAAUGAAAGUGUACAUUUUUUUAUUAUUAUUUGGAGAAAUAAUAAUAAUAGCUUCUUUUUUUU